rnacentral:lncRNA from 1 species
AGUCUUGAUAUUGAUUUUACGUAAUCAAUGGAGAAAGGGAUGUCUAAGGUGAUCAAAUAGAGUUUAAAAGAAAGCAAAGGCAGAGAGGGUAAAAAAAUAAAUGAUCUAUCACACAAAAGAAUAUCAAAGAAGUGUGAAAAGAUGCUAGGAAGAAUAAAGGAAACUUGGUAAAGAGAAAAAGAAGAAGAAGAAGCAUUUCGGAGAGAGCAGAGGUUUUAGUAGUUUGCUGAACAUGAGAGACCUUCUCAUGCCACUAUUAACACGUUAGACACUCACAGGAACCCCUCUAACGAGUAUUGACAACCUGGAGGUGGACCAAGGAGCUAAUCCAUUCAGAACUCAAUUGAUCUGAUUCCCAGACAUAUUGCACCUCUGGUCAAUGCCGCCAUUCUGUCCUAAGACAACACAAAGAAGAUUCAGAACUUCUUGCUAGUUGAUGGGAUUUGAUAUCAGGAAGGGGCUUGCACAUUGUACACCAACAUCAAGUUACUGUAACCCUCAAGGAAGAGACAAAGGUCCAAUAUUCUUUUACUCCUUUCAGAAAGUCUCUGUGUUACACCAGUAUGUGAUUAUGUACUAAAUAAAAUAUUAAUGGGGCAUUAAGUUAAAUGGCACAAAGCUAAAUGCUACUGCAAGAUAAACUAAAACUUAGAAAGCAUCCCCUCGAAUGGGCCAUUAAUUGGUUUCAAAAGGUUUCUGUAGGUGUUCCUUGCUUCUCCUCAAAGAUUUAGCACAUGAAGGUGAAACUAAUUGCCCCAUCAUAGAUGGAUAUAACUAGCAAAAGCUAAAAGCAACAUAUUCUUAACCAAAAAGCACGACAACUCACGAUCAUCAUCACAGCACAAUAUCCUUUUAAUCCAAGAUAUAAAUUAAAAAGAAAAUGCAAAAACACAAACUAACAAUAUAAAGAACUAUCCUUCUGAAAUUUAUGCCAACAAAAAGAAUUUUGAUGUACUAAGGCAUUAAGAGUCCAUUAAUGCCAAAUUCAGAUGCAACCCCCUAUGCGGCUUUAUCUUCCUCCAUCUGGACAAACAAAACAGCAGGCUACAAGAUUUUCCCUCUAACAACUUCAUAUAGUGACUUCCCAUCACUGGUAUUCCACGGCACAUGACUGACCCUUCAGCUAUCAGCCAAUAAUCUUUUCUACACUAGAAAAUAAUCCAGAAAACUCAAAAAUAUAAGUGAUGAAAGGCACUUUCAGAAGAAGGAAAUAAAAAAAAAUGAGAAAAAGGAACCUUAUAGCAAAGUAUCAAUUACACUUAACACAAAUACAUGUACCUGAUAUUCAUAAACUUCAAAGUAUCCGAGGGAGAGAAAAAUAAUAUAAGCUUCUGUAUUUAGUAUUUGUUCAACUUCAGAAUAUCCCUGUUCGGGAAACAAGAUUUCAUAGUUGCUGUACCAAGGCACUAUUAAAUCCUUAUCUUAUUCUGAGUAACUUUAGAGCUGUAAGAUUUAUUGGUAUUGAACCCAUAGGUGGUUGUAUCAUGUGUGGAUUAAUGCCACUUUACAUCCCCUUAGGUGGUGUACAACGGUAGACGGGGAAGAAGGCAGGCACAGGGGAUGGAGAUGAAGAGAGAGGGGCUUUGGUAAUCCAUCCAACCCUAGGAAUGGGUAUCAGAGGGGGUUCAUACAAAAAUGCCUGUUUAAGUUUGAGAAGGCUAUGUGUAUGUAUAUUCAUACUCAUGCAUGCACAGCAUAAGUCAGUGGCUAAACAUUCAAGAGGUCCAGUAACAAUGAGAUAAGUGAAGCAACACCAAUCACAAUCAAUGGGAUGACAGUAACACUAUCUCUAAACAGGCUAAGACUGCAUCUAUCUCAAGGAACCUCUGUAUGAAUUCUGUUUGGCACUAGCUAUCUGAAUGAUAGAUGACCCCCAAAAGCAAGUUCAACCGAUUGGAUUAUAGGUCUGCCACCGAUAAAAAGAAUAGAGUCCCUAAACGGCAAUGGCUAUUAAGGUUCUCCACACACCCCCAUCCCUCCCCCAAAAAAACAAAAAGAAAAAUAAAAAUAAAACCAUUAACAGGCUACAACUAUGCAAUGGUCGUAUGAAGUAGCUGCUGGUUAGUAUAAGGUUCUCACACACCCAACCCUCUCCCAAAAAGAAAAAUAAAAAUAAAACAUUAACUGGCUAUAACUAUGACAGGGAUCGUAUGAAGUAGCUGCCUUGGUUAGGUAUCAAUCAACACGACCAAUAAGCAAAUGUUAUUCGUCAAACCAAGCUGUCCAGUCCUUGACAACUGCUUAAAUUUAUGACCCCAGAGUCCCUCCAGAAAUGCAGCUAACACUCUUUAAGAAAAUCCACCAUUCACAGACAAAGGACAGCUUUCGUGCAUUUCAAUGUGGCACCUACUUUUUGCCAAUAGAAUACUGCUGAUUGACUGGUCAACACUCAAAAGCUGGAAAAGUUCAAGCUUAAACAUGGUUUAGUUGUGCAAAUAACUUUCUGUGGCCAUAUUCUUAAACUUGGAAUGAUCAUACGAAUUACAUGCUUUGGUUUUUUAAUUAAAUCACACUAAAGACAUUGUUGACAGAGAUGUAUAUGACAAGAUACCUGUGUCUGGAGAUCAUUACUCUCCUCCUUUUUGUCAGAAGCAACAUUUUCAACUUCAGCACAAUCAAAAGUUAAUUGUGCACCAGAAAGAAGCCUCAGCAUUGUCAUGGUCACUUGCUGCAGUCUCUGCAGUUUGCGCAGGCCCGAAGUAAAAACCUAUAUCAUUCAUUAACCAAGCUAGUGCAAAAAACACCACCUGUAAACAUAUGAUGUCCAGAGUGUACUUUAUUCGGUCAUCUUAAAAUCUGUUUUUUCACACAGCUAAGAUUAUAAAUUCAUCUCGAUUAUCCCAGACCGCCCAAAACAUUGAUAAGAACAAUAUGCAAUUUAAAUGCUUUAAGAGCACGCAUUCAGUUUUACCUUCCUUCGGCAAGUCAGGGAAUUGAGUACCACUUAUGAUGCGAGCAAACUGUAGCUGACUAUUCAGGAAAGAGUCCAUAGUCUGGUGAUUCUCAAAAUUAACGCCUAAUUCCUUGUGCAAAUUCUCGAGAUGAAAUUCUCCAUUUUCACUGCCCACGUGAUUGACAGCUCCAUUCUGCAAAUUUCGUUCUGCAAAUUUCUGUUCUGCAAAUCUCCGUUCUUCAAAUUUCCGUUCCGCAAAUUCUCUAUAUUCAUGCCCCUGUUAUGACCGUCAUAAACAGGAAGGCCCACCCCAUUUGCUGAAACCUGGACUUGCGUCCUUUCUUGAGCAAGAAGAGCACCGCUCCUUAUGAUCGCGACAGGAACUCUCAAUAUCCGAGCAACAGCCUCCUCCAACUUGGAUACUCUACUAGUCAAGCCCAUCAGCUGAGCAUCACGCAGCGUAACCAUGUCCUCAGCUAGGCUUUUCUCAAUUCUAGGCUAACCAGCUGCUGCCUCAACUCCUGACAUUUAAUCCUGCGUUUCUUCAGUUUCUCCUCAAGCUCCAAAUUCUGAGCCUCCAGCGAUUGACACUUUUUCUUCAUCUCCUCAUAGUCCCUCUUCAGAUUUCUCAACUCCAUCUCCAUCUUCUCCUCUCGACCUACCAGCAACCUCUCCACCUCAUGAAAAUCCUCUUGGCGAAAAGACGACCGCACAAACGCCAUCAGCUCAGGCACUGAUGACUCCUCGGUGAUUUCAGGAAACACGACUUCGAGUCUGGAGAACUCAUUCUUUUUAUUUCUGUUUUAUUUUCUUUUUAAAAAAGAAAACAAAACCCAUGAUCAGACAAACAAAAAAAAAAUUUUUAAAAAAAACGACAUCAAGAUAACAGCUUUUUCUGAUUUUCUUCAACUACAAAGUGGAAAGAUCAAACUUUUAUCCCCAAGACCAACUAAAUAGCGGUUUAAUCGACGUCAACUAGAAAACCCUCCUCGCGAAACUAAAGAAGAUUUAAGUACAAAGAUGUAUCAAAGAAAAAAAGAAACCCACAUGAGGAGAAAAAUGAAGGAGCGAACAAGCCAGGUUUCUGAGGCAGGUAAAACGACAACGUCGAAAGGAAAGAUGAAGAACUUUUUUGCAAAAUGGGUAAAAUAUGCUCUCUCUCUCUUUUUUUUUCCUGCUUGUAAGAGCCUGAAAGAAACUGGAGCGUUUGAGUUUGGGAGGAAAAGCAGAGCAGAGUGGAGAGUGAAUAUGAGACAAGUGCAGAAAGAAGAGUGUUUCUUUUUUGGUAGCAGAGGAGACGGGGAGGGAGAUAAUGCGACGACACCACGUGGAUAGCUGGGUCGGACUGGUGGGAAAUGUAACAGCUGUUGAGCGGAAUUCUGAUGCACUUUGGGAGGGAAAUUUGUCAGAUUGGAAUUAAUCUGAUUCGCUAAUGAUACAGAUGGAUUCAUAAUUUUCUCUUUUUGUUUGAAAGGAGUUGAAUUAUUAAUUCUCAUGAGUGAAAAUCGUUUAAGACAUCUCUCAUAUUUUAAAUAAUGACUUUUUAUUCAUUACUUUUAAAAUUAUAAUUUUACUUUUCUUACAAAUUCACAUCAAUUAAAUUUAUGCUUAUCUAGAUUUUCAAUUUUUUUGUCGGAAUUUAGCAUGUGCCUUAUACGUGAUCAUUUUAUAAUGGCAAAAUUAUCAAAUCAAAAAUUACAUAAUCCGAUCCAUAGUCCCUCACAUUUUAAAAAAUAAAUUUUUUCAUCCCUCAUAUUUUAUAAAAUGAAUUUUUUUAUCCCUCAUAUUUCACAAAAUGAAUUUUUCAUUUAUAAUUGAUCAUGUGUAUUAAUAAGUUUUUUUUAAACCCGUAUACAUAUCUAUUUAAUUUUAUAUGAACAAUGCGCAUAAUAUAUAAUAUAUUUCUAUUUGAUUUCACCUAAACAAACUAAUUGUAAUGGUAGGUAAAAUCAAAUAGAGACAUAUUAUUCGUACUAUUCAGGCGAAAUCAAAUAAAUAUAUACAUGAAUUUUUAAAAAAACUAUUGGUACACAUGAUUAAUAAGGGAUGAAAAAUUUAUUUUGUGAAAUGUGAGGGACUAUAGAUCUGAUUAUGUAAAAUUUAAUUCGACAAAUUUACCCCUCAAAUUGUGGAUUCCGACCAAAAACUAGUCGAAAACUUAUGUAGAAACAAAAUUUGACCAAUGUAAAUUUGUAAGAGAUGUAAAAUUACACUUUUCAAAGUAAGGACCAAAAAACCGUUUUACAAAAUUUAAGAGAUUUUUUAACAACUUUCCCUCCUCAUUAUUAAGAAAAUGUACUAAAUAUAGGUCAAAUAAAUUGAACAUCUUUUUUUAACGAGAGGUCUUGAAACUUUUUACUUACCAUUCUCACAUUAUUACCCAUCUCAACCCUCCCUCUCAUACCUUAGUUAAGAAACGCACACACACCGGACAUAAACUGAACCCACACCCAACCCAAAAGGCAUAUGCUGACUUAUGGAUUGAGCCGAGGAGCUUAUAUCCAACACACACACACCUCUCUCUAUCGAUGUGGGAGGGAGAACACCGGGGGGCUAAGGGAUAGGGAUGGCUUAGAGCCUUAAGGCUCAACCCUCCCUCAAUAAAUGGAACAUUAAUAAUGGGAUGAGGAUGAGGAUUGAUAAAUAGACCUUCUAUUUAUAAUUAUUCUCACCUUAUUAUCCAACUAAAUUUUUCUUUAAUAAAUAGAACAUGACAAUAACAUGGAACGAGGAUGAAGAUUGACAAAUAAAAGAAGAAUUGAUAGGUAUUCUCGUAGCCAAAUCAAAUCCGAACAAAUAAAUUAUGUGAGACAAUUAAGGUAAGUAUAUCGCCAUCUUCAAAUUUCAAUUCAUCUCAUAAAUUUUCAAGCAAGGGAUUUGUAUGACUAUUAUUCAUGUGGCACAAUCUUCUUUUGUUAAAUGUGCAUGAGCUUUCUAAUUUUUUUCAUUUCCCAACCCAAAUAAGGAAUACAAUAAUUGGUGUAAUUAUUUUGUGAUGUUGACCUAAUAACAACAAAAUGAAAUUAUUAAGAGAUGUGUAUUUAGAGAAUAUUCACCUUUGUACUGUUUGGUUUAUUUCACUUUUUCUCCCUAAUAAUUGAAAAAUAAACUAAAUUGAUCUUUAAAGUUGAUAGAGACUAUGUUCUUUUUCUUUUUUUUAAUUAGACUGAUCAAGAAUCAUUAGUAAAAAUUCACCAGUUAGUAGCAUUUUGAUCCAUGCAUUAGCACUGAUAAAAUAGUACCAGUAUUUUAUAUUAGUCUCAGUUGUCAAUUUAUAUAAGUAUGAAUAAUUCAAGAAUAGAUAAAAUAAUACUCUUACCUACUCAUGAAUAUUUGUGCUAGAAAAUAAAUUAUAUAAGUACCAUAUUAAUUUUUAAAACUUCUAUACAUGCAUUUAUUCUAAUAUAAUAUAAUUCAUAAAUAUAUGCAAGGUAUAUGAAAAAAUUAAUAGAUAUUCUUUGAAUUAACUAUUAGAUUUUUAUAUGAUUAAAAACCUAAAACUACGGCUCUAUACUCAAGCUACAUACUAAAUAUGCAAAAAAAAUAUUUUCUCCAUGAAUGAAAUAUUAACUUUCUAGCAAUGUUAAUGAAGUAACGAAUAAAAUAAAAAUAAAUAAAAUUACUACAUAUGGAUAAAAUAAACUAAUGCGAAUUUAUAAAUAAAGAUAUUAGUUUAUUAGGAGAGAGAGAGAAACUGAUUAGAGAGAGCACUAGUAUACAAAUAUGGGUAAAAUCAUAUAAAAAUGGCCUAUCAAUUCUCAUCAAUUAGGCACGACACCUAAGAGAAAGAAAAUAGGUAACCAAAUUAAGAACUUUCACAUGCACACACACAAUAUAUAUAUAUAUUAUAAUAUAUAUAAUAUAUAUAUAUAUAUAUAAAAUUGAUGGAGCAACAUGUGAUGCUAAUUCUUAGUAUUGAAGAAAUAUAAUCUAUCUAACUCCACUUCUCGCACUAUUCCUCGUAGCAAUUUCAAUCUAAACAUUUCCAUUAGAAUACUGGCUAGGAAAUUGCAUAAUUCCAUAAGUUUAUUUUUCCUUAUAGCUGAAAACAUAGAGCGUCUCCAUGUAGAUUACAUAAAUUUUUUUGGGUAAAUAAUUAAGCAAUUUUCCACAAUGUUAGUACAAAAUGGAAAGUUAAAAAGAACCAUAUGAAUUUUGACUAAACUUGAGAUAAUGUUGGUUUCAUGUGAGUUCCAAAUAUAGCGAGUAGAAUGCAAUUACCCUUUUAAGCUAAAGAAGUUAAUUUGGCUGUCAGCUUCACUUAUUUCUUGGAAUUCGUUGACGAAUAAAAAAGGCGCAGAAGGAGAGAAUUUUCUUUGCCCGUUUUGUGUACUUCCAAGAAUUUUCUUUGCCACAUUUCAGUGACUUGUCUCCAAAAAAUUCAGGCGAAUGUGCUAUACACCCGUCUGAUCCGGUAAUGAUUCAGUCUCCUCUGAUUUAUUUCUGGACCUCUUUAGGCCCGUCCCCUUCCCCUUAGUAUAAGAUAUAUUAGGUUUAUCCCCUUAGUAUAAGAUAUAUUAGGUUUAUCGUCUCGGGCAAAAAAAAAAAAAAGGAAGGGAUAACCCGAACCUUAAGCAACGCAUAUAUAAUAGUGAAUUCGAUCUAAUGCAUAAAUACAAGUGCAAAACCUUUCUAAUGCAUUCUUCCUGUAGAUACCAAAUUUUUGUCAAUUUUUAAUAUUUUCUCAAGAUUUUUCUAUUUAAUGAAUUAUUUAUUUUCUAGCAUUUUAAUGUGCAUUUUUCUCAUUUUUGCAGGUUUGCUUUAAAAAAAAAAAAGAAAAACAAACCAAAAAAAAAAAAAAAACAAACAAAAAAAUAAAAUAAAAGUAAAAAUAAAAAAAAUCAUCAUAAUCAUUUUCUCUACCAAAACCCCUAUUAACCCAUUCCACACUCAAUUGCCAGGCACCUUUCUUUUCAUUGGCAGAAGCUAUCAUUUGAAAAAAAAUCCUACACACAAGCCCCAUUUUUUUUUUUUUUCCUACAAGUCCCUCUCGAUUCUCUGCUCUCUGGACGGACCAUCAGGUCAGACAGAAGAAGAAAAAAAGACUCCAACUCUCACUCUGACUCUGGGCUCUCUCCCUCUCGGUUCCUUUUUCUUUUUUUUUGUUUCUCUCAACACACUCACACACAACUUAAAACAACAAAAGGAAGCAGCGAUCGGUUAGGCUAUUUGGAGCUUGGCAAAUUUCAUCACAAACUUUGGCCAAGGGACCAAACUCCUCAUUGAGGUAUUAUUAUUAUUUUUUUUCCAGCUUUUCAUUUUAUUAACUAAUUAGAUUAAAUUCAUGUUUUGCUAUCUAUUUGUCUCUUUCUUUUAUUGAUGUUGUUGUUAUGUGGUGUUGUUGAAGUUUUGGGGUAAGCCAUGUAUGAAAUUAAAGGAAAAAGAUGAUUUCUUGUGAAUGCAUGUUAAUUGUUUGAAAAAAUGCCAAAAAGAAUUUUAGGGACUGUUUUGAUUUAAUGCAUCCUUUUGUUGUUGUUUACUUGUCAAACUAAGAUUAUAGUUGUAUUGUAGAAGUUAUCAGGAGGGUUUUGGCAUAAUUUUUAUGAUUUUUGGUGAAGAUUUGAGAGUUUUAAAAAAUAAAAACUGAACUGAUUUCUUGGCAUUUUGACCACUUUUGGGUCAUCUUUUGUAAAAACUAACUUCAAAAAUGGAGUCUGCGCGAAAAAUGGAGUGGGGAGGUGUAUUUUGAGAAAUUUUGGCGACCGGAGAAGUCGCCGGCGACCGCCGCCGGAGGUGGUGGCCGCGGUGGCGCUACCGGCGGCCACCAUGGCCGCCAACUGGAGUGAGCUUCGGAUGGCCAGAGGAGAAGAAGAAACGAAUGGGGAAGAAAGAAAAGAAAGAAAAGAGAAGAAAGAAAAGGAAAGGAAAUUGGGCUGAUGUUUAUUUUUCUGAUGGGCCAAGAGUUAGUUUUGGUUGGGUUUUGUAAAUGGGUUUUUUUUGUUUCUUAAUUUCGGUUGGGCUAGAAGGUCAGAGCCCAUGCCUUUAUUUUGGUUGGGUCUGAGUGAUAGAAGACGGGCUGGCAUUGUGUUUUCGCUUGGACUUUCGGCUGGGCUUAGGUAAUGUUUGGCCCAAAGAAAUAAAAAUGAUGGCCCAGUGGCCUGUUUUCUUAAGAAGAUCUGAUAACGAAUUUGCACUUUAGCCCCUGAUCUUUGGAGUAGUUUCACUUCGGCCCAGAACAUUUUGAUUUCUUUCACUUUGGUCCUUAUAGUAAUUGCAUUUUGGUCCCUGAAUUUUAUCUUUUAUUUAAUUUUGACCUCUGAACUUUAGAAAAUAUAUAUUUUUAUCCCCAAAAGUUUUUCAAUUUUUGCAAUUCAGUCCUAAUGAAUUUUGACUCUUUUUUAUUGUGAUUGCUUCUUUUCUUUAAUAGCUAAUUAUGUUACUUUUGAAUAUAUUUAACUUGCAAUUUUUAGAUGUUCUUAAAUUUCUUUGCGUUUGACGUGUUAAUGUGAAUUUAGUGUUUUAACAUUAUUAUUAUUUUCAAUUAAAGUGGUGCCAUGAUUCUUUUGUUCAUUGUGAGUAUAAAUAGGACAAUUUGACUCCAUUUAGUCACCACUUCAAACGGGAGGUACCCCUAUUUUUAUUGUUUCAAUGUCAAUUAUGUGCUCUCAUGUGCUCCUAUGUGCUCCUAUGUGUUUAUCUAUUUUUAUAUGUUUUAUUUAUUGCAUUUAAAUGUUCAUUUAAAUUUUCUUAUAUUAUAUUCGUUUAGUUAAUUUUUUAUAAUGAUUCAAGAGGCAUUUAAUUACCUCAAAAAUGUAAUAGAUAGGAUAAUUAGAUUUGUUUUAUUAUAUUUUUCCCUUCUAAAUUGUAGUUGGGCGCUCCCCGAUGUAAUAGAUAGGUUGCGUGUUUAUGUGGCUUAUGUGUUAUGUGUUUUAUCCGCUUUCCUUAGGAUUUUCGCAUCUAGAUAUUAUGUUUACGUGUUAUGUGCUACGUGCUCUUAUGUGUUUAUUUGUUUUAAUUUAUGCUUUAGUUGUUUCACUAUGAAUUGUUAAUGCAUGACGUCACCACACUAGUCCAACGCUAGUUGUGGCUUCUCCCUCUAUUUACUUGCUAGUCCAACGCUAGUAAGGAAUUUUAGAAAUGGGCUAGUCCAACGCUAGACCCUUUAGGUUGUCUUGCGCUAGAUUCAUCUUUGUGUGCUAUUCACUACAUUUUCAUGCAUAUUUUCAUUUUUAAGAUCUUUUCUCAUUUGCAUGAUAUUCCCUAUUAUAUUAUCCCUUAUCCUCUAUAUGUGUUAAUCAUAUCAUUUAAAAUUGCAUUUCAUUUAGGACAUUGUAUAAUAAGUUAGCUCAUUUGCUUGUGCAUAUUAGGAGAAUUAUUUUUCAAACAUGGGAAAUGGGUGAUUAUAACCUUUUAGUUUAAAUACCCCAUUAAUCCCUGUAUAAGAAAAUUAUGUCACGAGUUUUUGCCUCCCAUACCCUUUAUGUUGCAUUCCCUUUUUCUUCGAUCACUUAUAUCUAUGUAUAUAAUUUAAUUUACUUUCUUUACUUUUCUUUUUUUUCAUCAUUUGCAUACUCGUGAUCCUUUCAAGGAAAUAUUUUGGCUUUCGCAAUUAAUGCGAUUGUUUCAAUUAAACCCUUGAAUGGAUAUUUUGACCCUUUCGAUAUUUUAUAAAUUUAAAUUUGCAUCCAUGUAGGGAACAUCCAAAUAAGAUAAAAUUAAGGGUUAGAUUAGGAAAUUUUUGACCAAACCUCGCAACUAGCUUAGAUAGGUUGAAAGGGUGCCUUAGGUUUGAUUUAAUCGAACCUUUGCCUUCCCUUUCUUCAAUCGUGACUCCCGAACCCAUUUUCUCUUGUUUUUUCGAAGACCUGGAGUUGUCAAAAGGGUUUUUAUUUUAUUUUAUUCUUAUCAAAAAGUAUUUUUGGGGUGACUUGGUACACCCAAAUUCAAUACCAAGUGGCGACUCCUCUUUUUUCUGAAAAACCCUUUUAGACUAAAUUUUGGACCCAAAUUGUCGCAUUUUUUAAAAGUCCCAUUUUAGGUCCUUUUUCAUUUAUUAUUAAUAAAUCACAUCUUUUUAUAAACACUUUCUUUUCCAUCGCGAAAAAAUGGGGCGCGACAACUUGGCGACUCCACUGGGGACGUUAGAGAGUCCAAGCACUUGGUUUAGUCGUUUUUCUCUUUAACCCUUAUAUUUAUCAUAUUUGGAUGUUUUAGGUUGCAUUUUUCUUUUUUAGGAUGUUUUGCAUUUCACACUCGUAAUCGUUCCUCGUCUUACGUCUAUGUGAUGAAUGGUUAUUUAUUUAUUUAUUCGUAUCGCGCUUUGCAUUUGGGUGAGGGGAAUAUCACCUUAAGCCUCCACUGUUUUAAUUAUAAUCUCUCCCUCAAAAGGAAGCACUCAUACGUGCAUGCAUUAUUUUACCCUAUUUUUUUUUUCGUGGGCGCCAUCCACAUCUCCUUGUAGGAUUAGAUCGAUUUCCUUAGGUAGCGGAUGGUGUGCUCUGCGCCCAUAGCGACCUAAGGGAUCACUCAAGCCACCGAUCAAGGUUGGGAUUGAUGACCCUUCUUUUGGUCUGAAGGCUUGGGAACCUGAAACUUAUCGAGUCUAGAUGCAUUAGUAGCCAAGCUCAUGCAUCCAUAUUAGAAAUACCCUAGGAUAGAGUCAAUCCUUAUCCAAUUAGGAACAUUAGACACGAGGGGAGGGAUUUCACCCCUCUUUCUUUACUUUCUAUUGUUGUAUUAUUUAUUGUUCCAACGUGUUAUGUGUUAUUUGUUGAACUAACCUUCCCUUGUUUUCUCUUUUCUGCAUAAACAAACUUUAGAAAUAAGAGUUCUGGCAUGAUACUCGUUUAGGACAAGACAGCCUUUCAUAUCAAGCACGUUUAAAUUUUAAUUAAUUGCAUACGCAUAUAUAUUGCACAUCAUUUUAGGCUUACCCCGGCAUUUAAAUGGGGCACUUUUAGAUCAUAUGUCAAUUAUUUCAUUGCAUAUUUAACCGUUUUAAUAAAUUGGCAUCAUACAUCAACUUUAGAGGGAAUGCCGCAUAGGGGAUCCCACGUUAAGAAUAAGCCACCUUUUGUCUCGGAUAUAUAAUCCAAUGAGAUUUGCACGUUUAUAUUUUUUGUACCAUCCAAAGGGGUAGUGCACAAGGUAAGGUAGGAUCCGAUCAUUUUUUCAUAACACGAUUUUUGGAAUAUGAGCACCUAACAAUCAUCUUUUGGCCAUUUUAACAUAUUUGAUAAAAUCCCCUUGCGCAAAGGGUAUUAAUUUGGAGAAGUUCACAAAUAAUUUCACAUUGUUGAGACGAUAAAUAUAAUCGAGGCCAAAUCUUGAUUUUAGAAGGCUCAUAGACUGAUGCAUCGCAAUGAAUUUUUUGAAACUAUCAAUAGGUAGCCAAUUCAAUAAACUCUCAUUUCCAUUCAAUUCAUUUAAUCAAAUUAUCCAUCAAAUUCAUCCAAUCUAUUUGGUCAAUUCAUUCAUUUUUAGGACAAUUCGGUCAAUUUUGAAUAAAUCGUCAUUUUCAUUUAUUUGACCAAUUUAUCCCUUUUUAGGGUGAUUCAAUCAAUUUUGAAUAAAUUAAAUUUCAUUCAAUUCAUUUGAUCAGUUUGCCUAUUUUUAAGGUGAUCUAGUCAAUUUUGAAAUAAAUCAUUAAUUUCAUUCAAUUCAUUUGACCAAUUUACCCCUUUUUAGGGUGGUCCAGCCAAUUUUUGAAUAGAUCCUCAAUUUCAUUCAAUCAAUUUGAUCUGUUCAUUCACUUUUAGGAUAAUUCAGUCAAUUUUGAAUAAAUCGUCAAUUUCAUCCAAUCAAUUUUACCAGUUUAUUCAUUUUUUAGGACAAUCCAACCAAUUUUUGAAUAAAUCCUCAAUUUCAUUCAAUCCAUUUGAUCCGUUCAUUUACUUUUAGGAUAAUUCAGCCAAUUUUGAAUAAAUCAUCAAUUCCACCCAAUUCGUUAUUCUUUUUAGGACAAUUCAAUCAAUUUUUUAAUAAAUCAUCAAUUUCAUUCGAUCCAUUUGACCAGUUUUAUCACUUUUAGGAUAAUCCAAUCAAUUUUUGAACUAACCAUCAAUUUCAUUCGAUUCAUUUAACCCAUUUAUUCUCUUUUAAAGUUUCGAUCUAUGGUUCACCGAAGAAACUAGUCAAGACAUUUCAAUCCUUUCAAAAAAUAAGUUUUUCACACUAAAUUGAUUUUUAAUAUCACUUUAUAUGUCAAUCAAAAUAAUCAAUCCAUUCGAAUUUUGUCCUCAUUUUGUUAGUUAUCUAUUAUUUUCGAAAAAAAAGAUCCAUUUAGUCCAAUUUUUUUUCAAAUGCUCUUCAAUUGAAUCUCAAUAAGUCGAUCGGAUCCAUCAGGUAUUGUAUGGUGCCUACCCCAGAGGAUUGCAUUUUUCAUGUUAGGCCAACCCUUGGCAUAAAAGGGCUCUCCCAUAGGACAUGCAUACCAAUUUUACAGUUUUGAUUACUAACUCUGGGUAUUUUUCUUUUAAUUUUUCCCCCUCCCCUGCAUUUAUAAAAGUUGUUUUAAUAAGGUAAAAAUAUUUUUCCUAUAUCUGAUAAUAUUUUUUGAUCUGAUAAAUUUUGAAAAUUACAAGUGUUACUUGAUUUUGGACAGAUCCUACAAUGAAAAAAAAAUGAUGAAUGAAAAAUUUCAUCUGUAAAUGCCAAUCUAAAGUAUCUCAAAAAUCUCUUGAUUCAUUGUUUCUAAUACAUUUUGUCUCAAAAGAUAGAAAGAGAAAGUGUGUAUAUAUUUGAAAAUAUAUUCUUUGGAGAUUUUUACUUUCUCAUAUAUAUUAUAUUUGAGCAAAAAAAAAAAAAAAUUUUUGAACAAUAAAGUUUUUAUUUAGACAAUUAUUAUUUUGUAUAUAUAUUCAUUCUUUAUUUGCUUAUUGGGAGAUUUCAUGAUGAAUCCUAAGAAAUAAGAUUAAAUUGAGAUUUUUCGACCUCUUGUUCUAAAAUUCAUGAGUGUAUGUCCAAUCCCCAAAAUUCUUUGCAUACACUAGAUUUGUGGUCUAAACUAUUCAAUGGGGAUAGUCGGAAAUAAAAGGGUCAUUCAAAUUUGAUAGCUUGUCAUAAAAGAUCAACCCUAACACUUUUCAUUUUCAUUUUUUGUCCACUUCUAUUGAACCUCCAAGAUCAGUCGCAUUGGUUGACUAGCUUCAAAGUGAGAUAAUUUUUUUCAUGAAAAUGUCUGGUGUGUCUAAUCAGAUUCAAUCCACAUCUGAGUGAAAGCAAAAAUGUACAUUACUGCUUAUUUUGUUUUGAAAAUUUGGAAUGAUACUUUAGGCUUUCGUUUCUCUAUCUAUACAGAUGCUAUCAUUUGUUUUCCCAUUUGAGCCUUUAAAAAUAGAAUUUCGUUUCAAAUAAAAUCCUAAAUGAUCAUGACCUUCCAUGGAAAAUUUUUCGAAUGUCAAAUGGAAAUGGAUUUUUCCAACGGGUUAUUCUUUACUUUGGUUGUCAUGAGAAAUAAGAAUGAUGCUUUGGCCAUCGUUUCUACCAUCUAAACACUUUUAUCCUUUGCAUCCUCAUUUGAGCCUAAAUUGGUGGUUCGUUUCAAAAGCACUUAUGAUUGCACCCCCACACUGGGGAAGGAGAUUUCAAAAAAAGAAAAAAAAAAGAAGAAAAAAAGGAGAAAAUGCUACAAGUUGGGGAAUUUGACUCUACCAUUGAUAUUUGGUCUUCAAUAUCAAAAGAAACAGGGGCCAUCUACACUCCAAAUAAGGGAGUUUUCAAUUUUAUCAUUGACAUUGGGAUAUCAGUAUUGGUAAAAAAAAAAAAAAAAAAAAAAAAAGGGAAAAGAGAGAAAAGAAAAAUGUGAAAAAAAUGAAAAAAAAUGAUGAAAGAAAAAAAAGAAAAAGAAAAAUGCGAAGACAUCCAACGCUGCAUUCCUCUUAGUGAUUGUUGAAGAAAAAAGAGGAUUGAUAAGAAAAAGGGAGUCAAAAUGGGGUCCCGGAUUUUAAAUCCAAAACUGGGGCAAUUUUUGUGAAAAAGGUGAUUUUAAGUGCAUUGUCCUUGAAAGUUUUUUUCCUAGCUAUCGUUGUUAAACUACAUUACAUAGCCCAUAAAGUCCAUUGCUGACUUGUCUUUCAUGACAAUUUGAAGUGAAAAUCUUGCCUCUAAGGGAUCUACCAAUCACUCAUGAUCAGAAGGCCAUAACCUGUUUUCAUAUGUUUAGCUAUCGUUUCUACCCAUAUAUUACAAGCAUAUACAGCUUAUAUGUUGACUGAGUUUUCUUAGAAAAUAAGAGUGAUAAACUAUUUGCUUUCACCAAGAUGUGAUAUUGAAUGUGUUGGGUACAAUUUGGCAAAAAAAAAAAAAAAAAAAAAGACAAAUCCUAACAUACCAUUCCCCUGAGUCACCUCAAAAUCAUGAAUAAUACCCAUUUGGUUGGUUCUAAAAGAUGAACUAACAAGAAAGGGACCCCUUUUCCCUCAACACCGAUCCCAAAAUGAGGAAGAGAUCUUUUGCAAUUUGGUCCUAUUUUGAGAGAUUUAGCAUGGAAUCUUCUAUAUGAGUUUGGAUAUGACAUUUAAUUUUUUUCAUUUGAAAAAUAUAGUUUCUAUUCACAUUGCAUGUUAGUCUUCUAAAUUUUGAAAAAAAAAAAAAACAGUUUUCUGGUUUUGUCUGGUUAAAUGGAGAACCAUUCGAUAAAAUUCUAUAAUAGGCCCAAAUUGGGGCAAAUUCUUUGUAAUAUAUUUGUGAGAUUUUUGUCAAAUAGGUUCAAAUUGAGGCAAAAUUUUACAAUGCAUUUGUAGGGUAUGUCCAAGGUCAAGUAUAUUUUUCAAAUUUUGAUAAGUCAACACUUGGCAUGAAUCUUAAUUGUUACAUCAUUGCUCAAAAAAAAAAAAGAAUUUUGAAAAAUUCAAGUGUUUGAAAAACCCCCCUUGUGCAGGUGUUUAUGGUUGAGUUUGAGGAAAAGACGCAAGUGAAAAUCUUGCAAAUUUGGAGGGUAAUCACGAAUAAAAAGGGGGCAAUAAUACUACCUUGCAAAGUGGAGGAUCGGCUAUUUAUUCAGAAAGAGUGCAUACUUCAACAAUCAACUUGAAAAAAAAAAAAGAAGAAAAGAGAAAAUAAAAGAAAGGGGGAAUGAAAAAAAAGAGAGAGAGAAUAGUAAAAAAAAAAAAAGGGAAAAAAUGAAAAAAAAAAGGAAAAAACGAAAAAAGAGAGAAAAAGAAAAAAAAAGGGGAUUGAAAAAAAGAAAAAGGAAAAGAGAGUUUUUCCUUCGAUUUUGCAAAUUUUGCAAUUGAACUCUGGGAGCAUUUCAUUAGAGAUUACAUUUCUAAGUUGGGGCAACACCUUGCCCUCUUAUGUCGAAAUGGAAGUGGUAAUGCAUGCCAAAAUCGAGAUCCCGUCCUUGCACAUUUUGACAAAGGCUCAGGCAGAAGAAAUCAAAUGGAUUAAGGAGCACAAUGAGUUGUUGUCUCUAAUUGAUGAAAAAGAGGUUGAAUGUUUGUCAUGGACAAUGCUAUCAUCAAAUGAUGGUUCGUUAGAAAGACAAAUCUCGCUUAUUUGAAGUGAGGGAUAAGGUUUUGAAGUAAAUUUUUCCGAUUCAAGAGGAGGUUAAAGAAAAGUUUGCUCCAACUUGGCAAGGGCCAUUUAUUGUUCAAAGAGUGCUAUCCGGAGGAACGUCCAUUCUUACAGAACUGGAUGGACAGGUUUUUCCUUUGCCAAUCAAAGACAUGUGUAAUAAAUUUUUUAUCUGAUUAUGUGAUUUUUCUUUUUGAAAUACCAUCUAUGGCGGAUCAAAGGCGAGCCUUCUUCUUUUCUCUUUGAACAUCUUAUCCCUAGUUUUCCCCAUUGAACCUCCAGAAUAAUUUAACCCUUUAUUUGAUAGCCCUCCUAAAGAUUGCAAAUUCCACACCAGGGCAAAUUUUAUCUCCUAUUUGUCCAAAAAAAAAAAAGAAAGAAAAAAAAAGGGAUUCAAAAGCCAAACUGGGGCAAUUUUUUUCAGUAUUAAUACCCUCAUACUGGAGCAAAUAUUGAUAGAACGUCAUCUUAGGGUUUUGAAACCUUUUUGAAGAUUUUGCUUUCAACCUUUAAUAUUUCUCUACCCCAUCUGAGCCCAUCACAAAAAUCAUGAAAGUCUCGACCUCCGUUUUAGUGGCAUUUCUGAUAAAAAUCACUUAAUCAAAUGGCAAAUGAUGUCAAUACACCUUCACCAAUUUUGCAUGGGAAGGAUUGUCACACUGAUGCCAUUAUUCUUUAAAUAUAUUUCUGAGUUGAUAAAGGUCGUUGGCAAGAUUUGUUCAUUGAGUGAAAACCGGAAUGGGUGUCUUUUCAAAAGGAAAAAAAGAGAGAGAGAAAAGAAAAAUGAAAAAAAAUGAAUGGAAAAAAAAAGAAAAAAAAGAAGAAAUAGAAAAACGAAAAGAAAAUGGGGGUGACCUUAGGAAAAAUCCGAAAUGCUAAGGUCAUCAAUGUAAGGUUUUGGAGCACAAGAGAAUCAUGAACGAAGAGCAGAGUGUUGAAACUUGAAACGGACAUUCCUUCAAAUCUGGUCAUUAGAAAGAGUUGAUUUGUGAUACAAAGGGAAGUAUGACUGACUGAUGCUAAAAAACUGAGAAGAUUCAACACAAGUUGCAGCACAACUCUUGGGGGGCAGUUUUGACAUCAAAAGAUCAUGCUUACAUGGUUCUCAAGGCCAAAGGAAUCACAAGGGAUCACAUGGGUGGUGGCAUUAUGUGAUCACUUUUUUUUUGUCUUUUCGAAAGCAUGAAAAAUGUGGUUUUUGUUAAACAUGAUUUACGCUGGAUCAAAUAGCAAAAGGAGUGAGCUCCAAUUUUGGUAAUGCAUUCUAAAUCGGUUUUGUGAAAGAAAAAAAAGUGAAAAAAGAAAAAGGGCCUUUUAAAAUCGAGAGGAUAGUGACAUAUGUACCUCUCGAAUCUCUUGAAGGGAGAAUUGUCAUUGGUAUUUUUCUAGUUUUAAAAUUCGUCACUUUGGACUUUUUCAAAAAAAAAAAAAGUGUGUUUCUUUCAUUUCUUCUAAAAAAUUUGAAAAAAAAGAGAGAAAAAAAAGAGAGAUUGCAAAUCCACCAACUUGAGCAACGUGCAUUUAAGCCUUUCAGUUAGAUAGUAUAGGACUUGCGUUUUCGUUUCUUUCAGUAUUUCAUUGGGCUCGGGUCAAUCCCACCAAUCUGUUAUUUAAAAAAAAAAUCAAAAAUCAAAUCAAAAUCAAUCAAGAAGAUCCAAUUUAAAUUCCUGUUGGAGCGUAAUCGCGUCCCUCCGCAUAUUUAAUUUCUUGUUGGUGAGUCUCAGCGUCCACCGCGUACCCUUCUAUCUCCCCUUCUUGACAGAUCAGAAGAUCAUAUUUAAUUUCUUGUUGGUGAGUUCAGCGUCCACCGCGCACCCUUCUACCUCCCCUUCUUGACAAUUUAUUUAAAUUCUGUUGGUGAGUCUCAGCGUCCACCGCGCACCCUUCUAUCUCCCCUUCUUGACAAUUUAAAUUCCUGUUGGAGUGCGUAAUCGCGUCGCCUCCGCGCUUGCGACAAUUUAAUUUCCUGUUGGUGAGUCUCAGCGUCCACCGCGCACCCUUCUACCUCUCAUUCUUGACAAUUUAAUUUCCUGUUGGUGAGUCUCAGCGUCCACCGCGCAUCCUUCUAUCCCCCUUCUUGUCAAUUUAAUUUCCUGUUGGUGAGUCUCAGCGUCCACCGCGCACCCUUCUACCUCCCCUUCUUGAAAAAUUUAAUUCAUGCUGGUGAGUCUCAGCGUCCACCGCGCAUCCUUUUACCUCCCCUUCUUAACAAUUUAAAUUAUUGUUGGAGCGUAAUCGCGUCCCUCCGCGCAUCAAUUUAAUUCCCUGUUGGUGAGUCUCAGCGUCCACCGCGCACCCUUCUGUCCCCCUUCUCGACAAUUUAAUUUUCUGUUGGUGAGUCUCAGCGUCCACCGCGCACCCUUCUAUCUCCCAUUCUUGACAAUUUAAUUUUAUGUUGGAGCGUAAUCGCGUCCCUCCGCGCAUCAAUUUAAUUUCCUGUUGGUGAGUCUCAGCGUCCACGCGCACCCUUCUAUCUCCCAUUCUUGACAAUUUUAUUUUCUGUUGGAGCGUAAUCGCGUCCCUCCGCGCAUCAAUUUAAUUUCCUGUUGGUGAGUCUCAGCGCCCACCGCGCACCCUUCUGUCCCCCUUCUCGACAAUUUAAUAUCUUGGUGGUGAGGUCUCAGCGUCCGCCGCGCACCCUUCUACCCCCAUUCUAAGCAAUCACAUUUAAUUUUCUGUUGGAGCGUAAUCGCGUCCUCCGCGCAUCUUUUUCUAGUUAUGAGAAGUUAUUUUUCUUGACUGUUUUGAUUAAUAAUUGUGUUGUCUCAUUCAUUUUGUAUUUCAUGUUUAGAAGUUCUGAUAACUCAGACUUUUUUGACUUUGCAAAGAUCACAGUUGGUCAAUGCACUUGUUUCAUUGUGGUUCACUUGCAUUUGAACUACGUUUGACCUGAUUCCCAUGGCGGGAUACGUAGGCAACUCUACAUGAGUUCGGUCACGUGCUUCCUGUAAUGUUAUUGCAUCAUUUUACUCAAUAAUUUCAGCCAAGUGUUGGCUUGUUUAUUUUAGUUCAGGUGCAACUACAAGAGACAGGUAAGCAAUUUGGUGUCUACGUCUUUGUCUUGAGUUUCUUUGAAACUCUAGACAAAGAGGGGCAAGCUGUAGACACCAAAUUUUUGUCAAUUUUUAAUAUUUUCUCAAGAUUUUUCUAUUUAAUGAAUUAUUUAUUUUCUAGCAUUUUAAUGUGCAUUUUUCUCAUUUUUGCAGGUUUGCUUUAAAAAAAAAAGGAAAAAAAAAAAGAAAAACAAACCAAAAAAAAAAAACAAACAAACAACAAAAAUAAAAUAAAAGUAAAAAAAAUAAAAAAAAUCAUCAUAAUCAUUUUCUCUACCAAAACCCUAUUAACCCAUUCCACACUCAAUUGCCAGGCACCUUUCUUUUCAUUGGCAGAAGCUAUCAUUUGAAAAAAAAUCCUACACACAAGCCCCAUUUUUUUUUUUUCCUACAAGUCCCUCUCGAUUCUCUGCUCUCUGGACGGACCAUCAGGUCAGACAGAAGAAGAAAAAAAGACUCCAACUCUCACUCUGACUCUGGGCUCUCUCCCUCUCGGUUCCUUUUUCUUUUUUUUGUUUCUCUCAACACACUCAUACACAACUUAAAACAACAAAAGGAAGCAGCGAUCGGUUAGGCUAUUUGGAGCUUGGCAAAUUUCAUCACAAACUUUGGCCAAGGGACCAAACUCCUCAUUGAGGUAUUAUUAUUAUUUUUUUUCCAGCUUUUCAUUUUAUUAACUAAUUAGAUUAAAUUCAUGUUUUGCUAUCUAUUUGUCUCUUUCUUUUAUUGAUGUUGUUGUUAUGUGGUGUUGUUGAAGUUUUGGGGUAAGCCAUGUAUGAAAUUAAAGGAAAAAGAUGAUUUCUUGUGAAUGCAUGUUAAUUGUUUGAAAAAAUGCCAAAAAGAAUUUUAGGGACUGUUUUGAUUUAAUGCAUCCUUUUGUUGUUGUUUACUUGUCAAACUAAGAUUAUAGUUGUAUUGUAGAAGUUAUCAGGAGGGUUUUGGCAUAAUUUUUAUGAUUUUUGGUGAAGAUUUGAGAGUUUUAAAAAAUAAAAACUGAACUGAUUUCUUGGCAUUUUGACCACUUUUGGGUCAUCUUUUGUAAAAACUAACUUCAAAAAUGGAGUCUGCGCGAAAAAUGGAGUGGGGAGGUGUAUUUUGAGAAAUUUUGACGACCGGAGAAGUCGCCGGCGACCGCCGCCGGAGGUGGUGGCCGCGGUGGCGCUACCGGCGGCCACCAUGGCCGCCAACUGGAGUGAGCUUCGGAUGGCCAGAGGAGAAGAAGAAACGAAUGGGGAAGAAAGAAAAGAAAGAAAAGAGAAUAAAGAAAAGGAAAGGAAAUUGGGCUGAUGUUUAUUUUUCUGAUGGGCCAAGAGUUAGUUUUGGUUGGGUUUUGUAAAUGGGUUUUGUUGUUUUUUUCUUAAUUUCGGUUGGGCUAGAAGGUCAGAGCCCAUGCCUUUAUUUUGGUUGGGUCUGAGUGAUAGAAGACGGGCUGGCAUUGUGUUUUCGCUUGGACUUUCGGCUGGGCUUAGGUAAUGUUUGGCCCAAAGAAAUAAAAAUGAUGGCCCAGUGGCCUGUUUUCUUAAGAAGAUCUGAUAACGAAUUUGCACUUUAGCCCCUGAUCUUUGGAGUAGUUUCACUUCGGCCCAGAACAUUUUGAUUUCUUUCACUUUGGUCCUUAUAGUAAUUGCAUUUUGGUCCCUGAAUUUUAUCUUUUAUUUAAUUUUGACCUCUGAACUUUAGAAAAUAUAAUUUUUAUCCCCAAAAGUUUUUCAAUUUUUGCAAUUCAGUUCCUAAUGAAUUUUGACUCUUUUUUAUUGUGAUUGCUUCUUUUCUUUAAUAGCUAAUUAUGUUACUUUUGAAUAUAUUUAACUUGCAAUUUUUAGAUGUUCUUAAAUUUCUUUGCGUUUGACGUGUUAAUGUGAAUUUAGUGUUUUAACAUUAUUAUUAUUUUCAAUUAAAGUGGUGCCAUGAUUCUUUUGUUCAUUGUGAGUAUAAAUAGGACAAUUUGACUCCAUUUAGUCACCACUUCAAACGGGAGGUACCCCUAUUUUUAUUGUUUCAAUGUCAAUUAUGUGCUCUCAUGUGCUCCUAUGUGCUCCUAUGUGUUUAUCUAUUUUUAUAUGUUUUAUUUAUUGCAUUUAAAUGUUCAUUUAAAUUUUCUUAUAUUAUAUUCGUUUAGUUAAUUUUUUAUAAUGAUUCAAGAGGCAUUUAAUUACCUCAAAAAUGUAAUAGAUAGGAUAAUUAGAUUUGUUUUAUUAUAUUUUUCCCUUCUAAAUUGUAGUUGGGCGCUCCCCGAUGUAAUAGAUAGGUUGCGUGUUUAUGUGGCUUAUGUGUUAUGUGUUUUAUCCGCUUUCCUUAGGAUUUUCGCAUCUAGAUAUUAUGUUUACGUGUUAUGUGCUACGUGCUCUUAUGUGUUUAUUUGUUUUAAUUUAUGCUUUAGUUGUUUCACUAUGAAUUGUUAAUGCAUGACGUCACCACACUAGUCCAACGCUAGUUGUGGCUUCUCCCUCUAUUUACUUGCUAGUCCAACGCUAGUAAGGAAUUUUAGAAAUGGGCUAGUCCAACGCUAGACCCUUUAGGUUGUCUUGCGCUAGAUUCAUCUUUGUGUGCUAUUCACUACAUUUUCAUGCAUAUUUUCAUUUUUAAGAUCUUUUCUCAUUUGCAUGAUAUUCCCUAUUAUAUUAUCCCUUAUCCUCUAUAUGUGUUAAUCAUAUCAUUUAAAAUUGCAUUUCAUUUAGGACAUUGUAUAAUAAGUUAGCUCAUUUGCUUGUGCAUAUUAGGAGAAUUAUUUUUCAAACAUGGGAAAUGGGUGAUUAUAACCUUUUAGUUUAAAUACCCCAUUAAUCCCUGUAUAAGAAAAUUAUGUCACGAGUUUUUGCCUCCCAUACCCUUUAUGUUGCAUUCCCUUUUUCUUCGAUCACUUAUAUCUAUGUAUAUAAUUUAAUUUACUUUCUUUACUUUUCUUUUUUUUCAUCAUUUGCAUACUCGUGAUCCUUUCAAGGAAAUAUUUUGGCUUUCGCAAUUAAUGCGAUUGUUUCAAUUAAACCCUUGAAUGGAUAUUUUGACCCUUUCGAUAUUUUAUAAAUUUAAAUUUGCAUCCAUGUAGGGAACAUCCAAAUAAGAUAAAAUUAAGGGUUAGAUUAGGAAAUUUUUGACCAAACCUCGCAACUAGCUUAGACUAGGUUGAAAGGGUGCCUUAGGUUUGAUUUAAUCGAACCUUUGCCUUCCCUUUCUUCAAUCGUGACUCCCGAACUCAUUUUCUCUUGUUUUUUCGAAGACCUGGAGUUGUCAAAAGGGUUUUUAUUUUAUUUUAUUCUUAUCAAAAAGUAUUUUUGGGGUGACUUGGUACACCCAAAUUCAAUACCAAGUGGCGACUCCUUUUUUUCUGAAAAACCCUUUUAGACUAAAUUUUGGACCCAAAUUGUCGCAUUUUUUAAAAGUCCCAUUUUAGGUCCUUUUUCAUUUAUUAUUAAUAAAUCACAUCUUUUUAUAAACACUUUCUUUUCCAUCGCGAAAAAAUGGGGCGCGACACUUCCUCCAAAGCUCAUUUUAAUGGAUGUGAAGAAACAAAAUGGUUGAAGAAAAUGAGUUUCGAAUUUGAAUAAAACAACAAAAUUUGGACUUGGCAACGCAUUGUGAGCAAAAUCCAGCUAAAUUUGCAGCUUCCUUCAUCCAAUUCAACUACAACAUUGAUCACCUUCUCAUGAGACUAAUUGAAUGAUGUAAAAAGUACAAUCUCCCUGACACAACAAUCACUAUGGUGCGUGAUCCGACUCCAGCUAAUAUAACCCAAAGUUUCUUUGUCGAAAUCUAUGAACAUUUAAAUGGCUAAACGAACUCAAGGCUACUUACUGCCCAAUUCGCGAUCCCAUUUUCCAAUUACAAAAACUGGAUAACCACCAGAAACAUCAUCAUUACAAGUGCAACCCCAACACUGAAUUCUGAAUACAAAAUUGAAAAUUUUGCAAAAUGUUAACUUCUUCGCAAAAUGUCAGCCACCAAUAUGUACAAGGUAACAGCAUAGCAAUACAACAGCAAGGAUCUUAAUCUUCAUCAUGACUCGUCUUUUGCUUCUUCCACUUGUAUGCGGCUUCAAGAAUUUUGAGAUUUGUGGUCUGUGUUUCUUCAGGGAAGAGGUAGUCAAUGUACUCCUCAUACCUGCAUAUUCUGGAGAUGUUAGGGCAAGCAAAUUUCAUUCGAAUCAAUAUACACAACCUUACACAGAUCAGACAUGUAACAGACAGUUUGUUCAACUUACCCAGAUGGACCAUCCUCGGUUUCUAUCUGCCUUCUCUUCUUGAGUUUCUUUGGCAGUUUAACGCGGACCAAAUCAACAUUGCCAAGCUCCCCGUAACUGCUCUCCAAGUUCAACCACUCUUCAAGCAGCAUUGCCCUUUCCUCUUUUAGUUCAGGAGCGGAUGUUCUAAAGUAACUAAGUGCUCUUUCAAAAACCCCUGUAUUAAAAAGAGAGGAACUUUAAUACUACCAGUACUUGGAACACUGUAUGGUAGACAAAAAUCGUGGUCAAGAAUAAAAUGGAAAAUAAACAGAAUGCAUUUAAAUAAGAGUUCCUUACCUCUUGCUCGCUGGAUGCAUUUUUCCUUCUGUUCAAGAUCUUCUUCUACUUCUUCCAUAGCAGAUGUCUCAAACUUAGCAUAACUUAACCAGACUUUCAAAUGUUUUGUACGAUUUAGGAGCCUCUCAUAGAGAGCUCUAGUCCUUUCAAAUUCACCCUCCGAUAUUUCAAAGUCAAUGUAUGCCUGUUAAUAAUGAGAUGUAUUAAAUCAGACACCUUGUGGUUUGAAAAGUAUUUAACACAAUAGAAUAACCAAAUGGUCAAAUAUCCCAAUAUUAAUAUCAGAUGCUUAAGAUCACAGCUCAUUUUGAGUCUUAAACCAAAACAAGGCAUAUUAACUUCCCUACUUCAGAGCCAAGUUUAAAACAGAGUAGGAGCUCUCCCACUCAUUACUACCACCAUGUAUAUUCUUGCCAAAUGCAAGUGGCAAGAACAAUGAGUGCUUUUACACAAAUUCAACUGGGCAGCUAACCCUUUUAACCAAGGCCUUGCUCCUCAUAAACCAACCAACAGAUAAACAGCAGAAUAAUACAUCCUAAAAGGUAAAGAGUGCAAAAUACAACAGAUUCUAAGAACAUUCAAAUAGAAAUCAGUAUAAUGUUAAAAUGAAAUACCUUCCACAAUAACUCUGGCAUGUCUAAUGCAGGUUGGUCAAUUGCAAGCUCAAAAAUAGAUCUUGCUCGCUCUGUUUCAGCCAAGGAUCUUUCCAGUUCUGCGUACUUGCUCCACGCAUAGCAGUUCUCUGGUGACCAUUCAAGGUACUUUUCAUACAGUGUACGGCAACGGUCUAUAUUACCCAGUUGCAGCUCUAUUUCGAUGUAUUUUUUAAAAAUCUGGAUGUUUAUGAGAAACAAUAUAAGCAAAAAACAAAACCUUUCAUGUUGAAAUACACAAAUAAAACCCAAAGAAAAGAAAAAGUAAAACCCAAUCAGUGAUGCUACCUUAUCUUUUGGAGCCUUCCCAAUUGCUGCUCCAAGGGUUAAUCGAGCACCUUGGAGAUUUAGCUGUCGGAUUUCAAACUGUGCUGCUAACAACCAAAUUUUUGCAAAUGAAAACUUCUCGUGAGGAAUGACCUUGAGGCACAACCUGGAGAAAUAGCAAUUCAAUUCAUUCUCACCGGUCCAUUUAUGUAAACAUUAUUUAGCAGAUGCAAACAUUCAAACACGGGUACUGAAAAGGUUUCACCAGUAUACAGAAAAGAAUGCAUUGGUCUUUACAUGUUCAAGUCAACGGAAAGCAAGUUCCUGCACUUGUGCACUCUCCAGAAAGUGCUCUUCCUAAAUGUCAUGAUCAUUAUAGAAUAAACCAUACAAACCCCAUUUGGUGAAUGACAGCCUCCAAAAUCCUACAUCUCUGGAUCUUUAUACUUGCCUAGCAACUUGGCAGGAAAAUGACACUAGCUUCAAAUUACAAAGAUUAUGAAUUAUGGCAAACAAUGCCCAGGGAAAUAACAAAAUUCCACACUUGCCCAGAUUACAAUAUCUAAUUUUUUUUUUUUUGGUACAGAUCACAAUAUCUAAUUUCUACAAUUGCAUGUGCUUAUCUAUGAUAAGAUCAACCAGGCACUGAAAGCAAUAAAAUUGGAUAUAGGGACCAUGUAAGCAAAUUCAGCGCUUCAAGCCUGGGCAGGAGUAGGUAGAUGAUCAGAUCAUACAACAACUAUUCAACAGCAAUCAUGAAAAGGUUUUUGCUUCAUAACGUACUUUGAUGCUGCACCCUCAUUAUAAUUGAAGUUUGUGGCUAGAUACAGUUCAAUUUUAAUAGGAUAUACUCUAACAGAAAGCAAGAACCAAGGACCGAAGAUACUAGACUGCUGGAAACCUCAAUUGAUUACAAAAUUUGCACUACUAAUGAUGGUUUAUACAUUUUGUCUAUAGCUUCUAUGAAUUUUCAGCUAAUAGGAAGCAGAUAUAUUCCCAUCAUUCCAAGCAUUUAUUAGCUAAGUCCUUUAUGCCAAGAGCACAUAUAUUACCAUGAUUAUCUCUAUUUCUGCCUUUAUCCCUCUAAGUUAGUGUGUCAGCAUUAAAAAUGCAGACAAAGAAGACAGGAACAGUUUUAGAGAUUAUUUCCCUUCAGAUCAGCCUGUAGAUGGUAAAGCUGGGUAAGAAGGGACAAUCUUUUACUCUAGCUUCACACCCCUCAACAUUGAACAUGUCAAGGAGUUCCACCAAAGGUAUACCUCUAACUAGUUGAAAAAGAGUUUAGGCACUAAAAUGCUAGAAAUGAAACAUUUAGGACUCAACAAGAUCCUCUAAAUCUUAAGGCACCAUUUUUAAAAAAUUAGCUCCAAAAAUUUUUUUUUUUUUGAAAGUAUGAAAAUGGCACUUUCCUUCAAACAAUUUAUCUAGUAUAAAGACCCUUUAACAAAAGAUAAUGCAACAUUGUAUUGAAGCUACUAAGACUAAUACAUUGCACAACUUCUUGAUAUUAUUGUGGCAUUCAAAUUGCCAAUAAGUAUCUGAAAACUACAUUGGAGUCCCACUCCCAACUUCCAUCUGGCCCAGCGUGGCAACAUAGAGAUUUGCAUCAAUCACAGUCAAUGUUGCAAGCAUAUAUCAAUUCAACAAUCUGGACAGCCACUAAAUAAAAUAAAGUUUCACCCCUAAUCAGAGGAUGGAGUAAGAAAUCAUCUACACUACAGCACUGCUACUAUAAAACUCUUCCCAAACAUCAAGUAAAAGUUGACAGGGCAAAAUAUUUGUAACCUCACAAUGGAUUGCUGGUUCACAUAAUUACUAAACUUUAAUGCACAUUAACCUUCUCCUGUUGUUUGCAAGUGUUACUUUCAACCAAAUAGAAACAGAUCAUGAGAAUAUGAAGCCAUUUUUCAUUAAAAAAUGUUAAUUGUCAAAGAAAGGUGCAAACCAGUAUUAACAAGAGAAAAUGUUUCACACAAUGCAGCUUCUGUAUUUCAAUUAAACUUCAGUAGCAAAUGAGACCGCAAGAACGAUACUGAUCAUCCAUUGGCAAAAACACCCAUCCAAACUGAAAAGCAGUCCUGAAGCCUAUGGCACUUUAAUAACUAAAGACAAAUUUCUCCUUCUGCUUAAAAUUGGAAAUUGAAUAAAAAUUUCCAGUUCAAAACAAGCAUAAUGAAAAAGAUGUAACUCAGGAAAUUAAGCAAAUCAUUGAAGCAAAAUCAGACAACGUAGAACGGUAGAAGUUCAAUGCAACUUAUCAAUCUCGUCAGCAAUCGGUACUUACUUGUAAACUUCUCUUGUACGCUCCAUGUCCUGAGCAUCAAGCUCCUCGUACAAAGCAUAGUUGAUCCUAAAGCACAGACAUAUUAACCAAUUAGAAACUACUAUAUAAAAUAAAUCAUUCAACAGCACCAGAAACUCGUCAUGAACUAUUCAACAUUACCACAAGUAAAUAUAUCUCUGCCAAUACCGCUUCUCCUCAGCUGGAGGGAGGUUAGCAAUGGCUCGCUCAUACACAUCUCUAACUCUCUCUUUUAUCCCAACACUCUCUUCCAAUCGUAAUAGUCAAACCAAGCAUCAUAAUUCAAUGGAUUUUUCCGAACUUCAUCCUCAUACUGAAACCUCCUCUUUCCCACGAUGGCGUCCUCAAUCCCCUCCCUAUCUCCAUACUGCUUCUCAAAAGCUACAAACUUUCUAUACAAAUCCUCAGCCCUACCCUUCGGAAUAUGAUCCAGUGCAAACUUGUAAAUACACCUAGCCCUCUCCACCUCUUUACACUUCUCUUCAAACUCAGCAAAUGCUACAAACAAUACCUCGGCCUCCUCAUCAUCGGCCAACUUAUCCACAGCCCUCUCAUAACAGUUUCUAGCGCGAGCAAUAUCCCCAUUUUUCAUCUCAAACUUAGCAAACCUAAUCCAAGCAUUCACUUUAGGAUGACAUUCUACAAACCUCUCAAAGAUUGCCCGCGCCCUCUCAACCUCAUUAUACCUCAACUCAAACUUAAUGUACGACAACCAUCCCUGUUGGUCCGGUUGCCAACUCAUCCAUCUUUCAAAAAUUUGCCGCGCCCAGCAACAUUCCGAGCAUCUCCUCCAUAUGAAUGUACUUAUACCACAGCUGAUCAACCCGGGGCAAGAGUGUAACUGCCCGGUCCCAAACAUUCCUAGCAUGAUUAACGAACUUAUUCUUCAUUUCAACUUCAGCAUACUUCAACCACAUAGUGUGGUCUCGAUAAUCCACUUCGAGGGCCCGUUCCCACACGGACCGGGCACGGUUAAAAUCGUUCUGGGACUCUUCCCACUUGGCGUAUUUGACCCAGACACUUUUGUUCCAUCGCACACGCCGAAUUAAAUCCUCGAAUUCUUUGCGUUUGCGGAGACGGUAGUCAGCAAGCUCGGAUGGGUCAGUAAUUUUCUGUUUAGGUGGUCGGAUUUCAGCUUCUUGGCGUUCUCGGGCUUCUCGAAGGAUUUGCUCGGCAGUAAUUUGGAUUGGCGCCGGAGUUUUGUUCUUGACCCGAGUUGGCCUGGGGAGCUUCACCUCCGUUUCUUUGUGGGUUAGGUAGCCCAACGAAGGGUCGGAUUCUUUCAUAGAACCCAUCUUUGUUGUUGUGUUGUGAGGUGAGGUAGUAAGGAGGACAAAAGUGUUUCCGAAGUUGAAACCUUAUGUAAGAAUUUAUUGGGUUUUCUAGGUUUCCACCUGAGAGGAUAGACACAACUGGGUUUUAGAAUUCGGUGUUUCCGGUGGGCGGAGGGACGUGGCCGCCGGUGAAGGCUGUGCAAAAUAUAUGCUACUGUAAAUGAAUUAGGGUAGAAAGAAGAAGGUUAUUGGGAAUUUGAGGAGGAUUAUGACUGAUUCGGUGGGGCAGCAAGAAUGAGAGGGAGGAGGAGAAUUUUGGGAUUGCUUGAGAGCUAAAAAAAAUCAGCGGCGGAGGGAGUUUGAAAAUUGUAAAGGGCCGCGACUGAGUUGCGGGCUUAGAAGAAUGGGGAGUAGGACGAUUUGGGGUUUGCCAUGGAACAAAGAAACCGCCAGCGACAGGAAAUUAAUGGGGGACCGGGGCUCUUUUUUUUUUUUCCCCCUAUAAUGUCGUCGACUUGGUUUCUAAAAUCCAUUUCUAAUAUUAAUAAUCAAAAGUAAAACGUUGUUUUGAAUCAAGUGACCACCUAGUACUCUUUUUUUUUUUUUUUUUUUUGGAACAUAUUUUUACUGUAAGACUCCUAUAUAUUUUCGCCAAAAUAACAAGAAUGGCUUCUACAUUUAUUUUCGCAAUUUGCAAAGCCCCUGAAGUUUGCCAAGUUGAUUUCAUUAGUAUACUUCCUGCUAAUGAAUUGGUGUAUUGCACCACGUAUAUAUAGUCUUGAUCCUUUUAUCACAGGGCGUUGUCGACUUGUAGACGCAGUGCCUAUUUUGGGGAUCUCUAUUACUCUAUUUUGACAUUUUGGGUGAUAAUUAAUGCAAUGGUGUGAGAGCGUUUGUGGGAGAUUUAUGAUGAAAUAUGUGGACGUCUAUCUUAGACUGAUUUUCUUGUUGACUGCUUAAAAUAUUAGACAUCCUACCAUGAAAGAAAACAGAUAAAGCAUGCCCUAUAAAAUUGAGGAAGCUACAUUUGGUGCUUCUUUUUUUUUUUUUUAAGUUGCUGGAAAAUUAAUAUAUAUGCUACAUUAUGAAGUAUUCAUUGCAUAUUUGUAUGCAUGAUUGCGAAUAUCAUAAGUAGUAAUUUCUUGUUAUCUAGACUUCUUUUCGGAUCUUGAUUUUCAUCAUCUUUUGUCUCCGGAAGUUCUGUGGAGGUAAUCCCUCUCCCUUUAUUCGGCUCACCUGUACUGCAUGCAAAAAGAUAACGAAGACAGAAAAAGAAUGCCCGCGAUCAGAUGAUUUUUUAAAGCAAAAGUUGUUAGAGAUUGCCAUAGCAUUAAGAUCAUCAAUUGCUUGGAAGAAAUAUGCAUGAAUCUUGAUACUCUGAAUCAUGGCAGCGUACGCUGACCUUAAUUUCCUGACGGCAAUGUCAUUCAUUUACAGUUUACACCAUAGACAAGUUCUUUGAUAUCUAUUUAUUCUUCAAUGAGUAGCAUGUGAGUUUGUUUAACCACAUUUUCUAUCCUAAACUGUUUUGCACACUAUCAGCAUUGAGAGAAGGCAUAUCUCUUUUCUUUCUUGCUUGGAAUGUUUCGUGUUUCUUUCUUUGAUUGAGGAUUUCCCGUGAUAAAACUUGGCAGGUUCAUAGGCAUCCUUGGCUCUGUUUCUGGUGAGAACCCCAAACAUGUUCUUGAAUUCAUGGGCUACACAAGUUAGUUUUCACAGUCUUGUCGUUUCAAAUUUUGUUCGUGUACAAAUUUCACCACAUCUGGAAUUGCAUGGUUUGCAGACCGCAGUCUUCAUCUUUACUCAGAUUGGGAGUCUGUGCUGAAUCUGCUGUUUAAACAAAUUCUACACAGAACUUGGAGCAGACAUGACGAAACACUGGAAGGACUCCAUGAAGUUAUUUCGAAGUCAUAUCGAUCCUGAAACGGAAGAACGACUGAACUGGACAAAACUAGGUAAAUUUUAUAGCCCAGAACAACCUCAACCCUUACAGUAUUAUCGGAGGUUGUGGGGUUCUUCCAUACUGAACAAUUCAAUGCAAUUUAAAGCUCACCUGCCAGAUCAAUGUUAUCCUCAACGUCGAUUUUUGUGGUAUACAGAAUUGCAACGGGUACGCAGUAAGUUUGCCUGUCCUGUAUGAUGGGGGUAGUACUGUUAUGAUUGUUGAAAUUGGUAGCUAUAAAUCCAUUUUCUGAUGAAGAUUAUGAUGUGCUUCAUCAUAGUACUAUAGUAGUGCAAACGUCCUCUUGCCAAAGAACUUUGCUAGAAUGGGAGAGUUCUUUCUUUGUGUACUUUCACAAGAAAUAGAGGUUUGGAUUGCUCUAAUGCAGAGGCAGCAAGACCAGAACACGCAAAAUAUUGAUAGGCAACUCUCUGUGCUAAUUUGGCCGAACAUUAGAAAAGGGUAGAGGUUUUUAGAAGUAUGGCAUACCAUAUCAAGGGCGUACCUGUAUUCCAUGAUGGUUCUUGACCAAAAUGAAUGCAAAAGUAGCCCUUAUACUUAGAUAGUCUGAAACCAAAAACUACAUGAUGGAAUACAGCAAAAUUCCAUGGUUGUAGCUGUUUACUUUCUGCCUGUUGUGAAAAUUCUGUUUUCUUUCAGAGCAAUGGUACUAUAAGGCAUAACAUUUAGACCUAAAGACGGAAAGCCUCAGAGAUGGCAUUACGCAUAUCAAAGAGCUUGCACUUAUUUCCUAACUGAUGCUUCCUUCACCGAACACACCUGUGUAAAAGAUUUUGGCAAAUGUGACCGUAUGUGAUUUGUACAAUAUACGCAUAGAGUCACUUCCUUUUUCUCCCCGUGAAUUUUUGGAGAGUUAUUUCAUGUUCUGUAGGCCAUUCAUGCAUUAUGUCUACGUUAUCACACAACAUUUGUUUUUGUGCAGAAACUGAGAACAAGGUCAAAAGGUCUUUGAAGCUUAUUAAGAGCAUCAACCAAAACAGAGAAGCGAAUCUAAAGAAAAAGAUGGAACUUACUCAGCUCGUUGAGGAUAUCCACAAAGAGUACCAAUCCAUUUAUGCCCUCUAUGAUAAUAUCAGAGGCGAAGUAGGAACAAAGUGCAUGGAAAAGAUGAAUCAGGUUCUCUUCUUCUUCAUCUACUUCUUCCUUGGGGUCCAACUCAGGUACAGAAUAUUAUACACCAGAGGAACUAAAUGCGAGAAAUGCGGUACCUAAUGUUGAGCUUCAAAAGGUAAGGAAAAGUGACAAUCGAAAAUGUGAAGAUUCAGAUCCAGAAGAUGCCAUCUUAAAAGAUAAAUUGACCUCCACCAGUGAAAUUAAGAAAUCCCCAAGCGUGGACUCAUUAGUAUCUUUCACGAAGCACCAAUCAAGUGUAAUUUUUAAAGAUCUAAGGAUUCAAGAAGAGCAGCCUCAAAGCGUGAGACAAAAGUUACUUGAUGAAUGUGCACAGUUAAAGGAAAAAUUGCAUGAGAAAGAAGAGGAGAUAGUGUCCAUCUCCAAGAAACUCCAAGCUUUUGGGGACCAAAAAUUGUUUGAGAUAAGGAGCUAGAGAGGCAGGUAACAAGUCUGAAGCUUGAGCUGGAAACAGUGACCUCGCAGAAAAAGACCUUAGAAGAGACAGUUGAGACCAGGUCUAAUGAAGCUAAACAGAUGGGGAAGGAAAAUUCAAGACUACAAAUUCUGAUCAGAGAACUUGAAUCACUAUCAAAAGAGAAAGAAACUCAAAUUUCUUCUCUUCUUGAGAAAUUUGAAGAAGACAAGAAGCAGUCACUGUCUAAAUUUAAGGACCUGAUGGCACAAGCCAGUGAGCUUCAGCUGGAAGUAGAUAGUUUGCGCUCUCAGAAACGCAUAUCAGAAGAGCAAUUGAUGCAUGCAACGAAUGAAAGAUCUAAUCAAGUCAGUAGUCUAGUAAAACAGGUAGAGUUUCUGCAACAGCAAACUCGAUUUCAUCAGCAGCCAAAGGUCUGAGUUGGAGUCGCAACAUAAAAAUGAAUCUCUAGAAGCAUCAGAAUGCUUUAUACAGAUGGAAAAGACGAGAGAUAAAUUAACAGACAAGGCCUUAAAUGGGCAAGAGAUAACAGAAGACAAGGCCUGUCUAAAAGUAAAGGUAGAAGAGUUGGAGCAGGAGAUACGUACAAUAUCCAGUCAGAAGAUUGAGUUGGAAGAUCAGAUAAUUAGCACAAAGAAUGAAGCAUAUCAUCUAAAAGUUGACAAUGAGAAUCUCCACAGAAGAAUUUUCGUCUUGGAGACAACUGUGAAAGAGAGAGAACAUGAGCUAUCUGCCCUUCAAAAGAAAAUUGAGGCUCAGGAAAAUGAUAUGUCAACUCAGAUUAAAUCAUUAACAGCACAGAUAAACAAUUUCCAUCAAAAACUGGGAACCUUGCACGAUGAGAAAAGCGGCCUGCAACUGCAACUUGAGCAGGAAAAACAAGUUUCUUCUGAGAGCCUAAAUCAUAUGGAGAGAAAGAACAUCGAAUUGACAAAGAAGAUUGCAGAUCAGCAAAAAACUGUGGCAGGGCUGGAGGAAGCUAUCAACAUGUUGAAUAUGGAACACAAACAAGUCCAAAAUAGAUUUGACGAUUCCAAGUUGAACUUCCAGAUCGCAGAGAGGAAAAUAGAAGAAAUGGCCGAAGAGUUCUUCAAAAAAUGUGGGGACAAUCUCCGCAUCUUGAGCCGGAGAAUCCGAGUUGCAGAACAGUUGCAUGUUGAGAACAAGGAAUGGUACGAGAAGACGAAAGACAGGUAUGAGCAACAAAACAAGGAGCUCAAAGAAAGGGUAGAAAAUAACAAAGUUUGGCUUAGCAAUAUCAAGGAUAUGACCCUAACUGCAGACAGCACACUGUCAGAUUUGGAUGCUGUUGCUCUAAAGUUUGAAGGCUGCAGUGCAAACUUCCUCAACCGAAUCUCCAAAGUUUCUUGUGAACUUAAGUUUGCAAAAGACUGGAUCAAGAGGAAGAACAAAGCAAUGACGCACGUCAAAGAUGAUCUAGAUUGCCUACUUACGCAGCUGGAUCACAAGGAGGCUGAGAUAUUAGUAUUCCGAGAGAAACUCUGGAAAUCAGAGAAUAAAGUCAGAGAACUGGAGAAAAUGAUCACAGAGAACGAGGAAGCGAUGUUGGCCCUAAAGGAAGAAAAAAGAGAAGCAAUAAGAGCAGCUUUGCGUCUGGAUUGAUUAUCACCGCAGCCACUCUGAUUAUUACAAGAAAAUGAUAUCUGAUAAGACACUUCAAAGCAGGAAAACAACUUGAGGGAUUCUAGUUUUUUGCCUUUCACUCAAAAUUUCCCAUCUUUGGUCGAGGAUUCAAAAGCAAAGUUUUGGAUCAUAGGCUUCAUUUUGGGAAUACUACAUGAUAGGUGUAUGUUAGCAUAGCUUGGCCUAGUGUUCCAAACUGUAUCUAGCAGGGAAAGUGAAUCAAGCUUCAAGCUGUGAUUGUCAACUAAAAAUUCUUUACCCUUGUUGCUACUGAGUUUGAUGGAAGCUAUUAUCAUGACUUUCGAUUUUUGGCUCUCUAACGAAUUUCGCUCAUGUCGAGGGCAAAUGCACCUAGUAAGAUGGAUAUGUUUUCCAUAUCUACAGCUCAGGAAUCAGGAUCAGCAAGGACAAGAUAUAAUUAGCAUUUGCGGGCUUGUACUAUCUGGGAUAUCUUUUGGAAGCAUGUUGCUUGAUUAAUAAGUGUGUUUGUGAUUGACAACAUUUUAAUAGACAAGAGUUCUUGAAGCCUGUUUCCUUGAUGGGUGCUUGUUUUCAAACUCGAACAAGUGAUUCUCGAAGUAAACGUCUUUGUAACGAGAAUGUAAAUUACAACCCUGAUAUUUUAAUGGAAAUUUUGAGAAAAUGUGAUAAUUUAAUCUCGUCAGCAGGCAACAUGAGUGAGUAAAAGCUGUAACAAAGGCGCAGUACCACACACUUAUUUGAGUUCACGCCUUUACUUCUUACGGAAGACGCGCGCUUUUUCCCGGGUAAUUGUUAUAGUCAUUCGCACGCUCAAUUGCAAAAGUACGGAAUCGUUUGUGCAGCGCGCCAGCAAUAAGGUCUAAGAAGAAAGUUACUUCGGUGCACACGGAUCAUGACAGUAGGGAGUACAAAUUCUGCAUUUGAUACAAGAACCUUAAUGGGCACAAUUCUAUUUGGAUUUCUGCGAAUUAGGGGGUAAGUAAAUGGAUUAACUGAAUCCUACUGGGUUUCAAAGUAAUUAUCAAAUCUACAGACAGAGACAUUCCUAAUUUUUAAGUUUUUUGCGAAUAUAUUUUUUUUCAAUCAUCUUUUUCAUCUCUCUCGUACAUAUAUAUAUAUAUAUAUAUAUAUAUAUUAAUUGUUAAAGUAUUUUUUUUUAUAAAAAAUUUUAAAAAAUAGCAAUCCGAAUGGACGAACGGAAUCUAAAUAUUUUUAAUGUUAUUUACAACAAUGUAUGGCAUUCAUGCAACGCCUGCAAUUGGACGGCAGACUACUCAAAUCAGCACAAACAAAAAUGCACAGGUUGCCGUCGUGGGAUCUACCUGUCCGAAUAAUUGCGUUAUAAUUGGACAAAAACCAACUGCAAUUCUUCUGUGUCCUUUUUUUUUUUAACCCCCAAAAAUUUCAGGUGCCAAUUAUAAUGUUUGGAAAAGAAUCAACGUUAAUAAAUUACGACAGCUUCACUGAGAGUAGUGAAGUAAAUUUAACAACGUUUAGGGGCCAUUAAUGAAUGUAGAAACUCCAAAGAUUCCAUCCGCUGUCAAUUUGUAGCAUUGUAUUGGACAAACCCACUCAAUUGCGUGCCCACUCAGCUGUUUCCUUUCUAACAUGUUUUGACAGUUUGAGCCCUCUCUCUCUCCUCUCUCUUCAUCUUGGAUAUAAUGUAUAUUGCACUUUUUCCCCCCUAAGGUUUUUGCCUAUCCUUAAUUUCUGCCCGUAAUAGAGUUAGGGUCUGUUUGGUUGGAAGUAAAAUAUUUUCCUUGAGAAAAUAUUUUCCGUGGAAGUAAUUUUCCAUGAAAAUCAUUUCCCUUUCAUCAUUUUUAGGUGUUUGGCUAGCUUAUUGAAAAUAUUUUCUUACUUCAUUUUUCUGGUGUUUGUUUAACUUUUGAAAUAUUUUCACUUUUAUCUCUAUAUUUAUUUUCUACACAUUAUAACUACAUACUUCUUCUCAUGCAAAAUAAGAAAAUUUAUCUCAUUGUUUAAUUUUAAAAAAUCUUGGAGAAAUGUAUAUAUGAAUAAAAAAUAUCUCCUUAAGCAAUAAACAAAUUGCUGGCCAUUUAGUGUCAAAUAUGAAUCACAUGCAAUGCUUAUUGUGACAUAUAUCUUGCACUCUCACUGCUGAAAGUUUCUUUAGAAAAGAAUAUCCCUAUUAUACAUAAUUAAUUACUAACAUAGGAUAAGCAGGAUGAGGUUUUUUUUUUUAUUUUGAAUAUACUAGGGGGGUUGGGUUGGGUGGUACAGGGGAGGAGUGUAAGGAAGAGGUCUUGGGUUCGAGUCCUCCUGUUUACACUAAAAAAAAAAAAAAACAUACUACAAGAUGUUUUCAGUAAGUUUGAAACAUACUACAGGCGAGAUGCAUGCAUUUCGGAAAACAACUUCAGUAAGUUUGGAAGGAAAGUUGUUUUCCAUAAGAUGAGUGAAAAUAUUUUACAUAGAAAAAUGUUUUCAGUAACUUUUGUGCAACCAAACAGAGAAAAUUAGGAAAAUAUUUUUCUGGAAAACAUUUUCACUCGAAACAAACGGACCGUUAGUUCAAAGAAUUUGAUGUUUGAUUAACUGAAAAAGAGCGAGAAUAUCACUUAAACAAAAUAUAUUUUCAAGCUUCCGCUUACUUAUGUGCUGCAUUGUUAACUUCUUAUUGGUGGAUGAUUAGAAUUUAGAAAGCUGUAGAAAAGCAAAACAAAGAAGAAAAUAAAAAGAAUGAAAUAGAUCUCUAAUAAGAAAGGAAGGAAACAAGUAGGAAAAAGUAUUAAUGUUAUCUUUUUUUUUUAAUGUAAUUGUCAUUUCUUCUAAUAAUUUAUGAUGUUCUAAUUGAACCUUUAAACAUAGAAGUAUCAACAUAUUAAAAAAGACAAAUGCAAGUUCUUUGUUUGCUUGCAUUGCAAUUUUGUUCUUCAUUUAUUUUGCAUUAAAAUAACACGACAAAGUCAAAAAUUGCAACGUAGUUUAUGGUUUGAGGAAGGAUGAUAUUAUGACCUAUGUUUUUAAUCAGGCAAAGUCGUCAACCACUAAUAAAAUAUAAAGCUAAAACUAUUAUACAUGACAAAGUAAAAAUUAUAAUAGAGAAAAGGGAUAGAUUGAGUUUCAAUAAAACCUCAGGGGGUGUCAAAAGUAAAAAUUACCCCUCAUGUUUCUCUCUCUAGAAGUACGCAUACCUGCACAGAUGCCAUAACAGACAAAUCUCUUUUUCCUAUCCUCGUAUUGUAAAUAUCAUUUUCACCUUUUUCUGUUUUUUUCUCCGGUGGAGAAUUUCAAUUUUAUUUGGAGCAUCAAGUUGUCUCUUUUCAUUUUCAAGUAGACUCCUCCGCUCCAAAAUCUCUCUCUCUCUCUCUCUCUCUCUCUCUCUACCUUUCUCUCAAGGUAUCUCUUUUCUGAUGCUGGCUGCAGAUUAAGGGAAAUUUCGCUCCUUGUGUUUGGAGAGCGAAUUCUUGAGCUCUGAAAAAAACAAAGUUCAGGUGAAUUGCUUCUACUCUUUUAUAUCAAGCUGAACUCUUUCUACUUUGUAUUCUUUCGCCUUUUGGAUUAUUCGGAUAUGUUGUUUUCGUUGAAUUCUUUGUUUUCUUGGUUGCGGUUUUAUGUUAUUCAUUCAUUUUCUUUUGUUGGAGCUUGAAGAGUCAGACUCUCAUGUUUGAUUAUAUAAUCAGGUUGAUUAUUGAUUGAGUAUUGAAGUUAAAGAGCUCAGUCUUGAAUUGAAAGUGUGAAAAAUUAAAGUUGAAUUUGAGAUCCACUAGUUGAUGAUAAAAAGCUUUCUUGUCCGCUGGAUUGCAGUUGCUCUGCUUUCUGCUUAUUACUUCUUCUUGACUGGAUGUGUUCAAGCGUUUGAAUUUGUCUGCAAGGAAAAUAAUCAACUGGAUGAUUACAUGCUUCUUGUGUUUUUAGGAUAAACAAAUUAUCAUUUUUUUUUCCUUUUUUUUCUUUUUGUCCUUAUCGUUUCUUUUUUUGGAUUAAGAUUGCAAAUUAUUAUUAUUGGGGUGGCGGUGGUGGUUGCUGACUGGUGGGCCGUGUAUUAAGCUUGUUUCCACCUCAAUUUCCAGGCUGCCUGACUUUUUUUUUUUUUUUUUUUAUAAUUUCAAUGCAAAGUUGGAGUUAGUGAUUUUUUCUUUUUGGAUGAGAAAAUUCCGGGGUGAUCAAAUUCAAGUUUAUUUUUUCAAAAAAAAAAAAAAAGCUGUCGUGUUAUAUGUAGAUUUUUGUUUGCCUUCUGGAAUUGUCUACUCAGAAAGUGUCUUAUGUGCCAAUUGUCUCUUGUUUUUCCACAGGAAUUCAAUCAAAUCAGGGAAAAGAAAAAGGGCUCAAGUAAACGGAGAUUUAUGCCACCAACUGGUAUGUACUGUUCACAUUUAGAAUGUUCAAAAAGAAAGGCGUUUUGAUGGCUUUUUUUGGUUGGAGCUUAGAGAAUAGAAUAAACAUCACGUCUGUAGUUUUCUUAGCUGUCUAUUUGGGUUUAGAUUUUGGCUCUCUCAGAGCGCACGGAUCAGGAUUUCAUUAAUUAAAAUUUCAUUAACAAAAAUAUUUGCAUUGGUAAUCCAAUAAUUUAUGAUUAAAACCCAGCACAACAGUGUACCAGUUUGCAUUCACUGAAAACAUGGACCAAAUUUUCUAGUGGGCCAGACUUGGAGCAUUCGGACUUGCCGUCUCCACAUGGCAUGGCUGCUAGCAUUUUGUAGUUUGUAUACUACUUAGUAAGUAUUAGUGUCCUACUUGGGACUUAGGAUUCAUUUUUUCUUUUUCUUUUUUUUUUGGUAUGGGUUUUUAAUUUUAUCUAAUUUCUUUCUAUUUGAUCCAUAUUCCUUUAAAAAUAGAUGUUUAUAUGUUUCUUGAUUUUUAUUUCAGAGAAACAAUCAUUCCAAAAGUGAAAGAAAGGACAGAAAUUGUUUAUUGUGAACUUGAGUCUUCCGUUUUGUUUUGGUUAAAUCCUUAGAUUGCUUAUUGGUACUGGUGUUCCAUUAAAUUUUUUCAGUCCUCUUAACAUCUUUUUAGGCACGCAAUCUGAAUACAACUUACAAUGACUGGAGGUGACAGCAUUUCCGUUUAGAAGAAUUUUUCCAGACUCAGAGAACUGGCAUUCCUAGUGAUUGUGGCAUCCAUGUCUCAGUAAGCAAUUGAAGACUUCUUUUAGUACUAAAUAAAGGAGGAGAUGCCGAAGCAUCGGUGGAGAGAGUCAAUUAAAUCCUUUUUUGGAAGCCACAUUGACCCUGACAAGGAUGAGGAACUUGAAGAAUCAAAAGCAGGUAUAUACACUUCACCUCCGUGAUUCAGCUUGGAGUCUGAAUAUUGAUUUCUUAGAGAGAGAGAGAGAGCCUACAUUGGUGCAAAUUCCAGAUGCAUUCAACAAUACGUACCAUCUGCGAAAACAAUUGCUGCACUUUGCAAAUAUAUUUCUUCCUUCAUUGUUCUUAAGAGUCCAAAUAGAGAAAGGGUGUGGAGGGGUAGAUGUUGAGUUUACAUUUUCUCAUAAUUUUGUUGCAGAAAUGGAGGAUAGAGUUCAGAAGAUCUUGAAGCUUCUCAAAGAAGAUGGUGAGAGAGAUGGAAACGGGCCUCUGGCUAACAUGAUUGAGGAUUUCCACAGACAUUAUGAAUCUCUCUAUACUCGCUAUGAUCACCUAACUGGGGAGUUGAGAAAGAGAAUCCAUGGGAAACAUGGAAAGGAUACUUCUUCUUCUUCAUCCAGCUCAGAUUCAGACUCCGAUCAUAGCCCAUCAAAGAAGGGCAGCAAAAAUGGAAAAAUAGGAAAUGACUUUGAGAAGGUAGUCGAUGAUUAUAAGCUAGGGUUAGAAGCUGCAACACUGGAAGUGGCUGAUCUCAAGAGGAAGUUGGUGGUUGCAAUUGGAGAAAAAGAAACUUCAGAUUCGGAAUGUCAAAGUGCUUUGGACAAAAUACAAGCAUCUGAGAAGGUUAUGAAAGAUCUGAAUGUCGAAUCUGAAAGAUGGAGUGAAGAGAAGUUAAAACUUUUGGGUGAGAAUGAAGAGCUAAACAAAAGGUUGGAAAUUGCUGGUAAGCUUGAAGCUGAAUUAAACCAAAAACUAGCAGAUAUAAAUAGUGAAAAAGACAGCUUAAUCUUCGAAAAAGAGGCGACUAUAAGUCGAAUUGAAGAGGGAAAUAAAACUGCUGAGGAUUUGAGAUCUUAUAGCAGUCUGUUAAAGGAUGAGAAAGAAGCACUGCAGCUGGAGUUGGAGGCUACAAAAGAGAGCUCUCUAGAGCUGAGAAGAAAUUGGAGUCCUCACAGAUGCAAGUUGCAGAGCUAAGCAGCAUGCUGAGGGCUGCUGAACAGGAAAAUAGUUCUCUUUCCUUGAAAAUUUUACAGCUCUCAGAUGAGAUCAAGCAGUUGCAACAUAAACUCGAAGAUCAUGUCACUGAAUCUAGCCAGUUGAGGGAUAAGUUGGAUGAGAAAGCAAAGGAGAUUUUGGCUCAUGAAACACACAAAAGUGAAGUAUCAGUUCAUGUCAGAGGUUUGGAAACGGAGCUUGAUCUGUUACGCACUCAGAGAGAAGAAAUAGAAAAACAGAAAGAAGGAGAACUUUCUGAUAUGCUGAAGAAACUUGAGGACAAAGAGAAGGAUUCAUCAUCUCAACUAGAGUAUCUAACAGCAAAGAAAAAGGAUAUGCAAGUUGAAAUUGAUACUGCGCUCAGUCAAAAGAGUGAGUUAGAAGAAGAAUUAUCGCGUAAAAGCAAUGAAGCAUCAGCUACAAUCAAGGACCUAACAGAUCAGAUCAAUGAGAAGCAGCAGAUUCUGGAUUCUCUAUCUGUUGAGAAAGUUGAACUAGGGAGACUGCUGGAGAGAAGAACUCAAGAAAUGUCAGAAUCCCUCAUUCAGAUGGAUGCCUUGAAAGAGGAGUUAGCAAGCAAGUCUGCUGAUCAGCAGAAAAUGCUGGAAGAGAAGGAGAGUUCUAUGUCACAAGUGAAGAACCUGGAACUGGAGGUAAGUUCCCUGCUACUUUUAAAAGAUGAAAUGGAGGAUCAGCUUAGAAGCAAAAGCAAGGAAAUUACUGAGUUGCAUGGGGAGAAGGAGAUAAUUCAAACUAAAAUUUCUGAAAUGGAGCAAAUAAUCAUUGAGAAAGAAAGCAAGGUCUCCUCCUUACAGAAGAGGUUGGAAGAUGGAGAGAUUGAAGCAUCUGCUCGAUUUGCAGCCUUAACUGAACAAGUUAGCAAUCUCCAAGAGCAGUUGAAUUCUUUGUCUGCUCUAAAAAUUGAAUCUGAUGCCCUGCUUGAGAAGAAAACUGCAGAAAUAGGGGAAUAUGCCAAUCAGGUAGAAAAUCUCAAGGAGGAAUUAGCAAGCAAAUUAGUGGAUGGGCAAAGAUUGCUGGGAGAGAAAGAUGGUUUGCUUGUGCAGAUAAAUGACCUGGAACUGGUGGUGGAGUCUCUGCGUAGCCACAAAAGUGAAUUGGAAGGGCAUAUAAAUAGUAAAGUUGAUGAGAGCAACCGGUUAAGUGAGGAAAACAAGCAUUUGCAGAGCAAGAUUUCUGAAUUGGAGAGAGUAUUGACAGAAAGGAUGGAUGAGCUCUUUGCCAUCCAAAAGAUAUUGGAUGAUGCAAAUGUUGAAGCUUCCACCCAAAUCGAUGCACUGAAUGAGCAGGUUAAAAAUUUGAGACAGGAGAGGGACUCCUUACAGUCUGAGAAAAGCCAACUGGAAUUACAAAUGGAGAGGAGAAUAGAAGAUUUUUCAGCAAAUUUGGCUCAAGCAGAGGAUCAGAAUUCUGAAUUACAGAAGAGGUUGGAAGAUGGAGAGAUUGAAGCAUCUGCUCGAUUUGCAGCCUUAACUGAACAAGUUAACAAUCUCCAAGAGCAGUUGAAUUCUUUGUCUGCUCUAAAAAUUGAAUCUGAUGCCCUGCUUGAGAAGAAAACUGCAGAAAUAGUGGAAUAUGCCAAUCAGGUAGAAAAUCUCAAGGAGGAAUUAGCAAGCAAAUUAGUGGAUGGGCAAAGAUUGCUGGGAGAGAAAGAUGGUUUGCUUGUGCAGAUAAAUGACCUGGAACUGGUGGUGGAGUCUCUGCGUAACCACAAAAGUGAAUUGGAAGGGCAUAUAAAUAGUAAAGUUGAUGAGAGCAACCGGUUAAGUGAGGAAAACAAGCAUUUGCAGAGCAAGAUUUCUGAAUUGGAGAGAGUAUUGACAGAAAGGAUGGAUGAGCUCUCUGCCAUCCAAAAGAUAUUGGAUGAUGCAAAUGUUGAAGCUUCCACCCAAAUCGAUGCACUGAAUGAGCAGGUUAAAAUUUGAGACAGGAGAGGGACUCCUUACAGUCUGGAAAAGCCAACUGGAAUUACAAAUGGAGAGGAGAAUAGAAGAUUUUUCAGCAAAUUUGGCUCAAGCAGAGGAUCAGAAUUCUGAAUUACAGAAGAGGUUGGAAGAUGGAGAGAUUGAAGCAUCUGCUCGAUUAGCAGCCUUAACUGAACAAGUUAACAAUCUCCAAGAGCAGUUGAAUUCUUUGUCUGCUCUAAAAAUUGAAUCUGAUGCCCUGCUUGAGAAGAAAACUGCAGAAAUAGUGGAAUAUGCCAAUCAGGUAGAAAAUCUCAAGGAGGAAUUAGCAAGCAAAUUAGUGGAUGGGCAAAGAUUGCUGGGAGAGAAGAUGGUUUGCUUGUGCAGAUAAAUGACCUGGAACUGGUGGUGGAGUCUCUGCGUAACCACAAAAGUGAAUUGGAAGGGCAUAUAAAUAGUAAAGUUGAUGAGAGCAACCGGUUAAGUGAGGAAAACAAGCAUUUGCAGAGCAAGAUUUCUGAAUUGGAGAAGUAUUGACAGAAAGGAUGGAUGAGCUCUUUGCCAUCCAAAAGAUAUUGGAUGAUGCAAAUAUUGAAGCUUCCACCCAAAUCGAUGCAUUGAAUGAGCAGGUUAAAAAUUUGAGACAGGAGAGGGACUCCUUACAGUCUGAGAAAAGCCAACUGGAAUUACAAAUGGAGAGGAGAAUAGAAGAUUUUUCAGCAAAUUUGGCUCAAGCAGAGGAUCAGAAUUCUGAAUUAGCAAACCAGGUUGCAAACCAAGAGAGGAAGUUGAAAGAGCAGGAAAAUGCAUUCAACAAAUUGAGUGAUGAAUAUAAACAGCUAGAGCUUUUGUUUGAGAAGUGCAAGGAAAAUCUUAGGGUCACAGAGAUAAAGAUGACAGAGAUGUAGAAGAAUCCCAAAAAAUUUAUGAAUCCAAAAAUCAGACAGUUAAUGAACUGGAAGAAGUUAUUGAAGAUCUGAAGAGAGAAUUGGAAAUGAAAGUAGAUGAAAUCAGUACAUUAGUGGAGAAUGUCCGGACACUUGAAGUUAAGCUUCGUCUGGCAAACCAGAAGAUCCGGGUUACAGAACAGUUAUUGACUGAAAAUGAAGAAAGCUACAAGAGCAAAGAAGAAAAGUUGCACAAUGAACAAGCACUACUUGAAGAAGGAUAGCUACAUUAUCAGGAUUAGUUGCUGCACAUAAAGAGGCUCAACUCAGACUAAUGAGAGAUGUUCCAGAGAAGGUUAAUGAUGUCAUGAUUGAAAUGGACACAUUUAACAUGAAGUUCGAGGAAGACUAUGGCCAUUUGGAGUCCUCGAAUUUAUGAAAUCUUGAAUGAGUUUAAGGUAACAACGAACUGGAUAAAAGAGACGAAUGGUGAAAAGGAACAGCUGCGGAAGCAGAUAUCCAUUAUAGUAGCAGUUAAGGGAUGAGAAAGAACAUGGUCUGGUGCUAACAGAAAAGGUAGGAGAUAUGGAGAAAUCCUUACAGAAGGGUGAAGAUGAGAAGAUCAGUUUAGUUAAAAGCCUGAAAGGUCUUGAAGAGAAGUUGGGACAACUGGAAAAGGUGGUAAAAGAAAAGGAUGAGAUGCUGGGAGAAUUAGAACAAAAGAUUAAGAGUAAAGAUGAUGGGAUCUCGGAACUAGGUGAGGAGAAACGAGAAGCUAUCAGACAGCUGUGCAUUUGGAUAGAUUACCACCGCAAUCGCUAUGACGAUCUCAAAGAGAUGAUCUCCAAGACAUCUCCUGCAAGAAGGCAGAUAACUGCUUAAUCUGUUGAUUUUUUUCGUAUAUUUUUUCCUUAGAUUCUUUUAUUUCGGGUGUUAAAUUGAAGAUUGUCUCUCUCUGGUCCUUUCCAUUUUUCUCAGUACUGUAUGGUCAGAUAUUGUGGGUCUAGGGGCUGAUUACUACCGUCUCGUGUUUACCCGUUAGGUUGUAUAGAAAGUAUUGGAAUUGAUUUGUUUUGGGUUGCUUGGUAUUUUGUCCAUGGGAAAAGUAGAUAUUGAGUAAAGAAACGCCUCAUCGUUAAAAAUUCUUGAUAUGGUAGUACGAAACUAUUAGCGUGAAUGUGAUUAUUUGUUCAGGUUCUACGUAAGAUUGAUGUCUUUUUGAUCCAUAACAUCCCAAACCCAGGCCAGUGAGGGACGAAAACAAUGGGAAGACAAAUUGGAACCAUGACUGAGCACACUGAUUUUUUACGCAGAUGGUAGUGCAGCUUUUGAAACUCGCCACGAGCAUACCGGAGCGCCCGGGGCGGGUGUGGUGGUGGCUGGUGGGUGGUGGGGAAAUUAAAGAGUAAAAAUAGUCAACAAUGUAAACCCAAACUCAUCUCUAAAUAAUCAAUUACACAAAGAUAACAGCGCAUAGCAAGCUAAAUUCCUAAUACGUACAUCUACAUAAUCAUUUCUACACAUUAUUGGCCAAGUAGGAGCGCAUAAGAAAGCUACAAAGGAGAAACAAAAAUAUAGGUGUAUAGGAUGAGCUAUGUGAACACAUGCUAGAAGAAGGUGCAUAACAAUCCUAUCAGGGGCACCAUGUGAAACAAUGAGGGAAAUAGACUCUAAGCAGGGUAUAAAAGAAAAAGGCCACCAUCCCUGCUCAAUACCCUUUCCACUGCUCCAACUUGCAAAAUUAGUAUGAUGCUGCAAAGCAUAUUCUGAACUUCCUCCAUUUGUUUCAAUCUGAUAUCUUCAUCUCAACUCCAAGAAUAUCUUUUGCAACUUCAUAUGUCACAAAUGCAAUUGCUAUUGAUGGAACCACCUACAUGGAAUAACACACCAUGAUAUAAAAAAAAUAAAUCCACAUAAGAAAGUGGAUAAAAAUAGUCACAAGAAAAUAAUAUGUUUAGCAGCCAACAAUCUUGGUUCACAAAUUCAAAAUACGAAGUUACCUUCACUGAAUUAGGGACCAAACCCUUGUACAAAGCCCCAAAUCCCUCAUGGCGAACUGUUUUUCUGAAUGCAUCUACCAUACCAGAAUAUUCCAGAGGUACCCUUCUCUUCCCGUCACCAUAACUACUGAAGCAGCAUCUUUCCAACCUACCAUCUGCAUUCGCCGGCGGAUGACAUCAAGUGGGUAAGCCACUGUUUGGCCAAUGGUUCCAGCAACAGCACCACAUGCAAGUUUUGUUGUUACACUCAACUCAGACUCUUGAAUCAGUCCAAGUGGUCUACUUUUAACCAACCAAUCCUUCAGAGAUUCAUAUACAGCAAAAUUCAGACCCACAUAAGGUAUCUGCAUUUCGCAAUUGCUAUACGUGAGGGCUCGUCAAACAGAAAAUUUAAGAAAAAAAAUCACUCUUAUAUGGUUAAAAAUCACUCUUCAAGAAAAAAAACAAUGGUUGAAUACCAAAAACAGCACCAUUACUACUGACCAAUCCUUAUAUCCUGUCUUGUUGCACAAUAGUCAAUUCUUCUUCUUUUCCUGAAUUACUAUAACUAUGCCAGUUAUUGUUCAGCCUAUUGACAAGUUCAUCAUAAAUUGCCCCCCCCUUUGUGCAUCCAAAGAGGCGCAUCAUGCAAAAGUAAUCAGCAGCACAAUACAAAGAUGCCACAGAACAUUUCAAGUUAGAAAGCUUUAAGUGGAGUGCUAAUGACACUAUUAAAAGUGGGGACAUGCAUAUGACACACCUGCAGACUGCACCCAAAUAAGUAAAGCAGGUAUAUGUUUAACUGUAUAUGUCUCCGUAAAUUUCCAUACAGGCAUACAUGACUACCAACCAUAUAUUUACCACAAAGCCCACCAAGUAUCAAAGUGUAGAACAUGCUUCAUAAAUCAAUAACUAUAUCAUCUCUGAGCAAUCCAAUCAUCAACUAGAAGCUCAUUUGCAAUUUAUAAGUAACAGUCAAGCUUAUAGCAUUCAAAACAUCAACAGCAUUGAAUCAGAAAUUGACUAAAGUGAGUGCAGAACCGAAGGAAAAAAGUAAUUUCUGAUACUUACAACUCCUAUGACAGAAGGAAGCCACCCUUUAUACAAUGCACGAGGCCCUUCUUCCAUGAAUACUGUUCUUAGAGCAUGGAAAAUACCUCUGUAUUGGGUAGGCGACUUCUCUGUCUGCAAAGAAGAGCAUAGGUUAAAACAUUAAGAUAUCAUAUGCAGCCAGCAACCUCGAUGGUAUACUUUUUGUGUUCUGUUUCUUUCCAGUUCAGUAGAAUCCUUCUAAUAGAUCACCUUCAGAUCUAUAUAUGUCAUGAAAACCCUUAAGCAAUACCUGGACAGUAAGCCGACCUCGUACCAUAUCCAUUGGGUAUGUUGCAGACAUGGCUAUUAUUCCAGCACAUGCUCCAGCUCCAAGGCGUAAAACUGGGGUGAGUUCAGCAUCCCCUGUAAAAAGCAAAGAAAAGAAAACUAAAUUACCUCACGGUCGCUAUGAAAUCAUCUGGAAUCCAGGAACCAGCACAUCUGACUUGUCAGUUCAAAAGUAAAAAAUCAAAUAGUAAUAAUUUUCUUUGGUACAAAAACUCAUUUGUACUGACUAGAUCAUGGACAAUAUUCUAUACAUACAAACGUGGUCAUCUUGUGAAUAUUAUCUAACAACUUUUAUGUCAGGGAAAAAGUUUUCACUGCACUGUGCAGAAUUUAUCAGAACACUUUUUAAGGGAAUAUAAACAGCAAGAAUGACGUUGCACUCCUCAAGUACCAAAGUGAAUGCUUUUUUAAUAAAUAUUGGUCGAAAAUAUAGGAGCAAUCGAUGUACUACAGCAUACUGAACAAGAUAGCAAACAUAGCUUGCAACGAGAUACAUCAAACACAGAGACAGAUACAGAGAUAGAGAGAGAGAAGGGGGGAAGGCAGGAAGGCUGAAAAUCAAGCAACAAGCAACUACUUUUGCCAUUCUCAUGGGAAAACACCAAGAAGGUACAUAGGCAGUAGAUGGGAAAAAUAUGAUAUUAAAUAGACUGAAUAAAAAAUGCAAGUGAUGAAACAUUGGAUAAAGAAAGAAAUGUAAAAAAUAAAUUCAUGAAAAUGUAGUGGAAGGCAGAAGUUGUCACACCUCUCCCAGUUUGCUUCCGGUAGAACCAUAAGAUUUGUCUGUAAGAUUAUAAUUGUUAAAAGAACAUGAAAAUUGAGAAAUGAAGUAAAAAUGCAAUAAGUAGAUGAAUACAAAGAAAUGUGAAAGCCCACCUCGAUGCCUGUUCAUAACUAAAGAACUUGACAGCAGAGUUUGGGACAAUGCGAGCACAAUUAGUGCCAUUUCCUUUAAACAAUCCCGUGAAACCCUCAGUUCUCCAUAUAUAUUUCAACCCUUGAACAGUUCCAUUGUAUUUGAUGCUAUGAGGAUUUUGAACCUACAGUACACAAAAUCAAAAAGAAAAUCCAUGAGCUAAUUUGGCAAGCCUUAAAUGAUAAAUGGAAGUAAAAUGAAAGCUAAUAGCCAACGUUAGGAAGAAUAACUUCCCCACCUGCCUUUGGCUUGGAAGUUGGAUAAGAAUUUAACCAUGUAACGCAUUCAAACUAUCAGGCAAAAUGCAAGAAAGAACCUAAGGAAUUGGCAAAGAAAAAAGACAUGAACCUACACCAUCCACCAGAUAUGUAAUGCAACUAUCUUGUAGAGAAAAUAUCCUGACAACAAAGAGAAAUGUUCUUGACAUUCAUGAAAAAAAGCUUCUCUAUCCUUUUUCCUUUAUAAAUCAGAUAGCUUCCAACAAUUUAUUCCGAAUAACCUACACCUAAACAUGCCAACAAACAAAUCUAUAGCAAAUAAGCAAAAAGCCAAUUUUUGUGAGGCCACAUGGCGAUGGGGACAAGUGAAUUAACUUUAUUUUUUAGAGGUAAGUUCCACAAGAAGGUAGAAGACAAUAAAAAGAUAAAUCAUCCACAAGAUUCCUCUUAAAGAAUAAAGAUCUAUUUCAAGAUGCAGUGCAAGUAAUAUCCCUAGCUAAUGACACAGGACACCUAUUUUUACAUGAAAAUCAGAGUGAGCAUAACCUGGAGCAAAAUUUUCAACCGUUCUAAAGGAGCAACUGCAGUACGUGACCUGAAACACAAGUACAUGAUACAGAUUUAGUCUAUGCAGAACAAAAACGGGGGGAAAGAAAGAAGAAUAACUAGUCUCUCAAAAGUGAUUGAAGUGAAUAAGAGAAUCACAAAUCUCAUUUUGAUAGAUAUUCCAAAUUUUUGUGAGCCAUUGAAGUUAUUUAUUCAGCGACACUCAAAUUGUUAGUACUUCUCAUUCUUCCAAUCAUUCCUGUUUUGAACGUUGUCUCUUUGAGUGAAGCAGACUGUAUUGAUUAUAUUAAGGAACAAAGAGAACCAGCCAUUACACUUGAAUUUUGCCUGGCGUUGGUCAGCUUGAAAGGAAUGAAGUUCGCAAAAUGAUGACAUGGCCAUGUCAGACACUUUUCAAGACUGACAAUUUCUUUCAAGUUCCCAACUUGACAAUAAAAAAUUAGCAAUACGAGUCACAUAUAAGCUAAUAGCAUGUCGACCAUAUAAUCAUUGAAAAAUGAACAAAACUUGAGAAGUUAAACAGGUAAGACCUAAUAAAAUAACUUAAGAAGUAGUUUUUCAGUAAACUUUAGGUUCCUUAUCUUGCUUGUUGCAGCACAAUGAAAGAAUAGAUAAAUAAAACCACAAAUGCAAAGAAGUAACAAUAUUUUAUCAAGUGCAACUCAUACGGUACCAAAAAAAUUCAGGACACGUGAAAUUAGCAGAUGACAAUCACAUGUUUUCACCGAAAAACCAUAGGAACUAAAAAAUGCUCUAUUUAUGUCACGAUACUAAACUGCCAAUUGACUUUCAUUCAACCGCCAAACCUGACACUACAUUGACCAUGUUAGCAUAUAAAAGCUAAAUGUUGAAUGUCACAAUGCGUAUGAGGCAUGCUACUAACUAAUUGAACAUUUGAAGAAUGAAAAGUGAUACAAUGAUGAGACUACAUGUACAAAAUUAUGACCUCUUUCAAAUAACAUCACUAGAAAAGUAAUUUUGAAUGUGGUAAACUUUAAGCUCUUAACAGAUUUCAUUCUCCAGAAGGUGAGGAUAAGGUAAGGAUAAAUAUUAAGAAGUUAAUAACAUAACACUAAACCAGUUGUUCGAGAUGCAUGAAAAUAGCACACUAAAAAUCGUAUCUUUUAAUAACCAAAGACCAUUUAAUUCAACAAUGUUCAUUUCUCUCAUGAUGCUAAACGGCAAAUACACUUAAAUUAAAGGUACGGCGUUCAAAUCCAAUCAAAAGACAUUAUUAUGAGUUUGGAAGAAAGAAUCUUUCAAAAUUUUCCAGCUGUUAAAAGAUACUGCUUGAGUUAGCAGGCAUACGAACACUUAAUUAGGUAAUAUUUCAUCUGAUGAGCAAAUGUUCACCUAAAAAUCUAACAAGAAUUUUAUUAUUAUUUAAAUGACUGAAAAAUUAGCUACAUAAUAUACAAUCCUGAUCAGAUAGACCAUACAAUAUAUUCAAAUAAAUAUCAUACUAGAAAAAAAAAAUCUAUGCAUGCAUUCGAUUUGUGAAACUAUGGCGCGGAAACGCAAAGUAAAGAAUAUAUGCAUGGAGAUAUUUAGAUAUUUAUCUAUCUAUGCAUAUGGAGAGGGAGAGGAGAGUCUGAGACUGACACUCCACCGGCGAUGCCACCGGCAGCGAGAGACUUGCAAAUGCUAAGAAGAGCAUGCCGACUAUGAGCUUUUAACUCCUUCUCUGGCAAUUUUAGCUUCCUCCGCCAAAUUCACAAUCGUCGUCACCGCACUCUCGCUUCUCUUCCCUACUACAUCCUCUGACGCCAUUAAAAAAACUUAAUUUAAAACCUAUUCCACCGGAACCCUAAUCUCCGUUGUUAGGCCUUCGGCGAUCGACAGAGAAGAGAAUAAACGGAGAGAGGCGUGAGAAAGGAAGAGCUUUUAAUGGUUUUGGUCCUUUUCUUGGGAAAAAAAAAGAGCAAUAGCUUCAGUGCAUCAAUCCCCUGGGAAAACAAAAACAAAAUUUUAUUAUCUUUUAAUUUAUUACCUCUUCUUAUUGCUUUUUAUCUUUUCCAUUAUUUCAUUGGGCAAAGUUUUUUUUUUUUUUUUUGGGCCGGUGGUUUCAGCAAAGUUGAGCCAAAAAAAAUGAUUAGUUGGGUACUUCGAGACACAACAUAAAUCACAAAUUAAAUAAAGGGAAAUGUUAUUGCACUCCUAUUUUUUUAAUCGCACUUUGUUUAUUAUUUUAAUUAUAUAAUUUUUAUUUAUUAGAUUAUAUGAUAAUACAGAUGAUGUGAAUGCAAAUAAUAAAAAAUAAAUUAUAGAGUAUUUCGUAGGGUUUGUGUAUAUAGAUUUCAUUUGAGUAAUUUUUUUUUUUCCUUUGGUAAGUGAUUUUAGAAAAGUUGAGCCCAAAAGAUGGAUUAGUUGGAUAAUUCGAGACACAAAUUAAAUGGAAAGAAAAUUGUAGAGCAUAUUGCAGGUCGGCUGGUGGCGUUUAAAGAUUUUGUUGGUUUCUUGACAGGGAGCGGAAGUGGGUGGAGAUUGAUGAUUGAUGGUCAAGUUUCGGGCGUUAAUUUACCUGUGAUUAACUAAAAUUUGUGGUAUAAUCUAUCAAUUAAUGUUUGGGCAAUUGUUGUUGAGUGUCACUGAUGUGGCAAUUUAGACGUAGGGGUACAAAUUAUGGAGGGCUGGAACUUUUUUUUUUUUUUUUUUUUUUUUUUUUUUAAGCGGGAGGACUCGACUUGCUUACACUCCCUCCCCGUACCACCCAACCCAACCCUCCUCUGAAGGGCUGGAACUUGAUUACCAAGUCACUAAUAAGCUUCCACGCUGAGUAACAACCUCUUUUGUUGCCUUUUCGAAGUGAUAAUAAUAAUAUGUUUAUUAUUAACAAAGUGUCAAACACUAAAAAAUCAAUUGCAAUCAUGGUAAGCAGCAGUUGUUUUCUCUUUUUAGGAAGAUACAGCCAGCAUUAUAGAUAACAAAAGACACUCUUUGGAUGCAUUUGUGAACACCAAUUUGUUUGGAUAGGAUAAAUUAUUUAGAAUUUUUUUUACAAAAAAAAAAUAUUAUAGCACUUAAUUGUCUAUAAAAACGGUUCUUAAGAGUACAAUUAAUUCUACAAUUUACCUUGAUUGAUUAUUAAAUCCAAAGAAAUAAUAAAUACACGGGUUAUAUUACAAGUUUUGAUCGUCACUUAAGUGCAUGAUUAGAUUAUUUUGAUCAACAACUCUUUUCCUUCUUUUUGUUUCCAGUGAUUAUCAUCAGAUAACGUAAUACAGUAGCAUGCGAUGAGUGAUGAGUGAUGACUAUAUCUUCAACACAUCAUUGUCCGACUGCAAGCAAAGAUCCCACAGCAUGGAACAAGUGGCGUGGAUAAAUGGUUCUGGGGCUUUUGGGUCCAGAAUAAUUUUCCUUUCUGGCUAAUUGUCAAAUUCUGGCUUUAGCUAGAAAGUAGAAACCCCACCAUAAUGCCACCACCAGCUCACCAACUGCAUCCAUCUAACCUAAUGGCUAAUGGUCCAUGAAAGGAAAGGUAGCUUUCUUUCUUUUUUGAGGAUAAAAGAAAGGUAGCUUCAAUACAAUACUUGUCCACCAAUUUUCUCGUAUCUAUUUAUUUAUUUGCGUGUUAUCAUAUAUAUAGUUUCAUUUUGAUUUUUCCCCGCCACAAUCAGUGACAUGGCUUGGAAAUAUGUGGCAGUAAUACAUUUUCCCUGUGCUAAAUUUCUUCAAAGGGUAAAUACUCUCUCUCUCUCUCUCUCUCUCUCUUUCUCUGUAUGUAUAUAUAUAUAUAUAUAUAUAUAUAUAUAUAUAUAUAUAUAUAUUGACGAUGUCAACCGUACCAAACUCAUAGGACGUGAGGACGGGGCCGGAACGAUUUGUCAAAAAAUCAUUCGGACUGAUUUUGUACAAAAUGCACGAUAUGUGAUUUUGUACAAAAUGCACGAUAUGUAAUUUUGUAUGCAUAUGACGUAAUUUACUUUCAAUAAUGUAUAAUUAUAGAAUAAAAUUUGUUAAUCUCACAUAUGAUAUGAAAAAUAAUGUACAAGAAACGGGAACGACCAGCCUGUUAUAUUACGUGCAUAUUCGCAAUUUAUAGAUAAAAAAACAGAUGCGCAUUUUGCCUUAGCAGAAUAUUUACUGUUAAAGUAUCCAUCCACUGUCCUCACAAAUGGGAGCUUGUAAAUGAAUCAGAUGCUGCUCGUGAUGCCGCUGGCUGGCUACUAAUCGUGCCACUUGGGACAAUUUAGAAAGUAUGUUUUGCGCGAAUUGCAUGUAUGGGUUAUUGUCGGCGACCGCUGGCUGUGAAAAAACAACAUCUGGCCCAUUAACGCCUAAACAAGUCAGUCAGUUGGCCUGCCUUGAGAUCCAUUAAAAGAUGGUUGCACGAAUCAAGCUCGGCCCCUCCAUGGUUUUCUCUUGGCCUCCGGCUAAGCUAUCAUGAUCAACUAGAAUCUGGCCGUUAUUUCCUUCAGCAUGGGGGUGAUGAUUGCAACCUCUUCAAUUUGUGUGGAAAAUCAGAGGAUUCAGAUAAAAUUUGCAGGAAGUGGGAAAUGAUAAAAUUACACGGUUGUUUGCUUAGCCAUUGAUCCUCUUUUCAUCACGCGAAAGAAACCAUGGAAUGCUGGUCAAUACGAGGUUUGAAAUAUUGCAAGUUAGUUGCGUCUGUAACUUUUAUGCUAAGGUUUUUUUCCUUCUUUUGUAGGAUAAAAUUGAUUUAGCUCAACUCAACUCUGAUCACGUUGGAAAAUGGAUUACACGGGGCUUACGUAGUUUUUAUUUUUUUUUUAAAUAAAUAAUCAACUUGAAGCUUCACCAUGGCCCUGUUUAGCACUUGAGUUUUUUGUCAAGUUUGUCUGCUACAAGUUUUUUAAAAACUUUAUCUACAAUAAUUUUAAAAAAUUAUUAAAGUUUUUAAACUAUAUAUUUCAAAAUAUUCAAAAAUUUACACAUUUUUUAAAACCUUCUACAGUAAACUACAAUAAAAUUUUAAACAAACAUUUAAAAAAACUCACUUGCCAAACGGGGCCUGUAACUAAGGCCGAUAACAAGGCACACAUCAAAUCGUGAAUAAAUGGAUCUUGUUCCCGAAAAAAAAAAAGGAAUUCUAAAUUGGGUUUGUAAUUCUUCACAGAGUCUCGUGUUGAGUUACUGCCAUGAUUCAUUCUGCGGCAGCAUAAAGGUAUUCUAAAAAUUUUAAUGGCAUUUACCUAACAACGCAUUAGGACUAAGUCGAGAAAAAAAUAAAACAGGGGGCUGGCCAAAUACACUAUUUAACUGUUAAGGUAUAUAUUAUUUUAAUCAUCUCAUGGGAUUGUGUGGGUCCGUUGUAUGACUAGCUCAUACGAACUGGUUGCUUUAGCGCGUGAUAUGGCUAUUCCAUCAUGUGAUAAUUAAUGGGUCGAAAUCAGAGGAAGACUCAAAGGAGUUUGAUCCAAUAAGAUGAAUUUGAAUUUGUUUUCAAGAAAAUUAGAAGAAAAGUAGGCGUUGAUGUUUGAUUAAUAGUAAAAUAACGUAACUUUCGCAGAAAAAACUUGCAGCUAGACGAGAGCCUCUCAAAUUAAAUUUUUGUCCAGUUCUAUUUGAUUAUAUAAUUCAUAUAGCAUUUGGUGCAAAAUUAUUAUAAAUAUAAAUUUUGUCAAUUCAUAUAAUUAAUUCAUGCUUGUAUUAAAAUUGUACGAAUUUUAGCUAACAAUUAUAAAAUUACAACACCUGCAGGAUCGACUAAAGAAAGGGACCAUGCCCUUCUCAACAAUAGAAUAGAAGCAUCUAAGAGAACAAACAGAAAAAAAAAAAAAAAAAAAAAAGGCAUCUUCUAAGUAUUAUGCUACUAUUAUGGCUUGCGCAGUUUUGGCUCUUCUCAACCCUUUUUUUUUUUUGUUUUUCGGUUGUAAUCAUUUUUAAUUUGAAUCAGGAUUCAAAGCAAUUUUACAAGGCGAGGCGCAUGACUAAUUAACUGCUGGUUACAGUCAAAUGUAACCUACGUGUACGUCAGAUCAGUUCACAUCGUCUUGCGCCAGAUGUUAAUCGAACUCGACUCUCGGAGGAGAAUUCAUCAAUCAAAACUUGACCGCGCCCUUUCCUUCCUAAAUAAAUGCGUCUGCGUAUGCUUGGGUGGCAAAAGUCAAACAGAUAUAAAUUUCUUUUUUCCGGCGUGUGUCAUAUUUUUUUCAUGACAUUUAUGAUGAGAGUUUCACUCACAUAGGUUCCACCGAAUAGCAAAAGCUCAUCCAUUUGUUGGUUGUUGCCCAGAACAUGGAAGUGGUCAACUGGCGUCUUCUUAUCGUUGUCGUGGACCGGAUCGUACAAAUUGUCCUUUAAAUUUAAGGUCAGUGGAUAUCUGGAAUGAGGAGGCCAUUAACAUGACUUGUACAUGUUAACGGAGGAGAACGCUGUGUGUAUUUCACUAUUUCAGAAUCUCGUGAUAUAAAUCUAAAAACAACGCAUGCUUCACUCAACAAAUGACACUUGCUACUUUCAUGGUUGAAAGGGGUGCAAAAUACUAGUACAAAAGUACCAUAGAAGCAAUCAUUCAUUUGUUCUCUUUUUUUUUCUUUUUUUUUUUUGAGUGGUGUGUGGGGGAGAGCGUAGGGGAUGGGAUUAGUUUUGAAAUUUUUUUUUUCCUAACUGCAGAUGUGUGAGAUUUAAGAAACAUAAAAGGAGAGGGGGGGGGGGGGAUUUGAGUCUAACAUUUUUAAAUUCUAGAGUUCAAACUUUUGCUGCUAAACCAAUGAUUUUAAAACUUUGAUAUCAAGUAUAUAUGCAUUUUCAUUAUACAUGCAUGCUAGAAGGCUUAUAGUAUUAACUCCUCUCGUCAUUUUGAUGUUAGUAUUUAUGAUUUACCACUAAAAAAACUUAGUUAUAAACUAAUUACUACAACUCAUAAGUACUCACUAAUUACAGUUACUUCAGUAUAAUUUUUGUUAGCACUACAGUAUACAUUCACUUUUCUAUUGUAAGAUGGAUUAGUACAAAUCUCGAUUUAUGAAAUUAAAGUCCCUUUUAGAUUGCAAGUUUUCAUAGAAAAAUAUCUGUAAUAAUAUAAUGUAUGUGAGAUAAAAAAAUAUGUUGAGAGAAGGUUUUUUUUUUUUUAAUCAAAGCACGUAAUCCAAAUAAGACCUAAAAAGUAAUAAUAUGAUUAUGAAUUUUUGAAUAAAAACUGCAUACUAGUACUACAUAAGGUAUGAAAAAGAACUUCUAGCCUAGGACAGUACUACAUCAUAUAAUCCAUGAAAUACUUUUGGAAGAGAGAGAGAGAAAAGUGAAUAAGGGUCGGGUCAGUCAGGUGCUUAACGGCAAUCUCAUCCCCACUGAUGAGUCACGGCUCACGACCGAAUGAACCGUCUGCUGACUCUUUCCCAUCCCAUUACUGCUUUUGUGAAAGUCACAGCUCAGCACUUUGCCUCUUUUGCUUUGUCAAAGCUGCUGCUUUUUUAAAAUUCUAAUAGUAUUAUUUUUUCCCGGUGGACUACAAAAGACGAAAGAAACGACAUCGCACUUGUCAUUUUUGGACCAAACAACGUCGUUUUUGUCAUACAAUUCCUCGGACUCCUCCGACUUUAUUUCUUCUUCUAUUUUAUUUCUGCCGAAACUUUGUCGGGAAUCCCGCAAGCUAUUUGCCAUAUUCCCUUCCGUUCCCUCCGAAUCCAAACCUCCCUUUCCCUUUUAUUGGGAAUCCCACGUUUUUUCAGCCUUUUCUUUACUUUUAAGACUAGACUGCCAAAAGAAGUACACUACUGAGUAGUACUUACUAUAGAGUCAUGGACAACCGACCACUGUAUAACGAUCCCAUAUGGAAAAAGGAAAUAAAAAAAAUAAAAAUCCUUCUUUGUUUUUUUUUUUUUGGGGAGUUAUAUAGUAGAAGACUCGGGUUUAGCUAACAGUGUCGCACAAGUCAAAUGAUUUAUCGUCCUUCUUUGCUCUUACAAGUCUUCUCAGUUGUUCAUUUAUUUCCCUCUCUUUAUUUUAAUUCUAGUUUGUUUGCUUUGUUUUUUGCCAUCAAAAUCAAUCCUUUAAAGCUUAAUCAACACUUCGUUGAGCUGGAUAGCAGCAGUAGUUAAACUCUACUAUUGUGGUUGUUCUUAUCUGGCCGUGUUUUCUUGUUCAUUUUCGUUAGUUAUUGGGUUUUGGGUCUUAAGAUUUGAGUUUUUCCUAUUCUCUGGACUGUUUGAGUUUUUCUUUCAUCUUAGGGUGGAAAAGGGAUUUCUUUUUUCUUUUGUUGUGGGAAGAAGCAGCUUUCAUGGCCGAAGCUUCAAAAGUUCGUUUAGUUCGUUGUCCCAAAUGCGAAAAUCUUCUGCCUGAGCCCCUGGCUUCUCUGUCUACCAGUGUGGUGGUUGCGGUGCUGUUCUCCGAGGUAUGCACCCCUCCUUUCCCCACUUCUUUUUCUCUAUUUAUACAUUUGUCUGUGUUACUGUGGGUAUGCGCUUGUAUUUUUGUGUUAAAUACAAUUUGAGUUUAAAUAAAAGGCCAAACUUGUGCUAGCUUUUAAGUUUUUUUUUUUUUUUUUUAAAUUAUUCCCCACCUAAAGUGUUCAUCUUUAUGUUUGAAUGAGUUGUAAGGGGAUGUUAACGGUGGUUUUUUAUUUUAAGUUGAUGUCACAGCUAAAAAGAAAGAGCUUUUGGGCGAUGGCUUAUUAGGGACAUCUGAUGAGGAAAGGAGUAGAGGAGCUUCUGAGAAAGGGGACGUCGAUAAUGUCGGUUUAGGUAGCGUUGCUGGGGCAAAGAUAGAGAGUAACGGGAUUGUUAAAAGAAACAAUAGUGAAAAUGUCUUGAAUGGUAGUUCUUCAUCAGGAGUCGAUAAUAGUAGAGGUUUGGAUGAUUGUGAUGGAUCUAAAACAGGAAGAGAUAGGUUGGAUUUGGGUUUUGAUCAGGAUAGAAAGAUUAGAUACUCAGAAGAUGAAUACAAACAUCCUUUGAAGGGUCUGAAUGAUGAAUAUGUUCGUGAUAAUGGUACUGGUGACUUCCGCUCUAGUAGGCCUGAUUAUACUAGAUUGAAUAAAGAUGAGCUUGAAGAAAUCAAGCGUUUGAUUAAGUUAUUGAGAUCGAGGCCGGCUAUAGACCAGAAUGGUAUGGACAGAAAUAGCUCGAUAGCGUCCCGUGCUAAUGGCAGCAGUGUUGCAGGGCAGGGGAGGUUUGUCAAUUUUCAACAUCCUGAAGUGGGGCCUUCAAAUUAUGUUGGAGGUUCUUACUACAAUUAUGCUGAGCAGAGAAGGUAUGGUGACAGAUCAGAUGGACUUGCAAGAGUUGAAAAUUUGGAGAAUGAUCGAGUGGAGCUCCUUAGGAAGCUUGAUGAGUUGGCUGAUCAACUCACCAGAUCUUGUGAUGUAGCAGAUAAAUCAAAGGAAAGGAUCCAUCAUGACCGUUGGAUACCUCCAGUUCUUCCAGAUACAUAUGACAGACAUGAUGCUUUUGUGCAAGAUGGUACGAGGAACUCUUAUACUGUUCAUAAGCAACCUCUGAUUCCUGACAAACACAUUUCUAGAGCUCCAUAUGUCCCUCGCAGUCAUGGCUAUGUCCCUUACACGGAUAGACAUGGCAUACCUUUUCAAGAAUCUUACCCUCCACGGAAUUUUUCUUAUGAAUAUGGUGGAAUUACUGAUGCUUAUCAGACGCAGAUGCUGAGGAGGCCUUCCAUCAGCCACCUAGUCGGUACUUCCAGGAAUCAUGUCACGUGGACUUCAAUCAAGAUCUGUUCAUGUCACACCCACAUGAAGCUUUUUUUCACCAGCCUGCCUGCUCUUGCUUGCAAUGUGUCAACAAGAAUUGGCAAGUUUCUUCGAAAAUUCAGCCCCCAAAUCUAUGUAACCAAAAUAUGCAUAGCACCCACACAAGUCGUAGUUUCUAUCAGAAUGUGAAUCCUAUUACAUAUGAUCCUCAGGUUUACACUUCCGAAGCCUCCAAUCUCCUUCCACCACAAUCUCGUGAUAGAAAGCACCUUACAAGAAGUUCUAGUGACUUGGGCAGAGAAAAAGUUGGAUUUGGUCGAAGCCAUCCAAAGAAGGUAGUGGCAGCCCCUGGUGGCAGACGACUCUUUCAGCCAAUUGCUGGUGGUGCUCCAUUUGUAACCUGCUGUAAUUGCUUUGAGUUGUUGAAGUUACCAAGGAAACUUUUUUUAACUCAGAAAAACCCAAGGGAAAUAAAAUGUGGGGGUUGUUCUUCUCUGCUUUUGUUUGAACUUGAUGGCAAAGGAAUUGUUGUAUCAGUAUCUGCAACAACUGAGCGAGUCUUUAAGAAGGUUCACUCUUCCUCCAGUGAAAUUUCAAAUGAAAAGUAUGAAAGUUCUCAUGAUCCCCCAGAUGCUGAUGCAGUAGGCAACUGCGAUGGUUAUGAGAACUUCAAUUAUGGCUAUCAGUUGACAGAUGCUGAGCCUGUUCUGUCUUCAGGAGAAUACAAGUUGAGUUUUGGUGAGUCUGAGAUGAGAAGGGAUCCUAAUUCUUUCACUGCAAGUUCUUCUGAGGGCGAGCAAAGUCCAAAUAGCGUGAUAGCUGAAAAAGAUGAAGGCUUAUUACAUCUUCCAGAUUCACCUUCCCAGAAACACCCAGGUCAUUCCCCUGAUAAUCUUAUGCACAAAUAUGGCCAGGGAAACAAAAGCAAACGUAUUGAGGAAGAUAGGAACACUGCAGACGGGAAAACCUCUAGGCAAAACUCGCUAAAGGACACCCUGGUGGCAACUGAGAUGGAUGUGUCCUAUAAUGAUGGUUCAACUCAUGAUUCUGCUGAGAUACGCAAAGAGGAAUAUCUACCAAAAAUCAACAAAGGGGGUGAGUCUUUCUUCGUUGGUCUCAUAAAGAGGAGUUUUGGAGACUUCUCGAGGUCAAGUAAGAGUACAGAAAGUGGAAAAUCAAAUGUUUCCAUCAAUGGGCACUUUGUACCAGACCGAGUAGUUAAGAAGGCAGAAAAGUUGUCUGGGCCUAUUCAGCCAGGAGAGUACUGGUGAGUGCAUACUCGAUGUCUCAUUCAUUUUGUCAUUUUGAUAUUCUACACAUGCAUUUGCUCUAUUUAUAUCUUUACUCAGAAGGGCAAAUUUGAAAGUUCGAAUGCAUCAUUCUCUGACUCUUAAAGUGUAACACUUUCAACAUAACUAGUCACAUUCUGUUUUCUAGCAACGAUAGGUGCUAAGCUCUGAAAACAAACUGUGUAUGGAUGAAUUCGUUCAGCCCUGAGCCGCAACUGUCCCCUUUUUCCCUCUCGUGACAUCUUUUGAUUCAUGUGUAGCUAAUGUGGCAACAUUCUUAUUGACAAAGAUGCUCUUCAUGUCCUUGUACACUGAGUAUCAAUGCCAAAUUUCCUGCUAAUUUCUUCACCAUACCAGGUAUGAUAUCCGAGCAGGAUUUUGGGGUGUCAUGGGACAUCCAUGCCUGGCAUUAUUCUGGUGAGAUUAUAAAAUUCUGUCACAUGCUGUAUAUCAAAUAUAAUUUUAUUACGGGAAAAAAUCUUUGUUUACACAAAGAAAUUAUCGAGUGCACUCCUGUUUUGCAGCCAAACAUAGAAGAAUUCAAUUAUCCUAUGUUAGAAAAUUGUGCUGGUGGAAACACUGAAGUUUUUGUGAAUGGGAGGGAGCUUCACCAGAAGGAUCUAGAUUUACUUGCCAGCAGAGGCCUUCCAAUCACAAGGCACAAGUCUUACCUCAUUGAUAUUUCUGGCAGAGUGGUGGAUGAGAACACAGGUGAAGAACUAGAUGGACUAGGCAAACUUGCCCCAACGUAAGUUUUGCUUCCUCAUGUAUUACACUCAUUCUUUCUGGUUUACUUCCUCCAAGUAUAAAUAAGUGAGGAUAGCUGCUUAUUAUGUGCUUAUUCACCAAUGUAUCAUGAAACAACUGUUGCAACAUAAUUAACUUUUUAGAAGGUCCAGGUAGAUGAUCACUUUUAUAGUUGCCCCUGCCUAGCUUCAGUAUAUAAGGGACUGUGAAUCACCUAUAAGUGAAUAUCAGCUUCACAUUAAAUGGUUUUGGGCAGAAAUCAGUUAUAUUUUUUGGCCAGUAUUAGAGGAUUUUCAGCAUAUCUUUUCUCAAGAUGGUUUUCAAGGUUUGUCUGUAGAUUAAAUACAGAUUGUACCUUACAAUUGCUUUGCCACAUGAUAGAUUCUUAGUGCCUUGAGGACCUUGACAGACAAUUCAUUGGAACUCUAGCCCUUGUCAGAGAAAUUUAUAUGCCCAACUGAUCAAUUGUUAAAAUUGGAAGUUUUUUUGGUCAAUGGAGUACUGUUGGUGCCCUAAUAGCCUAGAAAUAUAGCUCGAUGCACAUGACCUGGAGGAACGGAAGGAGAAAAGAGUCAAAAUUUUAUAGGAAACAAUUGGAUAUUUCAAGUUGUUGUUGAGAUUUAUCCAAGUACAAGUCAUUGGUUUGGUGCUAUCUUCUGUGGUUCUCCAUCAUUUGCCUAUUGCUGGCUGAAUUUCAUUAACCGCAGAUUAGUAUUUUUGUGAUUAUCAUAGAUUCUGACUAUGGUAUCUGCGAUGAACCUGUUGUGCUUGGAUGGCUUUGCUUUAACUUUAAGAAGGGGAACGGGGGUGGGAGAAUCAGUUCUCGUAUCCAGGGAAAAGCUUGUUUUGCAGCUAUCGUCUUCAUUCAUGACUGGUGGAAUUAUAUCAUGCUAUGGGUCCCUUUCUGACUGUUUCUCAAUGUAUAUGUGAAACAGGGUUCAGAGAGCAAAGCAUGGAUUUGGUAUGAGAAUUCCAAAAUCACUUCUCCAAAAGCAACGUUAAUGGAGUAGUUAAUUGAGGCAGCUGCUGCUCCCGUCUGUUGUGCUGCCAUGGUCCUGAAAUCCAUUGCAUGUGAAUAUGUGAUGCAAAAAUAUUCCUGAAUCGACUGAUUAUUGUCUCUGCACUGUGACUCAUAUAUUCUUUAAUUAGACAUGUAAUUGUUAUACUUUUCAAGCAGACCCAACUCAGAGAGCCGUUCGACCGAUUUAAACCUUCCUGUAUAUUAAAAUCUACGGAAACAACACGUUCAUCUGAGCUGGUAUUUGCAAAAACAUCUGUGGUUUGUACUUUGUACUUGUAAGCGUGCACAAUACUUGUGGGCUACAAUGGGGGUUUCCUCUUUGCAGUGAACAGGAGUUGAGCAACAGUCUUGUCGGUCGAGUUUAGCAGACCUUCUUUCAUUUUCCCUUUCAUUUAAUGAAAAAAAUCGUUUUUGAUUUUAGGUGUUUUACUUGUAAAUCUGUUGUAGCCAUUGGACAGGCUAAUUUAUUAGGUUGGUUGAUAGAUUAGAUUCCAUUUGACUUUCCAUCUUGUAUCAGUAGCUAAUUAAUGUGUAUCCACUCCGCUUCUUGGCCAAUGCCGAAGUGGAACAGACGCAACAACUUCUGCGUUAAUUUUACGCCAAUUUACUAAAUUGUGUCAUGAGCCACUGAAGUUUAUUGAAACUCUUUAUGUAUAUUGAAGUUUAUUUUUAUCUUUCUUUUUCUUGGUAAUUGCAAUAUUGGUUAAUUGACUUUACAACCUUUUGACAAUUUCGCAAUAGCACAGAACUUUGGGACUAGUUUGGACAGCCGUUUUUUUGCCGGAAAAUUAUGUCAUUUUUCAUAAUCACAUUUUUCUAUUAUCUUUUUUCCUUACAUACAUCAAAUCGCUACAGUAAUUUUUUUACAGAAAAUUCUAAAAAAUGCAAUCCAAACGCAACCUUGAUUUGCAGGAACCAAUUCUGGUGUAACUGAAGCUGUACCAAAAUGGCACUGGCUGAGGUGACAAUAAAGUGGCUUCCAAGUUCUAACCUAAAUCUUUGUUAUCCCCACCUUAACCAUUUCUAAGCUUCCCCAAAAGCAUACGUUUUUGCAAAUUUUCUUAUAGUAGUCUAUAUAGUAAUGUUUAAUAUAAAUUGAAAAGAUUAAUGAGCUGUCACCGAAUUCUUUGAUUACUCUGUGACAUUGGAUGGUAGUAACAUAUACCAAUAGUUAGCAUCAUGCACUUGAUUUGAUGUAGCUGAAAACUCUGUCUACGGCUAUUGGCCAAAAAAAAAAAAAAAAAACUCCAACCAAAAAGAGAAAAAAACAAACAAAAUUCAUAAGGGCCUAUCCAUGUUAACGUUUUGGGGAAAUUUUUUUUUUUUUUUAAAAAAGGGCCCUAUCCCACCUUAGUAUUCCCCUAUGAAAUCCUUAAAACUGUUCUAGCAUAUUGCACAACUACUUGGUCGUUACUCCGAGGAUCUGAGCAAAGCUUGUGCAAAGCUGCAAGCUGCUCAUAAAGCUGCCAAGACUGCAUCUUUGUCGGUUAAUCACAUCGCUCCAUUCCUCCAAUCUUGAACUUAAAGCUGGGUUUUUCUCAAGCCCCUUUUGAAUUUUAGCUCAAAAGCUGCAGUCUUGAGCUUAAAGAUCGUUUUUUUUUUAACACGAGUGAGCGGAUAGCUUGUGGAAUAUCUGAUAGAAAACAAUAAUGAUGAAGAAAAUUUCAUUCAACUGGACAUCAUGGUGGUGGUCUCUUCACAAGCAGAAUUACUUGGUUCUCAAGUUGGGAGUUUCAAUUCUUCUAAUUGGCCUUGUUUUUAGGCUUUUAUACCCUCUAUCCGGUGGUGGUGUCUGAAGUACAAGACAUCCCUAUUCAGCAAACUGUUAGUCCAAGUACGCCACCGCCUCUGGUUUCUGUCAGUUCACCUCUAAAUUCUAAUCAGCAUUCUCCGAAUGGGACUGAAACUUCAGAUAGGAGUUCAGAUUCAAGUGGGUUCAACGAGGCUGACAACGAAAGUCAAGAAAAUGGUCUGUCUUUUCCUUCCGUUUGACUGUUGCAUCUUAUCUUUCUUUCUCUUAGCAAUUGAAUUUUGCAACAGAACCACUUUAAGAAAUUUUAUUGGGUUUUCGAGAAAAGAUGGGAUGCGAUCAAUGAGUUGUCAAAGGUGAUGUCCAUAGUGAUGUUCUAAUUUGAUUUUUUGUGAUAUGAAUUUCAACAAUCAACAAAUCAGUUAGUUGGUUUUAGUGGAGAGAUUGGGUAUGAUGAGUAUAGGGUGGUUUAGGAUCCAUAACAAGGAGGUUUGUUUCUCUUAUUCAUUUAGAGUACAAAACUAUUCUUGCUGGCUUUGAAUGAAUUACAUCAUAUAAUUUUACUUUUCUUGGUAAAAGGUGGUUCAUUUGGUUUAAAUUAAUGUAUGCCUUGUCGUGGCCUGAUCUGCUGCCAUAUUAAUAGGCGAAUAUCUACAAAAUAUAUAAAGGAUGUUUCAAUUUGAUGUGCUGAAACUUGCAUGGUUAUUAUUCCAUAGAAGAUGCGGGAAGAUGUGAUCUGUUCGUUGGGGAUUGGAUUCCUCAUCCUGGGGUCCUGUUUACACUAAUGAGACCUGUGACUGGAUUGAAGGCCAUCAAAACUGUAUGAAGAAUGGUCGACCUGAUACAGGUUAUCUUUACUGGAGGUGGAGUCCACGAGAAUGCGAGUUACCUCAACUAAAUCCUAAUAGGUUUCUUGAGUUGAUGAGAAAUAAAGCUUUGGCAUUGAUUGGUGAUUCCAUAUCACGCAACCACAUACAGUCAUUGAUCUGUGUUCUUUCAAAGGUAAAAUCUUUAGCUGUUAUGGAUUGGUACUGAAAACGACUGUUGGUUAUGUUUAUUUGUUCUGUGCUUUGGGAUCCCCUCUGUAAUUUUUCAAUUGCCAAAUUAUCCAUUACAUGAUCCACCGGGGCUCCUUAUAUUGUAAUUGGUGUGAUACUAGUGCAGAGUGGACUGUGAUAUCAUGAGGUACAUAUAGGAAAUUCAGGAAAACACAAGUCAUAAACAAUGUGAGGUAUAUGAUUCAUUUCUGUAUAUCCACACAUUGUAUGAUAAUGCACUCUUCCAUUUUUACGCAACUAAUUAAUUUCAGAGUUUGGAGUGAGAAGAAUAUCUUCAUUGAUGCUGCUGUGUGAUGGUUAGAUACCAUCAUCAGCUUGGAUAUUUCUGAUUUGAUGUUAUUUUAUUUGGUCAAGUUAUGUGGCAUAUUUACAUAUAUUUUCUUUAAUUUCUUUUCUUUGUUGGAAAAAUGAUGACAUAGUUUCAACAUAUCUUAGACCCCUGCACCAUGAGAAUUGGGUAGAAAUACAUAGUUGUUGGACCACUCUGUAGGUGACUAUAAACAGAAAAGGAAAUGUCAUUCUUCGUAAAUCAAUUGGAACCAAAAAUGGAAACAUUUGGCUAAGACACUUCUCUGUAAUUUUUUUUGGACACAGAAAGCAGCAAAACUGCAGUAAAUUAGGUCAGUAAUGAGGUUCACUACAUCCCUAUGGGGGUGAGAAACCUUUUCCUUAUGGGGAUUUACUGCACUGCUUUAGGCAUUUAUUUAUUGGAAUCUGAUUAGCAGCUGAGUGUUGCUUGGCUAGCUACUUGGUGAUUUUGUCUUCAUUCUGAUUCUAACUGCUUUCGUUUCAAUUUUUAUAAUCGUUGAUUGAAAAUUUUGGACGUUGGUGUUUAUUUUCAUCCUGUUUAUUCAUUUCCUAUGUGUAAGCUGUCAAGGUGGCUAUAUAUCUCGAGUCAGAGUUAUUUUUGGAGGAUUUGAAAGAUUUUUCAGUUAUACAUAGCUAAGUAUUUCGAGUUAUAUUCUUUUAGGCGGAAAAAGGCCGUCCAAGUUUAUCAUGAUGAGGACUACAAAUCAAGAAGAUGGCUCUUCCCCUCCCACAAUUUCACCGUUUCAGUUUUAUGGUCUCCUUUCUUAGCACAAGCUGCCAUUUUCGAAGACUACAAUGGUGUUUCUACAUCAGAGAUUGAGCUGCAUCUUGACAAACUAGAUGGCACAUGGACUGAACAAUUCAAGAGCUUGGACUACAUCAUGUUUUCCAGUGGUGAAUGGUAUGCCAAAUCAGCAAUCUACUACAAGAACAACACAGUAUUGGGAUGCCAUUACUGUCCUAAGAGAAACUUGACGGAACGUGGGUUUGAUUUUGCUUAUCGCGAGGUGCUCAGGAACUUUUUUGACUACAUAACCGAGUCAAAUCACAAGGGGAUGAUCUUUUUCAGGACCAGCACACCGGAGCAUUUUGAGAACGGUGAAUGGUUUAGCGGUGGAACCUGCAAUAGAACUGAACCAGUGAAGGAAGGUGAGUUUCUGAGAAAUGAGUUGAACAGGAUUCUUCGAGAUAUUGAAAUAGAAGAAUUCAGGAAUGCAUCCACAAAAGCUUCUGAGAAAGGGGUGAAUCUCAAACUUUUUGACGUAAAUCCUCUCUCCUUGUUGAGGCCUGAUGGACAUCCAGGUCCAUACAGAUUCUUCCAACCAUUUGCUAAGGACAAAAAUGCAAAGAUAAUCAAAGACUGUCUACACUGGUGUUUGCCGGGCCCUAUAGAUACUUGGAACGAUCUGUUAAUGAAGAUGGUGGUCAAUGGCUGAGCGCACCUGAUGUCGUUUGUCAAGAAAAAUGGUGGAUCAAGUUUGCCUCUCCACGCGAUGAAUAUAAAUGUUUGAGAUUCUUCAAACCUGAAAUUUGGGAGAGUUAUAAUUAGUCUGAUAGAUUAAUUUUUUUCUAAGCUAAAUAGUGUGUAGAAAUUCUUUGACACAAGUCGGCUUAUAUGUGAAGUGAAGCAUGUACGCAAGAAGAGGCUUUUAUAGAAUAGAGAUACAAAGUAUAUGCUUCUGCAUUUAGCCCACUCUUUGUAAGGAAAUCUUUACACCAAAAAAUGAUCCCAGUUUGAAAACCAAAGAUUCAUCAAGUUUAUAUUUUUAUGCUUGUUGCUGAUUAUUUAUUUAUUUAUUUUGGGUCUCCCUUUCUACUGGAAUAAUGGAAGGCAAAAAAAAAAAAAAAAAAAGAAGGAAGGCAAACAUGACAUAGCAUAAAAUGGAAGCCCCGAAUCACCCAUUGUAAUACACCAACGUCAAACUUUUAAAUGUGCACCAAUGGGACUCGAACCUUUUCUUCGUUAACAACAAUUGAUUUGAAUUUGAAACAAGUAACCGUUGGAAUCUGCAUAUAAAACAAAACCACUCUCGGGAGAAGCCACACUCACUGUUAGCAACGUCUCUCUCUUUCUCUCUCUCUCUCUCUGAAACCAUCCAUGGCUGCAAUUGCAGAGAUGCCUCUUGUUCUGAACCCGCUCCCACGAAGAAAGGGAGAUCCAGAAGAGCACUAAAGCAGAAAACCCCAUCGUCCAGCGAGGCCAACAUUGUGGCCGGAACUGUCCCUCAGCCAUCUCCGGUUGCGCCACCAUCUGAGAACUGUCCCACCAAAGAGAACCAUGAAAGCCUCUCCUCACAGCUUUCGCCCCAGAAAAAAAUCAAAGAGAGGGGCUCCAAAGGCUUCCAAGCAACAACCAGAACUGUCCUUUGAGAAAGAAUUGCUGGAAAUGCAGGAAAAGCUUGAGAAACUGACGCUUGAGAAACAGCAGACUGAGGAGCUCUUGAAGGUUAAAGAAGAAGCCCUCAAACAAAAUGAGGAAGAGAAGGAGAAGCUGCAUGUCGAACUCAAGAAGCUACAGAAAGUCAAGGAGUUUAAGCCCACCAUGGUUUGUUUUCUGUUGUGUCGUUUUGAAUUCUUCUGCUUUUGGUUCUCAUUUCUUGUUCUGAUCGCCCCUUUAUUUACGAUUCACAAGAUCUGAUGAAAGGGUUGAUUUUGCUAUUUUUUUUUCAAAAAUUUCCGAUUUUUAGGUUUUAAUACAAAGAAAAUAUUUGGUUGAAAUUUUUUUUUUUUUUCCAAAUCGAAGUUGAUGCCACUGCAAAGACAAAAGGCGACAUUAGAAACAGCGGAAGCUGCAAUUGUUAUCUUAUUUUAAAGUUCUCCAUUCUGUUGAACCUUUUGUCAGACCUUACCCAUGUUGCAAGCUUUGAAAGACAAUGAUCAAGAAAAGAAAGGGAAGAAGAAGGCGGAUCCUGCGACAAAGAGACCAUCUCCUCCUUACGCCUUGUGGUGCAAAGAUCAGUGGAAUGAGGUGAAUGCGCACUGAGGUUUCUUUAAUUCCCGUUUUACCAUGUUAAAGUAUCGGAUGACUUAGCUGGAUCAAUUUCUGAUGUGAUAAUCUUUGGUUACGUAGGUGAAAAAAGCAAAUCCGGAAGCAGAUUUCAAGGAAAUAUCAACUCUGUUGGGGGCAAAAUGGAAGACACUCAGCACAGAGGAGAAGAAACCUUACGAGGAGAGGUACCAAGAGGAGAAGGAAGCUUACUUGAAAAUUGUUUGGAAUUGAGAAACGCGAGCACGAAGCAAUGAAGCUUUUGAGGAAGAGCAAAAACAGAAGACUGCCAUGGAGUUGCUUGAACAAUACAUGCAGUUCAAACAGGAAGCAGAGAAAGAAAAUAAGAAGACUAACAAGCAAGUUCCAAUUAAAUUGCUUUUUUUUUAAUGCUAUAAUAAAUUAUAGAUGGCCGAAAAGGAUCCUUUAACUUCUAUACUGAUUUUGUCUGCUUUGAUUUCUGUAUUUAGGAAAGAAAAGAUCCUUUAAAACCAAAGCAACCACUCACGGCUUUCUUCUUGUACUCGAAUGAGCGACGCGCAACUUUGCUUGCAGAGAACAAAAAUGUGUUGGAGGUGAUUGAUGAAAUGCAGCUUGAUUAUAUGCUUUGUUAAUAAAAAUUGUAGAAUUCAUCAUUGAGAAAUUGGUGGGAUAUGUUAUUAGGUGGCAAAGGUCUUAGGUGAAGAAUGGAAGAACAUGACGGAGAAGCAGAGAGCACCUUACGAGAAGGUAUUACUCCCCUGCCUAACAUGCAUACCUUUCUUCUAGAUGCAGUCCUUCUGUUUGUUGGAGAUUUGAGGGUUUUUGCGUAUUGAAAAAAUUCUGCAAUGAUAUCUAGAUUGCAAACAAGAACAAGGAGCAGUAUUUGCUUGAAAUCGAGCUCUACAAGCAGAGGAAAGAGGAAGAAGCUGCUAAUCUCAAAAGGAAGAGGAAGAGCUGAUGAAACUUCAAAAGCAGGAAGCGUUGCAAUUGCUCAAGAAGAAAGAGAAAGCUGAGAACAUUAUUAAGGUUUGUGUUACAUAUAUUAUUUGUCAUGUUGUCCCUCCCUGAUUUAUUUGAAGCAUAUGAAAACUUGUAAGCCAAUAUAAAUAUAUAUAUAUAUAAUUGAGAGAUGCAUUGCUCAUUAACAAUUUAGAAAACAAAAGAGAAGCGCCAAAAGAAGAAGGAAGAGAAGGAUGUUGAUCCUAACAAGCCAAAGAAGCCAGCAUCUUCAUUCCUCCUCUUCAGGUUACUACUCAGUCUCUCAACCAAACGAUUGAUAAAGAGUGUGAUAGUUCUUUAACGACUCAAUUGGAAUGAACGCAUUUUGUUCUAUGAUUUUUACUAAUGCAGCAAAGAGGCCAGGAAGACUUUGUCGGAAGAAAGGCCUGGGAUCAACAAUUCCACCCUUAAUGCCCUCAUUUCGGUUAAGUGGAAGGUAUAUAUUGUACACAAAGCCCCGCCCAGUAUGUGUUCUUUAGCUGUAUUUAUUUUAUAUGUUUACCAGUUAGUUCAGGGAUUUAUUUGUUUAAUUUGCAAUCCUCAUAGGAACUAAGUGAGGAAGAGAAACAAGUUUGGAAUGAGAAGGCUGCAAAAGCUAUGGAGGCAUACAAGAAGGAGGUGGAAGAAUACAACAAAAAAUUGGUGGCAGAGAACCAGAAAAACUAGAUAUAGUGUUGGUGCUGGUGUUCAACUUGUUCUGUUGAACAUCUUAGAUGCAUGCUAAUUGUUUCUUCUUCAAAUUUAUGUGUCUUUAGACUUUAAUGGGUAGAGUAGCCUAUAAUGAACGGGUGCAGUCUGUGAGAUAUUUGUGCUUUUGGGAAAUGUUUUCAACUGCUGACAAUUGAACAAUCAGGUAGGAGGAGAAGUAUGGUAGUUGGGUGGGUAAUCUAUGAGAUACUUGUGCUUUUAGGAAAUGUUUUCAAUUGCUGACAAUCAAAUGAAUGCUAGUACAAAUUUGGUUGUGUCACGAAGGUUUUGACAUUUCUUGGAUUGCCAACUAGUCAAUUUGCCUAUUGUGUUGUUGUACUCGUGUAAUAGGCCGUUGAAGGCUUUGCUGGUACAAAUAGAGAUAGUUGAAUUCCAACUGAGCUCCAAAAAAAAACGAUUCUUGGUUACUUCCAUCCAAAUCUAGGAUUGGCAAUGGGCAGGAUAAUACCUUGCGCUUAUCCGAAUCCGGCCCGUUGGUUAAUUCAAUUAUAUGAUCGUGGAUUAUUUGUUAGGGUUUGAUUUUAAUGAGGAGUUUUUGAUGGCAUAUAUAUACAGUAAGAGGAUUCGAUAACACAUUUUUUUAAUCUUAUAACCUAAUAAGAUACAAUUCUAACCCAACACAAAUGAAGAUAAUUAUGAUUUAAAAAAAGAAUAUUGAUUUAAUCCUUCAUUAGUUGAAUUUUUCUCGUGCAAACUCUAUGUCUUUACUAAGUUUAAAACUCAAUACACAGUGUGCUAACAUGGUGUAUGUAUUGAUAAAAGGCUACUUUUUUUUUUUUAACUAUUAAGUUUAGUGAGUAGAAGCAUCCAAUAGGUAAUCCGAACUUGAAAGAGAGAUGGUUUUGUAAUGGAAAUUAAAACCCAUGGAGUUAGCCUAUAGGAUCAAGCUUCUAUCCCUAAUUUCCUAUCCAAAUCUUCAAUUGUAAGUGAUUAAUUUAGAACCAUCCCUAAGGCUUUACAAAAAUCCAAGUAGGCCUGUCAACAGGCCGGGCCUGAAUUGAAAUGAAUAAAUCCGGAUCCGUUAUACUGCAUUAGUUCCGGAUUCGACUCGAAUAUCCGACGGGUCCCUGUUGUUUCUAUACGGGUCUCGGAUCUGGGUCGGGCCUACCCGGCCCGUCGAAAACCCGUUCAUGCUACAUUUUUUGGGCGGGAGGCAGGUGGUAUAAUGAAAACAAAAGCAAAGACAAUUACGCACAGAUCUUUUUAAUAUUAAGGGAUUACAAGAAGACAAUAAGCAGGUUGGUUAUUUAUCAGUCAUUUGUAUUGGCCGGCGUCAUAUCUUUGAUUCGUAAAACUUACUGGCCAGCAAAUCAGCAAGGCUUCCCAUGGGCCAUGGGAUAAUAAUCACAGACAGCAGAAAUAAGUAAUGACAGGAACAAGAUAGUCGGAUAUGCUGCUCACUAAACCCACUGGCACGAUUCUCCUCCCAAACUCGCCCCUCCUCAAACUGACCUUCCGAAACCUCUUCAAUGCACGCAUCCUACCAUACAGCAGCACCACUUUCUCUGUAAACCCCAAACGGCUCUCGCCCACCACUGCCACCGCUAAUCUGAGCACCUGCCGAAGGGUCAAUGCUGUGACUCGGCCCAACCGCCCUUAUGAUCACUACCAUCACAAGAUACCAGUGGGACUGCAAGAGCUGGGCUUCCUUGGAGCUGGCCAGAUCCGGCGGUUUCUUUGGAGCUGGAGAUGGAGAGAGUCAGACAGCGUCGCCGGUUUCCCGCGGACUGGUCACUUCACUGGCGUCUGGCGGAGGCAGCGGGAGGCAAGGCAAAAGAAAAAAGAGAGUGGGGACCGAGGGGAAGAAGCCAGAAGGGAUGUGCGGUGCGGGCAGUGCGGCGAUGGGGAGUGGGUAUUAGGGUUAGAAAAAUUUGGGAAUACAUUUAUUGAUAUGAAUAAUUAUGAUAUAUAGGUAUAUAUUUUUUAAUUACUAAUUAAUUAAAACGGGUCUGAGUUAGAUACGGGUCGAAAUAACAUGUUUCGUAUCCGAUUCGUAAAUUUAUUAGAUAAAAUGGGUUCGAAUCCGAAUCCGAAUCACGGGUCUACAUCUCUAUCCGUACUCGACAAAUGUUGGCAGGGGACGCGGGACUGGAGCAGUUGUCAGAACAACCGCUCAGAAAGGUGUAACACCAUUUGUACAUGGUGUAACAUCAUCUGUACAAGGUGUAACAAUAGAAUAACAGCGAGUAACAAUAGAACAACAUUUCGGUGGUCCCACACGGUGUGAAAAUCGAGUUACAAGACGUGAUAUGAGCCGCACAAAUUUUUGAGAUCUCAUCCAAAUCAUGAACUGCUUGGAUCUGACAACCGUCCAGGCCCCUCGUCCGUUGAGAGGUCGGUCUGGACCGGACCGUUGACAGCCCUACCUCCAAGGACCCCAAAAAAGAAAAAAAAAAAAAUUCUCCUAGACCUCCACGCAUUGCUAGGUCCAAGCGUGCAUGUUUGGAGAGUCAUUUUCUAAAGACUAAGCCCAAUUGUGAAUUUCCCAUCUAACCCAUUUCCCCAUUGUUACACGCGUGCUCCGGAGUUCGUCUAUUCUUUUCCUCCGGCGACCCAUAUAUACCGCCACCUUGCCUUCCUUCCAUGAAUUAUUCCUUUUUCGUCUCUUUGCCGCCAUUCUUGUGUUCAGAGUGAUUGAUUGCGGUAUGUUCUCCGAUUACAGUUAGCAUUUUGAGAAUCUAACUUAGAGCUUAUUCACUUCAAUCUUUGAAAGUUGCACCGCUAAAACCCUAGGUUUGGCACUAGUUAGGAUUCGUUUGACUAUUUGAUGUAUUUCUCUUGGAUAUCCUAAUAAUUCUUAUGACUUUUAUACACUCGAUUAAGUGUGAUUUUCUUGCUCUAAAAGUUUGAGAACUAAACCGAGUUCUAGAUCUUACUAUUCUGCCAGCUGCAUUUUAAAUUGGUUUUGACUUAAUGAGAUGUUUGCUUAAUUUAUGUUGCAUGAGUUUUGUCGAAUUUUGUGCUAUUUAUUAUGUAUUUGAUUAUGUUAUAUUUUUUAUGCUUGUAUAGGCGAAUAGUUCGAAUGCAUUCUCUUUCUUUUGUUAAAAUGAUGUUUCUGCUUAACUGAGUUGUUGCCCUUGAGUUCAAUGAUGUUCAAAGCCUCUGCUUGUCGGAUGCCACUAAUCAGUAACCUACAGAAAAUGUCGGAACGCUUUCCUUUUACAUGGUGACCGUUGUUCUGAAUAUUGAUCCUUUGGAUUUAAAAUUCAUCUACAAUUUUUUGUAUAUUAAUCCUCUCAUUUACGUAGGAGUACUUUUUUCUGAUUUACAUUGUUGCCUUGGGUUUUAACGCAGACCAAUUUGUUGAAACUUGUGAUUUGAUAACGUUCUGAAUUAAUCCUACCAACAUAAACAAUGCAUCCCCCAAGGCAAAGGCAACCCAGAUUUCCCACGCCUGUCGUAGUACUAUUAUUAUGAAAAACUUUUAGUAGUGAUUUGUUUUAUUUGAUUUAUAUGGGCAAGGUCGUCAACACACAGGCAAAAUACCCUGCAUGGUCUUCCUCUUCCUCAUCCGAGGGAGGUACAGUAUUUUUAAGUAUUUUUGUUUCUAUUUCCCUCUUAUCAUUUUUUCCCAUAUACACUGCUUUGGGAUUGCCGAUUAGUUUAUCCAAUCCUGGUCUAGUUUCAAUCUAGUUAUUAUUAUUCUAUUCGGGUUUCAUGUAUUGAGUCAAGUCUAAAUUUAACGGUUCAAAAGUUCUGAUUAGGUUUAAGGGUUUGUUUCUAGGUUGUUGAAAUAGAGGGCGAAAGGAAAAUUUAAGGGUAUUAUGCCUCGUUACCGUGGCGAGACUCCUGGUGUUCGAGUUUAUACAGUUUGCGAUGAAUCUAAGUACCUCGUUGUCAAGAAUGUUCCAGCAUUGGGUUGUGGUGAUGAAUUGUUGAGACUUUUCUCAACAUAUGGGCAGAUUGAAGAAUGCAAACCAAUGGAUGCUGAAGAUUGUGAGCCCUUUACCGAUGUUUACUGGAUUAAGUUUCAUCAGGUUGACAAUGCUAGGUUUGCUAAAAGGAAGUUGGAUGAGUUUGUUUUUCUGGGGAACAGGCUGCAGAUUUCAUAUGCACCUCAUUUCGAGAGCUUGUCCGAUACCAAGGAGAAAUUAGAAGGGAGGAGAAACGAAGUUCCUGCACGGUUGAAACCUAGGAGCUCCAAUGCCUCUGCAGCGUAUGGUCAUGGGCCAUCAGCUAGAGACCAGUCAUUGGGGUUGCAACAACGGGAAUUUGGAGACUCUCAUUACACUGCUAGAAGUGGAGGUUCUGCUUCCGUGACUCAUGUUUCUUCUGACAAGGAGUAUUUCCCAUUGGAAUCUAUGAAUCAAACAGUUCGCCUGGUUAGAGAGAAACUUAAUGAGAUACAAUCAAGCGCUGACAAUUCAGAAGUUCAGUCGUCUAAAAGACCACGUGUUGACAAUAGGCGGAGAAUCUAAUGUUCUUGAAAGAGUUCUGUCCUAUGUCCGAGCUCAGGUGAUAUCAUGAUGUGGGACAAAUUUGUUUAAUAUUUACUUCUUUGGUAGGAUCCUCGUGACUGCUGUAGAGAUGUGAAAUUGCAUUUGGAGGUCAACAAAUGUAGAUCUGCUGGUCCUCUUUAGGAAAAGGACAAAGGGCUGCAACAAUUCUAAGUUGCUAAGGGCUUCGACCUUUUUCUCCUGUUUAAGUUGAAAUCUUUUAAAUCAUUGGAAAUCUCUCCAUUACCAUUGAUGUUUUGUUAUGUUGGUGGACAUGGGUGAGGAUGGGGAAGGGGCCACUCAUAUACGUGCAAAGUCCUUUAUAAUCAUAAGAAGUCCCUCGACUGGGAGUGUGGGGGAACUUUGCUGCUUACUUCUUUUUGUACUUUGUAAAAUAUAUUGAGAGGUCAGGAUAAGAGAUCUCCGAAAGUCUGGCAAAACAAACUUUCUGAGUUGCAAAACAAAUUUGUUAACUGUGGAUGGUAUCGAGGAAAAAGUAAUAGUACAUGCGUAGAAUGGGACUUCACAAGCAGGAGAAAGGUGAUGGCGCUUCAACAGGAAGCCCUGCAUAUGUUUCACAGAAAGAGAAGCCCUGCAUAUGUUUCAAAGAAAGAGAAGCCAAAAAACCUUAAGGUCUGUUAAUAAUGAUUGUUCCCUUGUUUUCUGAUUAAUUUUAAGCUUCUGAAAUUAGCUGAGCGAGGUGAAUUGGCAUGCUUUACUACAAUGCAGGAGAAGUGCACAAGGAAGAAUGCAUAGAAGGUCCUAACUGCCAAGACACAAACCAAGAAGGCAACAUGUUCCUUCCUUUUCUGGCAGUCAACCAAAAUGAACUGGAAUAAGGAGAUUUUGUUGGAAGAAUUGCCUGAAAUCAACAACUGAACUCUUGAUGUGCUCAUCGGACCCGGUUACAUGGAAGGUUAUGCUUAGCAGAAGGAAAAGUUGGAAUGAUUAAAGCUGCAAAAGCAAUCAGGCAUGUGACAAGGAAUCGAUGGAACACGAGCUCUGGUGGUAGACAAUCCCAGGGGAUUUUGCCGUUUGUCUGCAAUUUGUUCUGUUGGCCAUGUGGGCUGCUAACGAACCAAAAGUUCCGCUAGUCUUAAUUGCUACCAACCAAAGCUCGAUAUCAAUACAGUUUACUUUUGCGUUCGAAUACAUAAAUUUGGCAUUGCUCGUAAUCGAGCUUAAUGCUGAUGUUACAUUUCUGUACACAAUCAUUUGGUUAGACAGUUUGAGCACAACUUCAAGGAGUCCUUAAAGUUCUACAGUGGCUUUUUCUUCAUAAAAUUUUUUUGCCAGUUAUUAAGAAUAUCAGAAACAAAAAAUGAAAGAAGUUGAAUUGUGAGCUUUGCAGUGCGAAUUGCCAGCCUUUUUUUUUCAAAUUAUUAUAAAUUAAAGCAUAGAAGCGUUAAAAUUGGGAACUAGAGAAUCAGCAGCAGGCCCAGGAUUCUUCACUAGCUAUAUAUAUACAUGGCAAAUUCCUAUAGGGCUGCCCAAGGCCCACAAAACCAGGUUAAUGAAAAAGGUAUAGGUUGGUGUUCUGUGACUUUACUGUCGGCGAUUCCAAAAGAUGAGGUAGAGGUACGUUUCGCAGUUACUAAUAGUCGCGCGACAUGCGCCGUCGAUGUCAAUGCCUCCCCUCCUAAAUGUGCCGCCAAUGUCAACGCCUUCUACAAUCUUCUCGUAACAGAUGGAUGCCAACUCCCAACUGCAUAUACCAAAUUAGGACUACUAAACUUCAAUCGUUCGUUCAUGCUCUACUUGUAACGACUCACCAAGCAGAUCUAAAAAGAGAUCGAAAUAAGGAAGCUAGGUAGGCUAUUAGUUAUUCUACUUCUAGCCGAAGGCAACAAAAGCAAGCCUUUCCAAAAUCGCCGGCCACUCAGAGCUUGAACCGGAAAGAUGGGCCGACGGUCCUCCGACGGAGCGCCAGAAGAAGGGAGUAUUCCUUUGCUCGUAUCAGGUAAAACUGCUUGCUGACUUUCGAUUCUUAUUUAUUUAUUUAUUAUAUAGCUGUCAAUUCCUCUCUUUUUCAUACAUCAUGAAACAAAAUUUAGGAGGGGCAAGAAAUGAUGCUAAGAAAUAAGAUGCACCCACACCUAGAGCUAGAAGCCUAAAAGCCUAAAACCGUAAAGCCCCAAAUCCCAAUCCAUUCAUCAUAGUGGGAAGUGGGAACAAACCAUGCGUUGGGGCCUGCGGUUCUGCCUCUGGUCUUCGCUCUUUCACCUCAUCAUCAUGUUUUUGGACGUCACUUGAAAUUUGUUUGUUACUUGCUUGUGGGAAAUCGACAAUAAGAGGUGCCGUGGCCGCAAUGAUCGUCUCCGUCUCAUGGAGGUUGAGUUUGUGUUUGCCGGGUUGCCAUCGUGAAUUUGGACAAAAAACCAAGAACGCAAGGCUUUUGCUUCUCCGCUUCCCCCUUUGCCUUCCUUUUCCGCGUAUUAUUCCUUGUCGUCGUCAGAUCAGACGGACCCAUCAUCACAGUACUAAUAUUAUUGUACACCACUCAUUUUAUUUUUGGUUGGAUUCGGCAGAAACUGUAGAAUAUAUAAUCCAGGAAAAAGAUGCUAAUUACAGCUUCACUCUCUAUUAAUUUGGCAUGGGCAUGGGAAGAGUCCUUGGGGCGAGUGAGGAGUACUGCAUGGGGGAUUCUUUACUUUGAUUACUGGUAGUAUUUGCUUGCUAAGCCACCACCCACCAUAAAACAACUCUCUCCAGCUCCUACGAGCUACAAAUUCCCCCCGGAAAACUGAGAGAUUCUCUUUCUCAUUUUCAGCAACUCAAACCAUUCUAAGUUAGGGCGUAAAUUGAGUUAAACCAUACAAGCCUUAAUAAUUGAAAGUCUUCCAUUUUGUCUCUUCUCUCACAAAAUUAGAACAACGUUAGCAUAGUGACAAUUGAAGACUACCUAAAAAAUGAUGAUGAUACUAAUAAUAAUAAUAGCAGCGCAACACUGCCUAAUCCGUCUCUUACUAUUAUUCUAUCUAUUUAUUCCUAAUAUUUCAAGUGUUGUAGUUUCAAUAGAUAUAUGGUAACUUUCAAUUUUCAAAUAUUAUAUUGUAGUGCUCCUAGAAUUAAAAGGGUUUGUUUUCCGCCCAUGCAAUUGCUUGUGCGCGACAACUAAGAUGGCUUGGUUUCCCACCCAUUGGCUUACGGCUUCGUCAGGCUUCUCACAUCAUGCCACUAUAAUAGAGGUCAACCAUUUCAUUGUAGAGUCGUCGUUCUCAUUGAUGACAACAGUGAAAAUUUCCCUUUCGGCAAUUCCGUCAUCCCAGCUGCCUCGUUCUAAUCUCAUCCCCUCCUAUAUUGCUAUACUCUGAUUAAAAAUAAAAAAUAAAAAGGACAUAUUCUAUAUAUAAACUACUAGUAAUUAAAGCAGGAUGUAGAUGCAUACUAUAUUCGUAUUCCCAUUCCCACUGGUGGGCUUCUUUUCUAUUUUGUUUUUUCCUGAGACUCAGACAGCGACGAGCCACCCCAUAUCCUUCCUGCCUUUCCUUCGACCGCGAUCAAUCAGCCCCGUAUCCUCCUUCUUAUAUAUUCUUCUCCUCUGACGACCCAGUGACAUGCACGAUCAACUGAUAUAAAUUUAAAACCGGCAUACAUAUAUUUGCACGUACUGAUACGUUCUGUAAUACAUGGCGCCAGAAAAUCCACGGGAUGAUCAAUCUAUACCGGAGAAAAAUCGGGAGCACGACGCCGGCGCAGUUUUUGUUUUGGAGUCCAAAGGUAAGAAGGAUUUUGUGUGAAGAUCAAAUGCAAGAUUAGUCUGUACUAACUAGUUCUAGCAUUCUUCUAUUAAUCAGAGGAUUCUCCCUUUUUCCGGUCUGGCCAGGGGAGUGGUGGCAUGCGGGAUUUCAUCUGACGACAGCGAUAGUGGGCCCCACAAUACUGACGCUGCCGUACGCAUUCCGAGGUCUUGGAUGGGGUCUGGGCUUUUUCUGCUUAACGGUGAUGGGGGCGGUUACGUUCUACUCUUACUAUCUCAUGUCCUUGGUGCUUGAUCACUGUGAGAAGUCUGGACGUCGCCACAUCAGAUUCCGCGAACUCGCUGCUGACGUCUUGGGUACCUCAUCUUUUGCGCAUUAGCUCAUCUCUCUCUCUCUCUCACACACACACACUCGCACGCACCAGUACUCUGUUUCUGAUGUGAAGUUUUUAAAUGCCUUGCCUCAGUUCUCGACCUGUGGAGUCCUUUUUGAGAAGAAAUGUGCAGCUAUACUGGGACCUGUUGAUGGCCUUUUUCUGGGUGCAAUUUGUUAUUUAAGUGAAUGAGCUUUCCUUUCUAGUUUUGGAUUAGUAGGAAGGUUAUGGAAUUUACUUUUAACCUGACAUAUCUGGUGAUAAUCGUAGUGUUCAUGGUUUGUUGAGAUACCAUGGAGUAGAUUUUUGAAAGGGUCUUAUGGGGAUAACAACUAAUUACUCUGAGCAAUAACGCCUUGUGCAGCGUCCUAUGAAUGCCUCUUGGAGAAACUUAGGCUGCGCCAUUAUAUUGUUGGAGCAUCAAUACAUGUUAUGUUUCAGUCGCUAAUUGGAGCCGUGUCUUUUACAUUUCAAACAAUUUUGCUUUCACGUUCUGCAUUUUUGGCAUUCUGACAUUGAUGAGAGCAUUUGGCUGUCAACAAAUUAAAGUUUGCUAAUUCUUUUGCUGCUUGCUCCUGCUUAUUGGGAAGAAGUGUAUCGGUAAUUCUUGACUAAAGGCCUUGCGUUUCACUCUGUAGGAUCGGGAUGGAUGUUUUAUUUUGUAAUAUUCAUUCAGACAGCCAUCAACACAGGCAUUAGCAUAGGAGCAAUUCUGCUUGCUGGGGAAUGCCUACAGGUAUAGCAACAUAGGUAUCCACUUGCUUCUUGUAGCGUGCAGACAGAUUAAACAUAUGGUAUUGGAAGCUUUAGAGGACUUCUUAAUGCGCUCUGGCUAUCUUUAUUAUCAUAAUUGGCAGUUCAAUUUGAUCUAUAAUCUGUCAUUGCUGCCUCUGUAUUUGGGGGUUGUGCAAGUAAGCUUCAUGUGCCGGACAAGGGGUCUGUUGAUUUUGGUUUGAGACCUUUAAUUGCAAAAACAGGGAAUAGAAAUCUGUUAACAGAACUCAGAAUUAGGUAAUACGAAAUGGCUGAAAAAAAAGGGCUUUUUGUGAUCGAUACCUUGCUGAUGGCAACUUUAGGUGCUAACUUAGAAAAGCUUAAAUUUAUUAAUGAACAGAAAUUUGUUGAUAAAACUUAAAGAAGGUUUCAAUUUGUGAAAAUUCAACUCAUUAGUGUCUGCAUGUCCUGCAUAUCUCUUGUAGUUCAAAACCAUGUUGGAAAUCAAAAUUGAGUGAUUAUGCUCUUCCAUGGCACAAUGUGUCUUCUAGGCACAGACGUGAAAACAUCAUGAAGUUCAUAACUGGGAUAAAGACAUGUUGGAACAUAAUUACUUUCUGGUAUGAAGAUUGCUCAAUCUGCUCUGAAUAUGGUUUCUUUGCUCUGCAUAAGUAUCGAUACCUAUUUUAUCACUAUGCAUAGAUUUAUUAACAAGCCAGUAAUUCUUUUAAACUGUCUUCUCUUGAACUGACACCUGCUGUUGUUCUUGUUACAAGAUCAUGUACUCAAACCUUUCUCCAAAUGGGUCACUGAAGUUGUAUGACUUUAUAGCAAUGGUGACUGUAGUGAUGAUACUCCUCUCCCAGUUUCCAACCUUCCACUCCCUCAGGCAUGUUAAUCUUGGUUCGCUGCUUCUGAGUCUGGGCUACACUUUGCUUGUAGUCGGUGCUUGUAUACAUGCAGGUAGAUCCUUCUUUUAAUCUCUACUUGUGCUGAUUGAUUAUACAUAUAUUUUGCAGCUGACACAACAAAGUAAUUGACUAAAUAGUGAAAGCAGUACUUGGUGUUUUGAGAAAGAUGCCUGUGAUAUGAAUGACUGUUGCACUUUGAAGAGUGUUGUAGCACACAUAACAUUCAUCCUCUUUUUUCACCUAAUCCUGAGUGAAGUAAAAUUUCAGGAGCAGUAAAACAUAUGUGAAAUCCAUUACCACAAACAUAUGAAUCCAUUACCACAAUUGAAGCUAUACUUUGGACCUUAAUCUGGAUUGAACCCAUGUUUUUGCAACGUACACCAAAUGAUUUGCAAAGAGGCUUAUACUCUCUUAAAUUAUGUCUUUGGAUUCCUGAAAAUGAUAUGCAUGUUGCUGCCAGCUGCAAAAUCAGAAAAAUUAGAAGUUAAACAAUACAUAUGAUCCUGGUGUGAUCUAAUUUGUUUCAGUAUUAUGCAGGAACAUCCAAGAAUGCACCUCCUAAGGACUAUUCUUUAGAAGGCUCAACAUUGUCUAGGAGUUUAAAUGCUUUCACUUCAAUAUCUAUCAUAGCUGCUAUUUAUGGAAAUGGGAUACUACCCGAAAUUCAAGUAAGUUUUCCUGUUUAAGCCAUGGUUCUAGGGUAUCAAUCCAUUUGUGCUUUUGGGCCAACAAACUCAUUUCUUUCACUAUUAGUAAAUGUCAUGGGGAACUGUUAAAUGAGGCAUUUCAUGUUGCAGUUGGAUACAGUUAUGGAGACCUCCUAAAUGGGUAUAUAAGCUGUCGUCUGCAUCCAUUUACUUCAAUGAAACAGGCUUAAGAAUUCUGAUCCCAUUAGUAUCUAGCUGCAAAAAAAUUACAAUCAGUGGUUGGUCACAUACGUGUUAAGAUCCAUUUAGUAGAAAGUAGUCGCCUGUUGAGAUUCAGUUUUUUGAAACAAUCAAUGCAGGCUACUCUAGCUCCACCAGCCACUGGGAAGAUGUUUAAAGGUCUUGCAAUGUGCUAUGCUGUAAUCUUUGUGACUUUCUACUCUGCUGCUGUUUCGGGAUACUGGGCAUUUGGGAAUAAAUCGAACUCAAACAUUCUCAAGAGCUUGCUGCCAGAUGAGGGACCUUCCUUGGCUCCACAUGGGUAUUAGGUCUUUCAGUUGUCUUCAUUCUCCUUCAACUAUUUGCCAUUGGCCUGGUAAGCUCAUCAUGCAUUUUUACAGCAAAAUCCUGAUUACUUGUUGUAAUUCAUUUAGAACUGCGCUAGGUGUUCCAUUUGAUUAAAUGCUUGCAUCUUUGCCAAGUAUAUCACCAUCUGCUUUAACUUCUCUGAUAUAUGUAUAUAUAUGACAGGUCUAUUCUCAAGUAGCUUACGAGAUCAUGGAGAAGAAAUCAGCUGAUGUAAAGAAAGGAAUUUUCUCCAAAAGAAAUCUAAUCCCAAGGAUAAUUCUUCGGACACUCUACAUGCUAUUUUGUGGGUUCUUUGCAGCCAUGUUACCAUUCUUUGGGGACAUCAAUGGUGUUGUGGGAGCCAUUGGAUUCAUCCCGCUAGAUUUCAUACUGCCGAUGCUUCUUUACAAUAUGACACACAAACCCUCAAAAGCAUCCCUCAGUUUUUGGAUCAACAACUCCAUCAUCAUCAUCUUCACAGGUGUAGGACUUUUGGGCUCAUUUGCUUCAAUUAGGAAAUUAGUUAUAGAUGCUAAAACGUUCAAACUCUUCAGCAGUGAUGUAGUUGAUUAACUCCUCCUAUAUGCUACGGGAGUAAUUUUAAAAAGUUAUAGAACUGAAAGAGACACUUCACAAUACGAAUCAUAAUCUGCUACUCCUUCAUGUUAUUGUUUCACUAACGGCGGAAGAUAUAGGGAAACUGCGAGUUUAGUUUACAGCAAUCAUGCAGAAAUUAUGGUCAAAUGAAUCAUGAAUCCUUUCUGUGGUGUUUCAAUUACUUUUCCCUCAAACCAGAUCAUUCACCAGGUGUACAUGGAAUUUUAGGAAUCGACCAUGACCUUGUGUAGGGUCCAGCCUCUUUUUGUCUCUUCCCUUAUAAAGUAUGUUGUGCAAGCUCCAAAUUCUGUGCUGUGAUAUUUUCUUAAUGAAUCUAGCAUUAUGUAGUAAGCGAGUUAACAGGAGGGAGGAGAAUCAUAAACAACUGCUAAUGCUAGGAAAGCAGCUUAUGAUCCCCGCCAACUCCCCCACUUCCACCUUUCCCAACCCACAAAACAAAGCCUUACUCGAGCGUCUAUGCCAGAGUUUAUGUUAAUUGUUAAUUUACUGAAAAGAGAGUAGAAUAACCCCAUUGGUAAUCAGGGUGAAAUUGUUACUUCGGCAUUACCAGUAUUCUUGAUUAUAAAGAAUUCGUGGCAGGACGGCAAAUUUCUAAACAAAAACUAGUAAUAAGAGUUAUAAAGAGGCAUGAAACUACAAAGAAAAACCCACAAUUGAUCUUAGGUCGCUGCUAGGGUAGAGAUAUCUAUUCAAUCUUUAUUGAAAAAAUCUUCCAUUUGUCAUUAUCCAAAGAGAAAUAAAGCAAUCAAGGUGGUGGCGUGCAACAAAUCAGCAUUUGCCAGCAGGCCCCAAUACUUCAGCCUCAACUACCGAUAUAUACCAUAGAUAGGUUUCAGUCCAUCCAGAAAAAGACUUCUAUGGCAACCAAAUUACACGUUCGUGCUCGUCACGAGUUUUGUUCAUUUGGGUCAAACUCAAAGCAGCUGAGCCAUGAAUAGAUAAAGAUUAAUAAAGCAAAUCUCGAGGAAAGCAUGCAUUCAUUGCUGUCCCCCUUAUUUUGUGGGUCUUGCUCAUACUAAUGGCAACAAGAAUCCAGGUCAUUGUGCUCAGCAUCGUGCAAUUUUACAGAUUGAGCAGUAUUCUUUAUGAAUUUGAUGACGUGAAGUCUUUUAGAAACCUGAUCGCCCGAUUUCUUAGACUAAACAUAAACUUGGACCCUUCGCAGGGAAGAUUAUCUUUUAAUCAUUAUGGUCAAUCAGUGUUAAUUAUUGUCUUAUAGAAUAAAGAUUUGUGCCCAUAGCAUUAAAUGCCUAGUCUUCCUUCUCAAAGAACACUAAUUAAGUCUAAACAAAUGUUUCCAGAUGAAUUUUAUUUGGUUAAAUGCUUUUUAAGCGUCAUCGACCUAUAGAAAUAUGCAAGUGCGCAUUUAUUUUACAAGAAUCAAGAGUACAUGGAAAAAUUAGCUGACUAUAUUGAAACUCUAUACAUGGAGAAAUUCGCAUCGAGCUAUGGAACUCGUUUCAGGGUGACGCGACUCUCUUAAUGUUAUUUUCUCCUCCAUCACUGUUAAAGAAAUUCGAACUCAAGACCUUAUUUAGGAAAGAAGUACCAAGGUACUCACCACCCUGUCCGACAACCAUCGAUGUAACUGCGUAAACUUGCGAUCAUAGAUAGGGCGAUCAUAGAUAAGUCCCUCAGUCCCUCUUCUCUUUUUGUCUUGUCUGCUUGAUUGAUAAACCACCUUUAGUGCGUUUUAUGGUCCUCGAAUUGAGUUGACAAGGCUACAACCAGAGGAGGACAAUCAUUUAGCACUGAGACAACUGUUUUCGUUUUGGCUUUAGCGCCGGCAACUGCUUACGAUAAUUUGUUCUGCAUUUGUCCCCAGCCACUGCAGCCCACCUCUUCCCAGUCACCAAUACACACACACAGAUUAAAACCCAAAAAGAUCCCCAGUGCAGAGUAUUGCAACAAUCCCCAUGCCGUUUUCUUGGCGUUUUAAUGAACUUUACUAUGUAUGGAAUUGGGCUAUUGGAGGAUUGACGUGAAUCUGUGUAGCAGGCGUAAGGUUAACCUUUAGCAUUGUAUUGAUCCUUCAAGGGAGUGUCCAAAUAUAGAAGCUUUAUGUUGCCAUAGGAUUUUAGGUGCUAAGAACUCUAUCCGUCGCUAUUGAAAAAAAAAAAAAAAUCACUAUUCGUCGCAGAAAAUGAUUAGAAGUCCUCAAACAUCCUUUUCUUGUAUGAAUUUUCAUGCAAAAGGUGAAAAUUGUAUAUAUUAUCAGUAUAUUAAUGGUAUUGAAGAAUAUAUUUGUCGUGUUGUUGUGGCAUGGUCUAGUUUUAUUGUUUGAUAAGCACUCCUUACUUAUAACAUCCUUUAUUGAACGUGUACUAUGGUAAAGAGGAUAAUUUUAAAAUCAGCGUGGUCGCCGCACACACAUUAAUAAAAUUUUCCUUUAUCUAAAAUUAUGAAACACUUUUAGACUCUCAGAAUACGAAAUAUAAUACUACAUGGAGGCUUCUAAAUAAUCAUAUGAUUUUUAGGUGAACCUGUGAGUUCUAUAUAAGUGGACAACGGUGUAGAGAGGUAAUAUGACAAUUUCAUGACAGGAUAAUUGUGUGGGUUACAAGUGUUGAUGGUACUAGCAAGCCAGGCAGACAUGGACAGGAGCCGAGUAGGUUAACUGCAGUUGAAGGUGGGGAAUCAGACCAAGAGAAUGUCAAGGCAGAGUUCAGCAGUGAGAUGUCGAGUUUGUUGGACUUUUUCUACAAAAUCAAUUUCUAAAGAUAUCUCCAUAGCAUCAUCUUCAAAUAAUCAAAUGAAGUCUCAUUCUCAGUUUGGACCAUUUUUUAACGCAUACGAAGAAGUCAGAUGAGAAAAACAAGUGCUGCGUACAGGAGCCAAAACCAUAUCCUUCAAGCAGGAAAUAUGGCGUUUUGACAUCAAGAUAUUUUCUUGUUACUCUAUAUUGUUAUGAAUCACCUUCACGUGAUUGUGGGAAGGGAUCGACAUCGACUUCAAUCUCUGCGGUAGCUUUUUCUUCAAGGAAAUCUGAGUACUUGGAGAAGAUUUCUCUUCAUGGACUGGUCUCAUCUGUGUAGUAAAUUCCACAAUAAGCUACUUAAAAACUAAUAGAUCAAUGGCUCUCUCUCUCUCUCUCUCUAAUGUAACGAUCCCUCGUCAAGUGUAUGAUUAUAUGGCCACUAAGGGUAAAAUCUUAAAACUAUGUGUCCAUAAUUUGAAAAAUCAACUGCAUAUGGUAUCCAUAAUUAAGUAUAUAUAGAGAUAAAAGAAAAUCGAAAUAUAAUAAUUGAGUCUUUUUUUUGGUGGGGUGGGGUAAUUAAGGAUUUAUCUUUUCUAAUGACUAAGGGUGCGUUUGAUAAAAUUGAAAUCUAAAAAUUGAAAAUUGAAAUCUGAAUCUAUUAAAUUGAUGAAUUGUUAAGUAUUAAAUUUGAUGUAUUUGAGCAUAUAUCACAUUAAUUUUGCCUUGUUUUGAUUACUAAACACGUAUGAUGAAUAUGUUAAGAUUUGAAUCUAUUAAAUUUAAGUGUUGAAUUGAUUAUCAAACAAUACAAUGCUGGAGUCCAACUUCGAAGGUCUGGACGGUGCGUUAGAAAAAUUGAGUCUCUAGACAAUUGGCGGCUCCGACUAAGGAAAACAUAAUAACAGCGUACGAGAAAAUCCACUCAAGGAAAGCAAUUUACGAGUAGUAUUUUGAGGAAAGUAAUUUGGUGGCGUCAGAAUGCCUUCUUUAUUAAGCACUUGCUCCCCACGCUUGUUAUUAAUUUAUUAUGGUAUCCUGAUCUUGGCACCAACCUUAACCCAAACUAUUAAAAUGCCAUCACCGACAUAUGAAUUCUGGGUAAACCGUCCUUCCGGUUCACUCUUUCUUUCCAAUUGACCCAAUGAUCACCCAAACCGGCGGAAUCCAGUUGUUUUCCCUUUGGCGUAGGCUUGUGGUGAUGUUUUGUUUAUCUAAAUUUAUGCUAAAAAAUGUUUAAAAUUUUGAACGGUAUUGUGUGGCACAAGUUAUGAGGAUCAACACCCCUUUUUGUCCAGUAAGAAAUAGGGCAAUUCGUUAGCAUAACAAAAAAAAAAAAAAAAAAAGCAGCAGAAAACAAUUUGAAUAGGUACUUAUUUGUAAAAAAAUCAAAAAAUUAUUUGCAUGAUCAACACAUUUUUUAACCGUCCUUUUAUUUCACAUAUAUCACAUCAAAAAAUGCUACAGCGUAUAUCUUUUACAUAAAAUUAUCCCAAAUAAUCUACUGUCUAAACACACUUAAUAUUUCUCAAACCAAGAACCGAAGUUCUGUAAGCCAAGAAAGAAAUUAUUAUGCGAUUGCAUGGAUGGAUAAUAACGUGGCAUGGAAGUAAUUUUUGUUAAAUCAAUACUAUUAUUCUGAUUGUUUGCUCGAGUGAUGCAACCGCGGCAGUACAUAGGGAAACAAAAUCAAUUAAUCUUUUUUUUUUGUCGACGGAGUGGGUGUCCGGGUCAAGUCCGUAAAGGCGGCCCGACUAAUCCCACUUCGGUCCGGUCCAGCGCCCCCAACCAGACCUAGCACGUUAGAUGCACGGAGAAGCCGAUGUUGCUGCGGAGGUUCGACCCCAGGACCUGACGGUCCCGAGGAAGAGGCGCCAACCAAAAGCCCAUUCACGUGGGGGCAAACAAAAUCAAUUAAUCACUCUAGCUGCUUCCUAAACUAAUUAUAAUUUAAUUAUCAAAUAAUAAAUCUAAUUCUAGAACUACUAAACUUCUAAAUGUGCUUGGUCCAUUAUGGCCAGCACGCCACAAUUAUAUCUGAAUGAAACUUCAUUAUUGGUGCAUAAAAAAAGAAAAGGGCGAGAAUUUGACUUCAAACAGUUGAGUUUCCUGCUGUUUUGUCCGCAUGUAAACACAUCUAUUCAGACUGCCACAUCAUUACAAAACAAUAAUGACAGUACUCCAGAUGCUUUCUUAUGAGAGGAAUCUUCCUAUUAAUUCUUCCUCGGAGAAGAGAAGAGAAGAGAAGCCUGCACAUUUUGGAUCGUAUUUUAUUAGUACCAAAGAACCAUAACAAUUAAACGUGAUGAUAAAAGAGUUUCUUUUUCCUUCCCCCAGCCUUUAGUUGACCUAACUUACGUUGAUUAAACUGAAAGCGUAAAAGUCUUUAUGGCCAACCAUCCCCUCCUAAUUAAUGCUGGGUUUACACUGCCCGCAAGGCCAGGUAAUGAGAUUUCAGAGUUAGAGAAACGGGGACGUGGCCGCUACCGGUCUACACGAGCUACUUACCACAACAAAGGCGUGAAACUUUGCUUGUUCAUAUGGUAUAGACUCCUUCACUCGUAGCUACCGUGUUUGAACUUUGAAAUCUUAACCCUUCAGCCCGCACAACCAACCAGAAGUCAGAAACUUCCUCCCUUCCCCUCGUUAUCCACUUGAUGAAGAGUCAAGUAGUUGUUUUAAUAGCAGCAGUCAAAAUAGUCUCCACAAGACGCCACACCAAAAUAUAUAGUCAUCCCUGAUCUCUCCAAUCCUUCCAAUCUCCAAACUACUCAAAAGAUGAUGGAAAAACCAGUCGAGCAGCUGAAGAAAGAAAGCCAAACCAAGUUUGCCAAGAACGAAUCUGCAGAGACUCCUACACUCGUGUUAGUCCAGCAGAAAGAAUACCAAUCCGAGGUAAAUGGCAAAAACGAACCACAGGCCACCGCGAGGCCCCUGGAAAACCAAGCUAAGAUUUCUAAAUCGGCAGAACAACCAGCUGAUGCGGCCGCCGAUCCACUUCUUUGGGACUGUGGAAGCUCCCUGUACGACUCUUUCGAGCUCAAGUCGUUUGAACGCCAACUUGACUCGGCCAUCCAUUCAAGAACUCUGUCAAUGCCCCACUUAUCUGAUCGUCGUGUGAUUGAUGGUGGUAAUCACCACCAGCCGCCAUCUCAGCCGCCUCAGCCCAUGUCUAAGAAGUCCUCCAAAAUUUCGCGUUCGUUUCACAAGUUUCUUCGAUCUGUAUUCAAGCCCAAGGCACAAAAUGGUAACAAGAAUCCUUUCUUUCCCGCUAAUGAGCAGCAGGCCACGCGGGAUGGAUUUUACGUGGUCUACGACAUUGACAAGUCGGGGCUCUUUCAACUAUUCCAGAAGUUUCGGAGUUCGAUGGUCUUUCACCCGAGUACAAAUCUUUGGUUACAAGAACUGCAUCCGAUCGAUUUGCCGUUAGUUCCAUGGGUAUUUCUUGUGCUUGAUUAGAUAUAUAGAAACUGCGGCAGUGUGAAUAUUUCCAUAAUCAGUAAAAUUUUAGACGUGCCUACGAACUAAACUGAAAUAAUAUUCCCUAAUGAUUGUAUAACCAGUUGUACAGUGUCAUGCUCCGUAGUGAUUGUAUUUUAUGUAUUUGGGUUUCUACCCUUUUUGUCUUUCUUAUAAUUCUGACAUUUGGCACAUCUUUAAUGCGUAUAAUGAAUAGAUUUUUCUUUCGUUUUAGAGAAAGAGAUGCAAUAGAGCCAAAGUCAAUUUUGGCUGGCUACUACUCCUAGUGACUUGUAGAUUAGGUAUGUAUUUUCCAUGUUUGGCCAAUUUCCAUAUUUGUUUUUUUAAGUUGUUCCAUGAUAAAAAAAUGGACAUAAGAGUGAAAUGAACUUCCAAAGUAACUUUAAUCCGUGAUCUCGUGGCAUUUGAGAACCUUGCCAAGGUAUAUGCAUUUAAUUCUACCUCAUCCAAUCCUUCCAAUCCCCUUCCUUUUUUUCAGCCAUUCUAAAGAGGUGGUGGCCGUGGUUCCUUCCUUUGGGCUUAAUAAUCCUGGCGGACGACGGAUGAUGGCGUUUGCCACCAGCAGCUCUCGGAGAAACUUUAGGGCCGGGAUAAUGAUGUCACAUGCCCAUUUCAUUCCUUGUUAAGGGACUUAUGGCCUCUCCCUUGUACCUCCAAAAAAGGAGUAAAGGCUCAUAAUUGAUCCCUUGUCUGUAUCAUGUAUGUAUUAUCCUUACCUUCCCCAAUUAAUGAGGUUGUUGCAGGUUGGUAGUCCUUUUGUUUUUGAAUGAGGUUGGACCGCUCAAAAUCGUAAUCAUCAAACAGCGUUUUAAUAUGUAGCGUAGUAAAUAACCAAACCAGUAAACAGGACAGCUCUCAGAGAUCUGCUCAAAAGGGACGGAUAACUCUCGAACGUCGGGUUGUCGGUUGAAUUAGCAUCGCUUUCACGGAAAUUAUAUGUUAGAGUACAAUUUUAUGGGAAUUUAAAUUGAUGGUAAAAAAAAAAUCAACUCUUAUAAAAUGGAGUAGAUUUAUAGUAACAACAACUUACAUUGAAUAAGGGUAUUUUAGAAAAAUUAAAAUACAACUACAUUCUUCAAUUGAGAAGUGAACUAUAGGCCCUGUUUGGAAGCUAGUUUUUUGGGCAAGUUUUUUACCUACAAGUUUUUUAACAACUUUUGCUACAGGAACCCAAAAACUUCUCAAAAUUUUUUACCUACACACUUCAAAAUACACAAAACACACACAAAUUCCUCCACCAUCCCAACCCAAUACACAAAACACACAUAAAAAAAUACCCCUCCCUUUGGCUUUCUUCUUCCUCUACCAUCCCAACCCAGUCCACCACCUCCGUCACCGACCACACACCACCUCCGGCGCCAUUUUCUUUUUUUUUUUUUUUGCCUUUCUCCCUCUCCCUGCCAUCCUCCUCCUUUACCCAAUUUGACUGCAUUCCUCUUUUUUUUUUUUUUGUGUGUCCCCCGCAACCCUCCCCCUCCAGCGACCAGAUCUGGUCCCAUGACCAGAUCGCAAAAGUGGAGGGGAGGGGAUGCGAUCUGUUCGCACAAGGGCGACGAGGCUGCUGAGGGUGACGGAGAUAGAUGAGGGGAGGAGAAAAAGGAGGUGGCAGGCAGCGGGGGUUGGCGGGCAGAGGGAGAAGAGGGGCGGCGGCGAAGAGGGAGGAGAAGAGGUGACGGGCGGAGGAGACGGGAGAGGAAAAGGGGUGGCGGGUGGCGGGGAGAGGGGAGGAAUAUGGGUGGCGGGUGGCAAGGAGAGUGGAGGAAAAAGGGUGGAGAGCAGAGGGGGGUGGCGGGGGAGGGAGAAGAGGAGUGGCAGAGGAAAGAAGGGGAAGGGGAAAGGGAGGGAGGGGGAAGGGGAGAGGGAGGGUGACGGCAGAGGGAGGGGAGGGGAGGGGUAGGGGUGCUGCGUUGCUGCGGGGGGGGAGGGGGCUGGUAACGGGGAAGGGGGAAGGGAAGGAAGAAGAAGAAAAGAAGAAAAGAAAAGAAAAAGAAAGAAAGAAAGAAAAAGAAAGAGAAAGAGAAAAAGAAAGAAAAAAAGAAAAAAAAAAGUUUUUCCUCUUAAAAACUUCUACAAAAAAAUUUUUCACCUUACAAAAAAUUUUACACAAAUUUUUUCAAAAACUUCUACAGUGUACUACAGUAAAGUUUUAGACAAACUCCCAAAAAACUCAGGUUCCAAACAGGCCCAUAAUUUGGAACAGAUAAAAAAAAAAAAACAGGACUAUCAAAGUAGGACGGAGAAAGUAUAUUUUUUCAUACAUCAAAAGAAUUGUGCACAACAAAAUUAGACGAGUAUAAGCUAAAUCGUGUAUUAAAUACAGUAUAACAAACACACAAUUUCCCGUAAUGAUUAGUGUGACAACCAUGACAAUUGCACAUAUCGUCAAACAGAUAUUAAUUACAAGCGAAGGAAAAGAGCUAAUAUGAGUCACAUGAACCAGAGAAAGAAAAGCCAGUGCCAAAGCAAAUCAAAAGAGUGCACUACUAUCGCCAUUAUGCUUCCCAAAUUACAUCAGGCGACUGAGAGUUUUGUGGCUGUAGUAGAACUCCAGCCUGGUUAGGAAUUAGGAGGAGUCCCUUCCUUCGAAAUUUCAGGGUCCAUAGGGCUUAGAUUAAAAACUUUUAUUAUAAAUGUUUUUGCAAAUAUUUUUAAAAUUUAAAACUUUGUUAAGGCCUAUUCAAAAAUAUUUUUAUCUUCCCUGACACAAGGGUUCACCAACCUCUCUCCACCUUCUCUUCUCUAGCCACCACCAGGCCUGUUUCCUCUCUCUUCUCACUCUUAACUGUUCUUUUUCUUCUUCCCUCUCAUUUUUCGUCCCGUCCUUUCUCGUGCAUCUAUUCACCUUCUAGUUGUAGGGAGAGAGAGGAGAAAAAGAAAGAAUAGGGAAAGGGAGGGGUGGUGGUGGAAAAUGAGAAGAAGAGAUAGAAGAGAGAAGAGGAGGUUGGGCGGUGGUGAAGGAAGAGGAGAGGUUGCCAAGGUGUGGGUGAUGGUGGCAAAAGGUUGGAACUGGGUGGCUGGAAGUAGGGGUAGUGGUAAAGAAAGAAAGGUGUGUUGAGUUAUAUUUGAAAAUUUUUAAGUUAUUUCUUUUCUUGGAAUAUUUUUGGGCUGCUGUUAUUAUAGACUUUGUAUGUAUAUAAUUUUUUGAUCGAUCAUCACAAACUACACCUACGCCUUGCCUGCAAUGGGAUAGAUACUAAACCAUUACCAGGCCAAAUAAAUGCAGUAAGGGCCUGAUCUAAGUGUCUUGUGGUAGUCAAGUCGCCACAAAGACACCUAUAUUUAUGGGAGUCAAAGUUUGAAUUCUUUGUUUUUUUUUCAAAAAAAAAACACUUAAGUUUCUUUUUCAAAAAAAAACACUUAAGUCCCUUGUGAUGGCUAAGUUGUCUAGGACAAUUGAGCACCCACAAAUACACUAAAGCACCCGCUGCAGAUUUUGUAUUUGAAAUAUAAUUUUUUCCAAGAAAUUAGAACCCAUACAUAGCCUCAAUUUUUGGUUCGCUCAAUUCCAAACACCCAAACGUGAACUAAUACCUUUUUUUUGUUUUUUUUUAGGGCAACUUGAACUUAAAAGCGCACGGACAUGUCCUAUCGCGCAGGAGCAUGUUAAUACCAAAAUGCCCCACCCAUCAGCCAUCUUCAGGACAUAGUUAGGAUCCUACCCCAAUUAAGAGAUACAGAAGACAGCCCAAUGCAGCCGUUUUGUGGGCAACACAUUUGAGUGAAUUGUAAACCCCUAAAAAUGAUUCAGGCCUAUGGCCUACUUAUCAGAAACCCAUUUAAGUGGUGUUUGUUCUGUCGUCAAUUUUAGUAUCAUUUGCAGAUUCAUUUUGCAAUGGAUAAGACAACGAUGGCAUACCAGAAAGAGUGGGAAAUAAAAGGAUUUUGACCUCCAACCUUCAUACAAACACUAACAAGUUAACAACAUACUAUAAAUAACACACACACUAUUUAAGGAAAACUCACAAUCCAAUCCAAAAGGCAUGCUGACUUUCAGGCUACACUGAGGAUUUUAAGUAGUACACACACCACUCACAAUCGAUGUGGAAUAGAGGGAAAGGGGGAGGGGAAACACCAAGACUAUUGUCAAAGGCUCACCAACGGCUUUUAACCAUUCCAUGAUUUUCCUUAUCCACCAACAACCAUAAAUAGUACACACACACACUACCUAAGGGAAACCCACGGCUCAACCUAAAAGAUAUGCUGACUUUCACUAACAAGUUAACAACCGAAGUGACGGAUAGACGAACAGAUAAAAUUCAUACAGUUUCAUCAAUGAAAUGAUUAGUUAAAUCAAAGCAUUAUUUUUUUUCAAUACCAGACCAGGCUAAAAUUUGAAGGAAACGAAUACGAAAUAUAUAAAUAUGCAAAAUCAUUUGCAUUUAAAAUGCACCUACUUUUUUAUAUAUAAAGGCUUUAUUGUAUUCAAAAAUUUAGCCUUCAUUUCUUUUGAAAAGAAUGAUUAUUUGAAAAAAAUAUUAGUUUGAAUAAUUCAUGUAACCGUUGUUGUGAUGUAAUGUUUGUAAAAUAAAAAAUAAUUAAAAAUGUAUAAAGAUAGAAAAAAUGUGUUUAUAAUGCAAAUAAAAUAAUAUUUAGAAAAAUCUAUGCAUCAAACACACUUUGCAGUAGAAAUGUUCAAUUGAAAAUGAUACACAUAGAUGUAUUACAGAAGUUAGGACGUGGGUAGAGACAUUUGAGUACGAAAUUUCCGGUCUUUGCACCAUCACCAAAUAUAUAUAUAUAUAUAUAUAUAUAUAUAUAUAUAUAAGUAGGCUCAAUUGAAAAAAAUAAACCAUUUAUUCAUAAAAAGGUUGAUGUGAGGGUCAUGUUAAUGUAUGUUUGAAUUUCGCUGCUAAUGUAAAUAUUGUAUCGGUAAUGAUUUGCAAGAAGCUCUAUAAAUGAUCUAUGAUUUAGGAGGCGUUUCUUGAUCUACAGCGGUGAUUGAAACGAAUCAAACCACACUUUCUUCUUCUUAAAAAAGAAAAAUAUCCUGUCUCAAGGACCAAUAAAUAGAGAACAAGAAUUGAGAAUUUUGGCUAUAAGCAUCAGGGCCUAAGCAAUAACAAUCAUCUUCCAUCAACAGCCGAUUCCACCAUGGAAACCAUACAAUCUCACAUAGCCUUUUUACCAUCUCCAGGAAUGGGUCAUCUCAUUCCUCUCACUGAAUUCGCCAAACGACUUGUUCUUCACCAUAACUUCUUAGUCACUCUUAUACUUCCCUCAGACGGUUCACCCAUGAGCGCCCAAAAAUCCUAUCUUCAAUCACUACCCGCAACCAUAACUCCCAUCUACCUUCCUUCGGUUAGUUUCGACGACCUCCCUGAGGAUACCAGGGUCGAAACCCGUAUCGCCCUCACCAUUUCUCGAUCUCUUCCCGCAAUUCACGAUGCAUUAUUUCAGUUGCUAAUAACCAAGCCAUGCUCACGUCCUAUCUCAGCUCUAGUGGUUGAUCUUUUUGGUUCAAAUGCUUUCCGAUUGGCUAGGGAUUUAAACAUGUCAUCCUACAUGUUUUUCACAUCGACUGCAAUGUCCUUUUCCUUACUCGUACAUUUGCCAAAGCUUGAUCAAACCUAUACAUGUGAGUAUAGGGACUUGACCGAAGCAGUGGUGUUACCCGGAUGUGUUCCACUGCUCGGGAAAGACUUUCUUGAUGCUAUUCAGGAGAGGAAGAAUGAUGCUUAUAAUCUUCUUCUCGAAUUAUGCAAGGAAUAUGGUUCCGCCGAUGGGAUACUGAUUAACAGUUUUGUGGAGUUGGAAUUCGGUGCUCUCAAGGCUUUGAAAGAAGAGGGAUGGUUUAAACCACCGAUUUAUCCAGUUGGACCGUUGAUUCAGACAAGAUCAAUAAACGAGGUUGUUCCGGAAUCAUCAGGUUGUUUGGAAUGGUUAAAUAACCAGCCAACAAAGUCGGUUUUAUUCGUUUGUUUGGGCAGCGGAGGAACUCUGUCCCAGGAGCAAAUAAAUGAAAUGGCUUUCGGUCUGGAAAUGAGUGAACAAAGAUUUCUCUGGAUUGUUCGAAGCCCGCAUCAAACCGCUGCAAAUGCUGCGUUCUUUACCAACAAAAGCGUGAAUAAUCCUUUGAAUUUUGUUCCAAAAGGGUUUUUGAAGAGAACAAAAGAAAAGGGGUUAGUGGUUCCCUCAUGGGCUCCUCAAAUUCAAGUCCUGAGCCAUGGUUCAACCGGAGGGUUCGUGAGUCAUUGCGGUUGGAACUCGUUUUGGAGAGCAUUGUCCAUGGAGUGCCUUUGAUUGCAUGGCCACUUUAUGCGGAGCAAAAGAUGAAUGCUGUUGUGUUGACUGAAGAUUUGAAGGCUGCCUUAAAGGUCAAGGCGGAUAAAAUCGGACUUGUGGGGAGAGAACAAAUUGCAAAACUCGCAAAAGAUCUAAUUCAAGGAGAUGAAGGAAAGGAUGUUCGAGAUAAGAUGAAACAACUCAAGGAUGCUGCUGCUAGAGCUUUCGAACUGGAUGGCUCUUCUUCAAUCUCACUUGCCCAGGUGGCUCAGAAGAUGAGUGUCUUGAAAUCUAAGUGACAAUUACGGAACACCACCAAUUGUUGAAUGUACUCUUGGCUAGCUAGUUGCUUUCCUGUUCGAGUGCUCUAGAAACUAGAAAUUUGUUAGGAUCUUUGGGAUGAAUUCAAAUUUGUUUUGGAUCUUAGCUAGCUAGUUUUGGAUCUUUUCUUUCUAGUUUCCAUUUACACUACGCUUGCUUCCUAAGCUAAUUCCUUCCUAGUAUUUUUCUCUUCAAUUUAUUAGGCCGGUUGAUGAAUUCAAAUUCCCUCGAUCCCCUCCAGUGGAAUGAACCACAACAAUUUACAAAAGAAGACAGAAAAGAAAAUACAGACAAUGAACUUAAUGUCGUCCAGCUCCUAAGCUGCCCCUUCCUUUCAGCUUUCAGAAUGGUAAAAUUGAAAAGAUGCAUUAAAAUAGAGGAAAGAAGAAAUGGUAGGGCUGGCCGUUGGAUGUCAGCACAGAAAGCAACUGGGCAGGAGGUGACAUUUCAACUGCUCUAUUCGUCGUUACACUGAAAGAAAAUAUCAUACUUUUCAUUUUUUAAUGUCCAAAAACAUUUGUUAUGUUAGAAAAUUCAAAGAACAGUAUCUUUUUUUAAUAUAAUGUUUCUUUCUAAUUAUAUGUAAGAGAAAAAUUAGAAAGAGAAGUACAAAUAUCACAAGUAAACCACUAUUCUUAAAAAGUUGGAUUUCCAAAACAUAACUAAAUAAUUGGGACGGAGAGGGAGUAUUAUUGUUCGUCUUAUUAUUUUUUUGGUAAAAUUUCAGAAACUUUCUCUAAGGUUUUUGACAAUUUCAUUUGCCUCCCUUUAACUUCUGAAAAUCUCAAAUAUCUCCCUAAUAGGGAAUUGGGAUCAAUUGCUAAUAUAAUGUGUGGCAAAAUGACUAUUAUAUCCUAAGUAUUUAGUGAGAUUAAUUAAACAAUACCUACAAAAAUCGCUAUUGGACUAUAUUUGAAGAAAAAAAAUAAAAAUUUGGCCAUUUGUCUUUAGCAAGUUGGUGUGAAUUUCUCCUCCAAAUCUAGAUGGCACACUUUUCUAAUAGUAAUUACGUACUAUUAAAAAAGUGUGCUAUAUCAUUUAAUUUUUUAAAAGUUUUUAAUGUUGGCCUUUAUAUUUUGUUGAGUUGCUUUGCAAAUUUAGAAUUUAGUUAGUCAAAUCAUCUAAAAUUUGCUAAUGCAUUUGCUACAUAUUUUUGAAAAUUACCUCCAGACUUUUGAUUUUUUUUGCCUAGUUUUAAUCCAUUUAAUAGUUUCUCAAAACAAUCGUUGUAACAAUUGGUAAGGGCAUUUUUUAUGCCAAUUUACGUUCUCUCUCCAACAAUUAUUUUCCUAUUCUACCUUUUUUUGAUUUGGGAUUACAUGUUACACAAAAGUUUCAAAUAAGAGAGCUAAAUGAAAAUUUCAAAAUUUGAGAGGAACUGAGUGAAAUUGUCAAAAACCUCAAGGGAGGAUUUUGAAAUUAUCCCUACUUUUUUUUUGGUAAGAACAUUUCAACUAUUAUCACUCAUAAACUUUUUCGUGCUUUUUAUGUUGGUACACAUAUUUUGUCCUCCAUUAGACUCAUGAAUGCUCUAAGCAUUAUGAUGUUUUCUUUUCUAAGAUAUGCUGGCCUAUGUGUUAUACUCCGUUAGUUAAAAUUUUUACUUAAUGUCAUGAUACACUAUUGACUGUUAUGAGAUGAAACAGAAAAGAAAGUGAAGCAUUCAGUUUUGUUAGCCAUCUAAAAAUGCAACGAAAGAUAGUUGACACAUAUAAAGAAUAUGUGGGAAAAAGUAGUUUAUUAUUGUACCAACAAAAAAGCAUGUCCAAUUCUUAUAUUUCAGUAUUGUUCUAUGCUUGAUGCAAACUAAUACUCAGCAAAAAGUAUUGUUCUGUAUUUAAUGCAAACUAAAGCAGCAUUGAUUUGAUAUUGUGUUCCCAAUAAAUGUACAUUGCAAAAUGAGUGCAUCCAUGUAUAGGUAAUGUAACUUUGGUAUAAUGUUCCUAACACAACACCAAUGUGUCUCUGUCUAGGGGUGGCAAUGGGGCGGGGGACACCUCGCCCCGUCCCCCGUCCCGCUCCGCUUCCCUCGCAGGGCACCACGGGAAAAUAUUAAAAUUAAAUUUUAUUAUGUAAUUUCAUUAUAAUUAAAUUUGAACAAAUAAUUAAGUACUAAAAUAUUAACACAUCACCAAAUUAUUAUUCAUUAUAAUUUUACAAUUGAAACUCAUAAAAAUAAUUAAACAAAGGUUAUUUGAAUACAAUCUAAUAUGAUAAAAGAAAUAUAACUAAAAUAACCAAGUUUUCACUUUUGAUACAAAUACAAUCACUAAAUUAUUAUUGUAUUUUUUUUUUUGAAAAAAAUGUUAUUGUAUUAAGUGUAGUUAAGAAUUUAACAUAAAUAUAUUAAUAAAGUUAGUAUAAAUAAUUAAUAAUUUUUAUUAAUAGACAUGUAUAAUUAAUAGUAUAAUUGAAAAUAUCAAUAUAUAUAUAAUUAUGUACAUAUAUAUAUAUAUUUUCAAAUGCCCGUUUCUAAACGGGGAGAAAAAAUUCCCCCCGCCCACGCUCCAAUGACCCCCCGUGGGGAGGGUGCCCGCCUCCGUCCCCAUCCCCAUCCCCAGACUCGGUCCACAUCUCAAAGUCUAGGAAGAAAUUAUGAUCAUAAGAAAGCUCGAAAACGCAAAUAAUGGUUUAAGAAGAAUAUAUCCACGGAAGAGAUUUCACUAGCAACUGAUUUAAAUUGCAAGACGAAUGUGAUUGCUACAUUUCGUUCAUGUAUUCAACACUGUUACAUUUCGGGUCUGAAUUUGGACAGACCACAGAUAUUUUUGACGUUUUUUCUUUUCAUAUUCGUCUCACUAUUUUUCUCUUAUGUAUUGAAGGACUUGUGCAUAUUCUUCUUCUCAAUCAUUAUCGUUUGGAUUGUUAUUUUUAAAAAUUUUUAUAAAAAUAUAUAUUAUGAUGAUUUGAUAUAUAUAUAUAUAUAUAAUUAAAAAUACAUUUCCAAAAAAUAUAAAAAAUUUUCCGUAAAAAAUCACGAUCCAAACAAGGCAAUACAGUCUUACUUUCAAGAAACUGGCACAGUACCCAAAACACCGAGAAGAUAGAGCAUGCGAUGCAUGUAUUGGUGGAUGCGUUGCCAUCUGAAAAGGAAUCUAAAAAAUAGGCAGACUCAUUCCAUUACCUAUUGAGUAUAUAGUAGCGAGUGAUUCUGUAAUUCCUCAUUCCACACAAUAUUUAAUAAAAUCACCAUGGAAACCACAAAACAGGAAGAAGCUCGUCAUCUUCAACCUCACAUCAUCAUACUUCCAGGUCCAGGACUGGGUCACCUCAUUCCCUUCACUGAGCUCGCCAAACAAACGUCUUGCCUUACACCAUAACUUCUCCAUAACCUUCAUAAUCCCCACCGACGGUUCUCCUACCAAUGCCUAGAAGGCCUUCCUUGAAUUCCUAGCAUCAACUCCAUCUUUCUUCCUCCGGUAAACAUCCAUGACCUCACAGAAGACACUCCUGUUGAAGUCCGCAUUUCACUGACCGUAAACCGCUCGCUCCCGUCCCCCCGCCGCGCGUUAGUUGGAACUAAUUUCUCAAUUGGGUCAUCAUCAUGUAGUUGUACUCGUAUUUGUGCAUUGGUUGUUGAUCUUUUUAGUCUUUCAGCAAUUGAUGUGGCAAAAGAAUUUGGCAUCCCAUCUUAUGUAUUCUAUCCCACCACAGCUACGUGCUUCUCCUUGGUCUUGCAUAUGCCGGAGCUGGAUAAAAUUUACCCCGGCGAAUAUAGGACUUGCCUGAACAAUCGAGUUACCCGGGUGUUUCCUGUUGCACGGGAAGACUUCAUGGACCCGGUUCAAGAUAGGAAGGGUAAGGCCUACAAAAGGUUGCUGCAGAUACGCGACCGCUACAAUUCAGCACAAGGGAUAUUGAUUAAUAGUUUUAUGGACUUGGAACCGGUUCCAAUUCGGGCUCUGAAGGUAGGUAGAGUAUUGUCCUUGAAACCACCGGUUUAUCCGGUUGGACCGUUGGUUCAAGGCAGCGGUAUAAUAUAUUAAUAUGAUUAAUAUCAUCACGCGGAAUACACGAAUCUGAAUCGCCAGGAUAUUGUCUGAUGAGCAGCCGGAGGGUCGGUUUUGUUUGUUUCGUUUGGGAGCGGGGGAACGUUGUCUCAGAAGUAGUUGAAUGAAUUGACUUUUGGACUGGAAAUGAGUGAAGAGAGAUUUCUUUGGGCUGUUAGAAGCCCAAAUGAAUUCGCAGCCUUUUUGGUGUCGAAAGCGUGGAAAGCCUGUCGAUGUUCUUCCCGAGGGGUUUUCAGAGAGGACUAAAGAGAAGGGUCUUGUGGUAGCCUCAUGGGCUCCUCAAAUUCAAGUCCUCAGCCAUGGUGCAACUGGGGUUUUCUUACUCAUUGUGGGUGGAACUCAGUUCUGGAGAGCAUAGUGCAUGGGGUGCCUUUGAUUGCAUGGCCACUUUUAUGCUGAGCAACAGAUGAAUGCUGUAUUGUUAACUGAAGAUUGGAAGGUUGCCUUGAGGGUUAAGGUGGAUGAAAAUGGACUGGUGGGAAAGAAGAAGUUGCAAGAUUGGCAAAAGCCUAAUUGGAGGAGAAGAAGGAAAGGACUUGGGCUCAAGAUGAAAGAUCUUAAAGGUGCAGCUGCAAGGGCUUUGAGAGAGGAUGGAUCAUCGGUUAAGGCACUUGCUGAAGUGGCUCAUCGAUGGAGUUCCUUUAACGUGCAAAAGUAAAAUUCUUCUACAUCACAGUCCACCACCAACUCUGAAAUUUUGUCCAGGGUGACUUAUAAAUCAACGGUUUCCAUGUUUCUUUUACAAGAAAAAAAGGAGCUCCAUUGAGGAAUCGAGCUUGUUUUAACUCUUGAAAAAGAUGAGCUGGAUUAAGGAAUUAAGCUUGUUUUAAUGUAGCAUCACUUCAAGACUUACACUUGAGGUCCGUUUGAUAAAACUGAAAUCUGAAAAAUAAAAUUGGAAUCCAUUAAAUUAUUAAAUUGUUAAGUUAUUAAAUCAAAUACAUUUAAAUGUAUAUCAUAUUUAGUAAUAAGUAAAUAGUUUAUCAUUUAUUUUUGAGAGUAAAUUUUACCACUUAAUUAAUUCAUAUAUUCAAUUUUUUAUUUUCAAACGCGUUUGAACAUAUUAAGAACUGAAUUCAUUAAUUUUAAGUAUUGAAUUAGAUUAUCAAACAAAACCUUGAUCACUCCCAAACUUUUGAAUAUUAAUCAAGCUAAGUAUUCAGCCCACAGCAUUCUCCUUCAAAGGAGUAUUUGCAUCCUCCUAAAAUGCCGAAAAGCAGAGAGAGCCCUUAGUCACUGGGCCCGUUAGAGAGACAGAAUUAAAAGCAGCCCAACCCAGGGCCAUAUGAGUAAUCUUCAAUCAUAGCAUGUAAACCAAUUACCUAGUAGAGAACAUUAAAAUUUUCAAAUGAACCCAAAAACCUAAAACCCUAGAGAAAAAUCUGAGAAAGGGGUUUAGGAUCAGCAGAUGGAGGAGACACUACUGACACUGGAUCAGGAUACUACUUGUACAGCUUGGAAUUAUAGUGGGCAGAGACUAGCUGCUGGCUCCAUCAAUGGGACAUUAGCCAUUUACGAUUCAAAGGAUCCAGCUUCUUCAUCCUUCACCUGCACUUCCAGAUUUAAGGUGCGUCACAAAAAUUUACUGCACCCAUUUCUUGCCUUUCUUCUUUUUGCCUUUUUAAUGUGCAAUUUGCUAGUUGCUGCUAUAAAUGCAGUGGGCUUUAAAUUGUUAAGUUAAUAAUCAUCUUUUCUUGAAGAUUUUGUUGUUUUUUAAUUUGUGAAAAGGAUAUAGAUUUUAGUGACAAAAACUUAUUCGAAAACUUACUCGUUGAGCAGGGUUUUCUGUGUUGAGAAAGUAACAUUUCUGGGUGUAGUUCUUCUUAUCACUGCUCUGAGGCAAUAAAGAAAAAUAAAAGGAACUUUCACUGUAGUGGAAAUGCUUCAUUUUCUAAAGUUGUAGCUUUGGAGUUGAUGUUUCUGUGAACUUAAACACUCAAAUUAGUUGUUUGUUCUUUAUAUGGUCAACUGCUGUAUUCUGAUGUUGCAUUUGUCUGAGAUCCAAAUUCCAAACAUGAUGCAAUUUCUUAUGCAAAUUAGGUGCAAGAAACAAGCAUUCUGAAAAUUGUCUGGGUUCCCCAGAGUUUGGAGACGCAGUUGCCUGCAUUUGCUCUGAUGGAAGUUAUUCAUUGUGGGAAGAAGUUGUGGAAGGUACUUAUUGAGUUUAAUACACGGUGUUUAUCCUUGAAGUUAUAGUCCUAAAUGAAAAUUGUUACCACAAUCUUUUGAAAUGCUGGGCUUGUUUAGUAGGACCAAUCAGUGCAUCAAAUGUUUAAUCUUAGACCAUGUAACCUGACUCUCAUCAUUCUAUUCGUUUGGUAAUUCUUUAGAUGCUGAUAUUCUCCAGUGGAAGCUGUGCAAACGCUUUGACAGGAACUCAAGUCGAGUUUUAGACAUUCAAUUUGGAGUCUUUGCCACAUGUUUGAAAUUGGUAAGUUUUGGACUUAGUUGUUGACGACUUCAAUCUCAUUAUGCCUGUCAUGUCAUGAACAAUUGACAAGGGCUUAUAGCAAAAGGAAGAACUAAAAGUUCUGCAUUUCUUCAACCACCAAAAUCUAAUAGUCUGCAGAGUAUUACAUUGUAAUUAUAUUGAAGAAGGCCCGUAACAUCUUUUCUCAUUAUUUGUACUUUCUGAUGCAUGUGUGAUCAAUGGGGAAAUUACUGAUAGAAUUAUCUCUUAGAUAUAUUGUCUAUUACUGUAUCAAUGUGUUGAAGAAGUUUCUCUGUAUUUUUUUGCCGCAUUGAUUCCUCAUGCUAUGUUUUACCUAGUCUUUGAAGCUUGAAUAAUCCAGCAUGCCUGAUAUAACACUCUAAGCCUUGUUUGCAGUGACACUGUAUAUUGUACUUGAAAAAAUUGAGAAACUGUUUCUGGAUAUUUAAUAACAUUGCUACUCUACAUUGAAAUUUCUAGUAGUGGGGCAAUGGGAAUUACAAAUUCCAAUUUCUGAGCCGAAAUAACUUGUAAGGUUUUUCUAUUUUUCUGCAUCACUAUGUGCCUCGUAAGUGGCCCCCUUCUUUGUUUUUUGGUUCUGCAUCAGUGUGUGGCUUUUAAGUGGCCCCCUUCUUUUUGGGUUUUAUUUGUUGUUGAAGGAAAAACUCCAAUUAGCCAAUGAGUGAAUGCUUUGUUGUUCACUUAAUGGUACUUAAAAGUAAGUUUAUAGGGUUAUGAACACAGGCUACAUAUGUUGAGUGCUUUUUCUACUCUAUAUUAAGUCAUUAUUCUGUAGGUUGUUGUUCAAAAAUUUGUAGUGCCUGUUAAGGUUGCAUUGCUUUUUUGUGUACAUAUGGAAGAAAAGACUUGUUAUCCUUCCAUUCACUACACAAAGCUUCUUUUAUGAAUAUUGAUAAUAAAUGUUCCUGAUAAAGUUGUGUUAGUCAUGUGUACAUCUCGAAGGAAAGAAGGGUAGCUUCUGAAAGUGAGAUGCUACCUGAUACAAUCUUCCUAUAGUAAAACCUCUGUAAUUGUCUACUUGCAGCACUCAACAAGUAGAGUUCUUGUACGCUCAAUUCUGAGGUACAGGGUGUAUAUGCACCAGUUUAAUGACAAUGCAGUGUUGUUUCUGCUGUAUAUACAUCUGUGGCUGGCUUCCUAUUUCUCAUUAAGGAACCUUUGGAUGAUUUUUGUGACUUUCAAUGGACUUAAUUAAUCACCAAAAGGAAAUGGCUUAAUAGUAGAACUCCUGAUGCGAUGCUCUGAUGUAUAUUUAGGCAAAAUUUUUCUAACAGGAUGAGGGAAUCAUUCAGCCCUGCCCUAUUGAAUGAAUAAGGAGAGACAUAUUCCAUGACUCUGCCAUUCUUAUGCUACUCAUUCUUUACUCCCCCUGUAUCUUCUUAAAGGAGUUUUUGCAAGAAAGAGUUGACUUUUGCCCCCCUCCUGGAGUUCAAAACAUUUACAGUUCUGCUAAUCUCCAUUCUUAUCUUAUGAUUGAACUGCUCUGGCUUAGCUAAUAUAACUAAUUUAAAUUUGAGUUUUUUUUUCGUUCCUGCUGUUAUUUAUUCCAUAUGUGCAACAAGCUGCUUAAUUAUGUCACUUUUGUGUCUUUUCCAGGUUGCUGCAUACUCAGAUGGCCAAGUGAAAAUCUUUGAUCUCCUUGAUCCCCUGGAUUUGAUAAAUUGGCAACUUCAGGUGGUUGUUCUAUAUCACUUAAUUACUUUAUAUUACUGCAAACUAGUCACAGCAAGUAUUGCUGCGAUUUCUGUCAUCUUCGGAGUUCCAAGGCUUUUGUGUCUUAUAGCAAUUGUUCUCCUUUUUCCCUUUAUUCUCUCUUUCCUUGUUUUUUUUAAUAAUAUUCAUGGUUCAAGUAUUGAGUAGAUUUCCCCUGCCCGCUGCACCUUCAGAUCCUAAUACUUGUAUGUGCUGGAAGACUUUUAAUAUUCACAUUAACAAACAUGAUAUUUUGAUCUUUUGAGAAUGGUGGAUCUGAAUAUUGUCCUUGUAGGCUGAAUUUCAGAAUGUCAUUGAAUCUACAUCCAAAUUUGGUAGACCUUUGUGCUUGUCUGCAGCAUGUGUUGGAAUCCUCAAAGGGGUGAACUCCAGCAGUCAAGCUUUGUUUUGGGUUUCAAUUCAGAUAUUCCGCAACUCAAUUCCUCUAAGGUAUUACAGAUUCUUUCUUCCUUCUUUCUUCACCUCACGCUACAGCACUUGAUGGAAACAUAAGGUUUUGACUCUUUUACCUGUUUGAUAUUCAGCAUCAAACCUUGUUUGUUCACAUAGUUUAUUAUUAGAAUAACUAGUUACAAAUGUUUAGUUUCUCACAGUGUGCUGUUUGUUGUAUGAAGAGGAUCCUGUCAAUUGUUUAACUGUUAAGCUUGUGCAUGCCUUAAAUGUCCCAUAGUUGUUAUUGCAUGAAAUGCACAUAUGUUGGUCCAUAUGGUGAUGCAUUAUCAUGAGGUAGCUUCCAUUUCUGUUAAAUGUGAGGGUGGCACUGUAUGUGUUAAUUGAGAUUUUUUAUCUUGUCCAAUUGAAAAUCAUCAUUGUCCAAGUAUUGAGUGAACAACGAAAUGCGGGUGAGACUGGCCCUGGAGGUUUCCAUUGUAUGACCUUUUUAUAGGCUUCCACAGGUUUGGGAAUUUGAUCAGGAUCACCAGAGAUGGCUACCUGUUGCUGAAUUAGCUUUGCCAGAAGAUAAGGGUGAUCAAGUUUUUGCUGUUGAAUGGGCACCAAAUAUUGGAAGGUGGCAUACAGCUGUUCAUUUCAUGAAUUUGUCCUUUAUACAUGAGAUCCCUAAUAGGAUUUGGUUUUUCUGAUUUGAGAUUAGCUUUCAAGAGCAUGAAUCAAAACAGCAAGGAGAUAAAGCUAGAUAGCAAUUUAUUGAUGUGACAAUUUUAGGUUAUGAUUAGUCUACUUUGUCAUAAGGCACUUGAUCCAACAUUUCUGUUCCGUUCUUUUGACUUCUAAAGCAAGAUUUUGGUUAUGAAAAAGUUAUAGGUGAUUUAGAUCUUGAAGCAUUCCAAUGCUUUCACUAUGUUAAAUUUAAUAAUUUGAAAUUGUGGAGCACAUUAAACCAUUUAUAAAGCUGCAAGGACUACCAUAGCACAUUAUCAGUUAGCCAAAACUACUAUAUGCUACCAAGACAUGAGUCUGGACUUUAUCAUCUCACUGGACCUCAGAUCCUUUACUUAAUUGGUGCAAUUGGAAUAAGAAUCAGAUUAAAAUAUUCAAGUUUAAUGAUGGUGGAUAAGAGCAUUGUACUUUGUGCAGGCCAUAUGAAGUGAUAGCAGUUGCAACUUGCAAGGGAAUUUCGAUGUGGCAUGUCGGAUCAAACCAUGAUCCUAAUGGGAGGCUCUCCGUGGAGAGGGUUGCCUUGCUCUCAGGUCAUAACGGCGAGGUACCAUUUGCUAAAGCUUAUGUACUCCGAUGUCAUUUUCCUUUCAGGUGUUAGGUAGCAAUUCUGAAUAGUGGUAUGAAACUACUUGUGCAGCUUUUCUGGCUUUUGGGUGUGACAUCAUAUUGCACUCUAAUCCCAAUAUGGUUUUGCAAUGCUUUUGUGUCCGUGGACCUUUUACCAAUCUUUACAAAUUUUUCUCUACUAAAUCUUAUUGUCAGUUGGCACGUAUGAACUGUGAAAUGUUUUUACAUUGAAUUGUUUAUCCUUGCAUCUUUAACCUCCAGCUCACCUGGCACACCAGUUAUUUUUGGGUUGACAAAAACAUUAUAUUUCUUGUAUAGGUUUGGCAGAUGGAGUGGGACAUAAGCGGAAUGACAUUGGCCACCACCGGCAGCGAUGGAGUUGUCAAGUUAUGGCAAUCUAACCUAAAUGGGGUUUGGCAUGAGCAGGCUCUAUUUGAGCCAACCAGUUAGAUUGCUUCACUGUUAUAGAUGCAGAAUUUGGGUUUGCUCGUCUUUCUGACUCCUCUUGGAUUGUAAUUCUUGGAUUCGAAUUGGAUUGGAGGCACUUGUGCUAAUAUUUGACUGUAAAAUUGCAAAUGUAGUUCUCACGACAGUUACAUGUGGCUCCACAAGAUGGUAAUUACAAGAGCGAUGAUAAUACCUUUAACCAGGCAACUGGAGAAGUUGGGACCAUUCUGCUUUGUCCACUAUAACGUGAUCUACUUGAUAUUGGGGAAGAGGAGACCGAUGGUCCUGAUGGAUUUGACGAAAUUCAGAAAAUUGGGAUUUUUUCCGCAAGUGAAAGGCCUUGAUUGACUUCAGGAUUUCUUACUUAUAAUUCUUUCCAUCUUAUCACUCAAUUCAAUCCACCCUCAAACUGGGAUAUAUAUGUUCGAAUACAAGGAGUCAAAGAUCUUUUAUUAGGCCAAGCCAAUGCAAAAAUAACGAUACUGGAAAAAAAUUGGAGAUAGCAAAAGCGAGAAACAACAGAAGGUAGAACUCUUUACGCGGAAUGAAUCGUCUACUUUUGACUUUUGACUACUUGAAUCUUCUUACAAAAUUGUUGUUGUGAAUUUGUUUUGGAAUUUUGUCUUUAAAGAAGGAAAUGGCAAUUUCUUGAACACCCUCAGUUUGUAAAUUUUACUUCGGUUGACUGCAAGUGUGGUGCUGCAAACCUUGUAACACAAUCACUACAAGCCCUUACAAUUUCCUGUUGGAAGAAUAGUUUACUAGAUGCACAAACACUGGAAAUUUUCAUACUUUAUCCCCCUUCUGUAGCAGAAUAUAUAUGCAGGAACCAAAUGUUUUUGCCUUUUCAGAUGAUGCAAACAAAAGAAAUACAAUUAACCUUUAGUAAGGUUGAAUUUAACCAUUAACAUUUAACGGAGACCAUCAACAACGCCUUUGAUCAAUUCCAAUUCCGCUAUCCAUCAUCUCUUAUGGCUCAACGACUUGUGCAAACUAGCUUAGGUAAUGUAGUAAAUUUUUUUCUACUUUCUACAAACAGCAAUGAAUUUAUAUCAAAUACCAGUGUGAAACCGUCCUUCAAACAAGCAUAUUACUUGGGUAAAUCAUUUUUUACCCGCAUGUGGUUUGGUGAUUUAUCAUAUUACCCCCCAUAGUUUAAAAACCUAUACAUAGUCCCGUCACAGUUUGAGUUAAAGUAUCAUUAUUAGUUUUUUUUUUUUUUUUGUUAAAACUAAUGAUCAAUAUUAAAAAAUCAAAGCGAAACAGUUAAAUUGACAAAUUCACUUUCCACUACUAUUUUUUCUCUUUUCUUUUCAUGUCUAUUUUUUUUUAUUUUUUUUUCCUUUGGGAAGAUAAGAGAUGAUUUUGAAAGAUUGUACUUUUGGCCUACUAAAUCUUAACUUUCUCCAAAUACAAAAAAGAAGAAAGGAAAAAAAAUAGAUAAAUAACAAAAGAGAAUACUAUUAAAGAUUUGGUUUAAAAUCAUACAAUAAUAUUUUCAUUUAAAGAUUUAACAUUUUCUAUUUCUUAUUUAUCUAUUUUUAUGUCCUUUCUUUCCUUUUUUUUUUUUGUAUUUGGACAAAAAAAGAAAAAAAGUAGUAAAAAGUUAAUUUAUUAAUUUAUUAGUUUGACUUUGACAUUUAGUUUUUAGCCUAGACCAUGGGUGGAUUGUGUAUAAAUUUUUAAACCAUAUUGGAGUUAUGUGGUAAAACAUUAAAUCAAAGUAAAAAGUAAGUUAUCCUAUUUACUUUUCGAUUAAUCUUCUAUACAAUAAGAAUGUAUACAUUGUCUCACAUUGUAUUGUAUUAUUAACCUAAGUAGCACCGCAUGUAUCAUGGAUCUGAAGGUGAUAAUAUAUAUUCUAUCAAUAUAUAUAAGAUUUACUCGUACUUUUUCGUCUUCCACGUAGUAAUCUCAUGAGAUCGCACGAAAUGUUUUUGAGCCAACGGCAUAAAUCUUAUACAUGCCUAAAAUAAAGUAUUAAGCUACUCCCAUUAAAAAUCCUGAUGCCUGUAGGAGUCUAGCAAAACUGUUCAUUGUAUAUCCAGUCUGUAUGUUUUACGUAAUUAGUGCUUGGUGUCUGAUUUUAUCCUCAAUUGUAAGCCCAACAUCUGAAUGCCCAAAAUAAUUGGGCUGAGCCUUCUUGUGUGUACUUGUUCCACCGACUACUAGACUAGAUAUGAACAAGGAUGUUUGUUUGAUUGUUACUAGAACACGGGAUAGAAGCAGCGACCGUGCAAACAUGUUUUAGGAAAGUUAGAAUUCCAGAAUCAGUAGGUAUUCGACGAAUCUGCUGAUUUACAUUGCAUUGCACUCACACGUAUCCCUACAUAUAUGUAUAGACACCUCCUCUCUGCCUCCACAAACUUUUCUCCCCAUUCUUCUCUGUGAUCAAGAAACGUUAAAGAUGGUGAGAAAGAAAGUGGACAUCGUGAAAAUUGAGGAUAAAUCAAAAAGACAAGUGACUUUCACGAAAAGGCGGCAAGGGCUGUUCAAGAAAGCCAGUGCACUUUGCAAUAUUAGCAAUUAUGAGAUUGGAAUCGUCACUUUUUCCCUGGCCGGCAACAUGUAUGCCUGGGGACAUCCCACAGUUGACUCCGUCCUGCAGCGUUACAUGGCCUACAGGGCCCAGAAACCUGAUGAAAAUCAUCAAGAAAACGAAACUUCUCCAGGCGAUCACCAUCAGAACAAACGGGAGGUGAGUCUGGCUUUGUCUUUAUCACUACCUGCAGAUGAAAAAGAGACUCCUAAAAGAUCUGACAGAGAAGGCUGGUCAGGAGAAGGGUUUGGUGUUGAAGAACAACAAGAAUAACAGUAGUAAUCAAGAAGGGGAGAAGAGAGUGGAGGGGCAUGCAGCAGCGGCGAAGUCAAAGGUGAUGGCCUCAUGGAAUUUGCCAAAAGUUGAUGAUCUAGAGAUUGAUGAACUUGAACGACUUAUGGCAGAUAUGGAAGAGAUGAAAAAGAAGGUUGUUGAUCGCGCUAAUCAGAUGAAAAGCAGUGCUGGUCGAGUUCCAAGUUCCUAGUCUGCCUAAUUAGUUGGUACAUAUUUCGGGGAGAAGAUUUCAAUCUUACAAGUCAUUCAAUUGUUAAUUGCAAUCGUUGGUCUGAAAGUCUACAAUUUUUUUUUUUGGGUUUUUGAAGGUUUGGUCAUGUUUCAGCCAGCCAUUGGCAGACAGGUAUUUAGGUGAGUGAGCAGGGAUCAGUAAUUAGGACUUAGUAGUUAAAUGGGGUUUUGUUUGAGUUCAUAGGACGAUGGACAAUAUUGCUGCAUGUUCCUUUUCCCUUUCUCCUCAGAAUGUGGCACUUCUACGUUUAAUUUUUCUUUGUGCCUUAAUAUGUGCCGGAGCAAGAUAUGCACUUUGUCCGACUAAAGUUUCUUCUUUCCUACAUCACAGGCGAACCACAUUAUAAUGACCUUAACCGCACCGGCACCGGCACCGGCACCGGCCCAGGCACCGAUUCCAUUUGUUUCACUUGAUUUUCACCAAUAAUAAGCAGUAGUAGAACUUUUCAUAUAAAAAUUCUUUAAUCAUGUUGAAUGACUUUGCCCGGAAAGGACUCGGCAAUGUCUUUCUCAUCUAAUUCCAACCUUUGGGCUUUUGGCACCUGGGCAUUUGGGCCUACUGGUUUCCCUCCGGCCAUUUUAGUUCUCGAAAACAGGAUAAGGCUCUGCUCAUAUCCAACACAAUUUUCCUCCAAAAAUAAAUAAAUAAAAAGACACAAUUUUCCUCAAUAUCACCCUUUAAUUUCCAACGCAGAACUGCAGGUACACAACUGUAAAACUACGCGUUGUGCAAAAAUGAUAUCAGCGAUGAACUCCGUACAACCUCUCUGGAGUUUGAAGAGCCCCAAAUUGUCACUGGGUUCUUCUUACUCUUACUCACUUCGGCCUAGCGUUUCUCAGACAAAUCUUGGGAGUAAAAUCAAACGAUCCAAGUUUGGCAGGAGAUUCUUGGCAAAUAGAGCGAGACUUGUAGUGUGUGGUGGGUUUCUUUUGCCAGUGGAUCCCUGGGCACCUAAUGUUGAUUCACAAAGCAUAGCUCCACCGCUCUUUGCUUUAUCUCUUUUCCCCUACAUUGGUUUCUUGUAUUACAUCACCAAAUCCAAGUCUGCCCCAAAACUCACUCUUUUUGGAUUCUAUUUCCUGCUUGCCUUUGUUGGUGCCACCAGUGAGUUUCUUGCUCUUUUCCUGUCACUGAAUUUCUUGUGUUUUCUUUGGGGUGUGAACAUGAAGAAAGUUGCAAUUAUCCCUUUGUCUUUCCCCCUUUUCCGCGUAUUCUUUUCAAAAGAAAGCCAUCUAUCAUAUUCAUCAAUACUUAAUCCUUUUGCCAACUAUAACUGUAUUUACAAAUAAUCAAAUAGUUCUGCUCUUUUGAUUUCUAAUUCCGAUUGUCCUUCUUAUCUAUUAUGACUAUAACAAAUCUAAACUAGGUAUGAGUUGCUAGUGGCUUCUUAAUGUUUUCUGGUUCAACAUCUGGAAUUAAACAAUCAGUUCCCUGACUUGGUGUACCACUUGGAAAGUGAACAAUGUGCGCUAUGUUGAGUGAAGUUUCUUACCAUUAAAUUGACUGCAAUUGCUUUUGCCAUCCUAUGCUUCAUAUUUUUGCUACCGAGAGCUACUAUUCCACACCACUAACAUUUUGCAUCUUGGUUAUUUCUGCCAGUCCCAGCUGGAAUAUAUGGUAACUACUGUCCCUUAUCAAAAUUUUUGAUGCAAAUCAAGUACAUCUUCCUCAUAGUCUAAAAUUGUCUAAAUUUUGUGCUCUUGAGCAGCAAAAGUGCAAUAUGGAACUUCCUUGUCCAAUGUAGAUUGGUUGCAUGGUGGAGCUGAGUCACUGCUGACUUUAUCCAACUUGUUUGUUGUUCUCGGGCUGAGGCAAGCUCUUCGAAAGUUGAAAAAUGCAGACGAAACCUCCUCUAGUUUGGCUUCUGGUAUUGAAACGGAAAAGUCAUCCAAUGUCAAAUUUUAAGAGAACGGACAUUUUAUAUUGGAUACUUAUCCUUGCCAAUGUUUAUACGUAGCUAAUUCCGUCACCUCUGUCUUUGGACAACUUUUGGCAUACAUUUGAUCUAGUAUUGACAGUCUGCUGUUUGCGAAAAUCAUGCAAUUUGGUUGUGAACCUAAUUUUCCAGGUUGAUUCUGUAUCGUGUUUAAAUAAUCAUCCUGAGACAAUAUUAAUGGAGCUGAAACCCCAUCCACCCUCCAGAAAGGACAGAAGAAAAUAUUAAUCAUGUUACAUUUUUCAUAUCAGGUACCGUAAAUAGUGCCAUGCGAAGAAUUUUUGAUCUCCUUUCCUUGGAGCAACUUUAUCUUUUAAUUCUCAAGCGCUCAUGCACAUAAUUGAGCAAUUAUGCUAGCUAAAGAAAGGCCUAUGAACACACCUAAACAGAAAAGAAAAUACAUAUUAAAUAAUCUGUGUUCAUGGUUUUGUUCAUCUGAGAACUCUUAGCUUAAUUCUUGGCAAACAAGAGCAACUUCUGUUCAGUGAAGGCCUGCAAAUUGAAGGCAAUAUCCAUGGAUACCAACAUACUAGGAAGCAGUUGGCGGCAAAGCCUUUGUCAAGAAGUUGUCAAUCCAAUGCGACUGGUUAGUGGUUAGUAAGAUUCUUAAGCUUCUCAGGAACACUGGUCUAUUCAUAAAGAACAUUUCUAGAGCUUAACUGCUAGAUGGGAAUGUUAUAGCUAUGGCCCCUGUACUCAGAGAUGGGCCUCUAUAUUAUGAGGUUCAUAAACAAUUUUAGAUACUCUCUUGGCUAAAUAACUAAACAAUUCUGGAUACUAACUUGGCUAGCAUUAUUUAGCUGACGUACAAAUUUGUACAGGCACAUUCUCAUUCUACUUGUGAAAAUGGGAAAGAUUAGUUGCUCAAAUUAUCAAUUUUGGAAGCAUGGCCAGUUUGUUUGCCUAUUCGCCUCUUCCUUUUACAUUCAAGCCUGGGAUCAUGUGAAAAAUCCAGGCGCAUUGAAUGGGAAAUUUGGGUCUAGCUCAACAGAGUCAAUUGAAAAAUCCAACCCUGCGAUUGGUGAAUUGGUAGCUGAUGCAGUGGCUGAGAUGAUCUCCGUGAGAUCAGAUUCUGAACUGUGCAAAUUUUUAAUCCUUCCAAGGUUUGCCAUGUGGCAGGGUGACAUCGAGAAGUAGUUCGAUCCAGACGUUGCUGGAGAGACAAAGGAUGGAGAAUAAGUCCCCAAGAUGUUUUCAUCAACAAGUGCUGACAUUGGAAAGAGCUGACUUUCAUCAUCCAUAUGUGUUGCUGAAGGGAAAGAGAAGGGGGAUACAAUCUCCUUAGCCUCUGAAUCCCCAGUAUUAACCCUUAAAUUUGCUCGAAAAUUCAUUAGGAUCUGGUUUGGCUGUUGAGGUUGUUGGUGGUUAUUGUGAUUGUAACUAUGUUUAAAUUCUUGCUUUGCUGGUGAUGGGUGUUGUGGAACAGAAAUGCUGGUGCCCGUGUUGCAUACGUGCGUCCCUUUGUAAGUGAUCUCAAAUAGAGUAGGAUCAUCAUCAGACCUCUGAACUUGCUUUGUUGCCCAGCAAUUUCGCAUGUGGCGGUAUGUGCAUCUAUAGUAGCUUCUGCAGAUAAAUUGAAAACAGGGGUUAGUAUUUACAUUUCGUGCAGAUGAUUGUUUAUCUGAAAAGCAAGCACCUUCUUAGGUAAGGGUUACUUUCAUGUUUGCAGAGUGUUUUACAUAUUUUAGUGCAGUUUAGUUAAGGUAGUCAGGUCAGCUGGAUGUACGCAUCGGUCGUGUACUUGUUACAGUUGUUUGUUUGAACUUUAAAUAAUAAGCGAGCGUGUAGCUUUAUCAAUGACUUUUAUGCGGGAGGACAAAGGAAAUUGACCGCGCUCACCUGGGAUAUUUGGCUCCCAAAAUGUCCUUCUGCCCGUACUUUCUCCAGCUAUAGCCAUCAUCAGCAGGUCCUUCAAGUCCGUUCUCAGGGCUAACCCUCACUUGUUCUGUCCAUGUGGGCUGUGUCUUUCUGCAAGAUUAAUGGCGAAUUUUUUAGCAUAGUGACAUCCUAUCAUAAACUUAAGCGUUGUGAUAAGAUUUGAGUUCGACGAAAUUCACCUCUUCUUAGAUACAUCUCUGAGGUCCUGAUAAUCGUUGAAGUUGUUCUUCGCUUCCUCAUUCUGAGGGCUGCCCUCCACCGAGAUUGAAGACUCCGGGGCGCCAGAUGCCAGUGGCGUAGGCUGUGAUUGUCCUACCGAGCCGCCACCAUUCCACUUGAGGAUCGAGAGAGCUUUCUCAUAAGAAGAUAGGAUCCUUUGCAAGAGCAAAUCUUGAGGCUCCAUAUAUCCUGAGCUCAAGUGAACUCUGAGCUGCUUAGCUUGCUCCAUCCCUUGAGUUAGCUCAUUAACCAGCGUGUAGUAAUCCCAGCUUGAUCCGUACUCCAUCUUGAUAUAGUUCCCAACUAACUGCUGUUUCAAGAACAAUGCCUUCGAUUUCUUUAAAUGGCUUAUCUCAUCCAAGUGCUAUAUUAGUGACGCUCGGUCCGCGAGUUUGCUGCUGUCGAAGUUUUCAGUUUGCAGCAUAAGCAGGAGACGGAGCAGAAGUGGAGCAGAAAAAAUUUGGAAAUGUUUUGUCAAACUCAAAAGGGUCGAUGAAGAAGUUGCCAGGCUGCAGAGUGGAGUGAUUUUGGAAGGAGGACUUGGAAGUUUGUUUCUGGGCAACUAAACUGAGGUUACGCUGUUGGGUGCAACUGCUAACUGCUAAGACGCUACUGAAAAUGAGAGAAGCCGCAGCUGCUGAGUGCUGAGGAAGAAGCAGAGUGAUGGAUUUGAAUUUAAAGAGACAGACACCUUUGAGUAUUAAUCUAUAUGAUUUGAAUACUUGACAAAGAGGAGGGGCUGUGGAAAAAGACUGGGAGAGUUGAAGUUUGACCGAGAAACCGAGUUUUUCCGCGUAGAUUGGUCUUUGGUCAUAUUGGAAUUUAGAAGUAAAACGUACUCUUACUGAAUAGUGUGGCAGUGGAACUAAGGAAGAAUGCUGACCAAUUCAAAAGGGUUCUUUUUCCUUGAAACAGUUUCAAAAAGCACGUUUAAGGUUUGAGUUCCGGUAAGCGGUAGUGGCAAGUCCCCUCUCCAUCUAAGUGUACCUCCUCCACCUUUUUUUUUUAAUAAUAUGUACCGAGAUUGGUAACUUCAAUUGUUUAGAAUAGUGCAUGUAGCAUUGGAUGUUUGAAAUUUUCAAUUUAAUCCUCAAAAAAAAAAAAAAAAAGUUCCCAAUUUACACACACCAUCAUGGACACCAAUUAUUGCUAACUUUGAAGCACAUAAAUUUUUUUUUUCUCGAAACGAUAGGAUUUUUUUAUUCAUUAAAAAGGGAAUUUAUAUGCGCGAGAACAAAGACUCGAAAAGCUGUACAACUAAUACUCAAUUGCACUGAGGAAAACACCACCGUUCCUCAUCCAAAAGAAUGCCUAAGGCAUAAGAACUUAAUCUUCUACAAUUUGUCAUGAAAAAAUAAAUUUCGCUUAUUUAGUAGUAAUAUAUUAUUUACUCCACAAUUGUUGACAAUUGGAACUGGAAACGUUGAGACUAGAUUUAUCAGAUUCUAGAAUGUAACACCCCGGGGGAAGAAAAACCGGGCCGGGGGGGGGGGGGAGGGAGGAAUGCAGUGGUAACUGGUAAGGUCCAAGUGCUGACCAAUUCAAAGCUCCAAACCAAAUGGGCCUCCUUUCUUUCCUUCUCUCCUCCUUUCUCUGAAAAUACUUUUUGACAGCAAAUUCGUGGCGCACAUGAUUGAAGUUUGGAGGAGCUUACCAAGUCAGAGAAAGGGAUUUAGGUGAUUUGGAUAUGCAGCUGCCUAGAUAAAUCCUCAUACGUCAUUCCGCGUGGUUUCUUGAUUGCAGCUUCUCACUGCUACGACACCACAUACUAGUACUUCGUUCAAUGGCCAAAUUAUGAAGAUUCCAAUUCUAAUACCGCCCUCCCCUCCCCCCCCCCCCACCCCACCGCACUCCAGCAAAAAUGAAAAACAAAGGAUCAGAGUUGGUGAGUUUAACUACUAGUCCCACUCGUAAAUCGAGUUCUUAACCUUUUUUUUUUUAUUUGUUUUUGAGGAAAGAGUUCCUAACUAUGUUACUAUUAUAUAUGAUUGAGAAUAGGCAGGAUGGUUCGUCGAAAAAAAAAAUAUAAGCGGUAAGUUACUAUUAUAAUACAGUAGUAUUUAAAAGAAAGAAAAAACUGUUAAUAUUACAUGUAUGCAUCUGCCACCGGUCUUGUCUAUAUUAACGAAUUUAACUGAACAUCCAAGACUCACCGGGAAGUGUCUCUUACCAGUGAAUUUUGAGGUCACAAGUUCGAGUCUCCGCUCUGUUGGAUUCCUCCGCGCACUUAGCGUGUUCGGGCCGGGAUGGGGUACCGGGCCCGGGUCGCAGGGGAUUAGUCGGGCCCCGUAAGAAUUGACCCGGACACCCCACAAAAAAAAAAAAAAAAAAAUCCAAGACUCACCAGGAAAAAAGAAAAGAAAAGAAAACAUGUUGUGUCCAUAAUAUUUCAAGAUAGGCCUCGAAGGAUUUCUUCUUUUCAAAAUGUACCAUUUGUACUCCACUCUUAUUCCUAUAAGGGAACAGAUUAGACAUGCAUAUGAAAGCCUCUCUUGUCUUGCAUCAAGAUCUGAGUAGUGGAGAAUUUCUUACUUUCAAUUAUUAAAAAGAGUGUAGAUUUCAGCUCUACAAUUUAUAGAGUAUUCACACCGCGAUAUAUACCAACCAGUUCUUCCCAGCUGUAACAUAAAAGCAAUAUACUUCGCCGGAGUUUAAAUCGCACCAAGGACAAUGGUGAAGCUUCGAAGCACUAGGAAAAAAAAACGAGAAAUUAAUUUUUUUUUUUUCUCCCGCGCAGGAAUAAUAGCAGUAUACGGCUAGUGGAUUAUAGAAUUUGACUAAUGAUAACAUUUUCAACGAGGCAGCCAAUAUUCAGAAAUAAGGAGCACCUCUCCAGUCACCAGGAUAAAGCAGCAGUAGUAUAUAAUUUCCUACGAAUUUUGUAUGGUUACAAGCCAUUAACGCGUAAAAUUCAAUGGGAGUCUCUAUAGCCGUGUCUUCUUGCAAAGUUUGUUUACUUUAGUGGUAAAAAAAAACCUGAGACUAUAGAGAGAUUUGUUGUCAAAAAAAAACUGAGGAGGGAUUCAUUCAUUGAGAGCUCAGCUCACAGAAGGAACGUCAGCUAACGAUUAUUUGGAUCCGCCAUCCAACUUACAAAUGGUUGGUUCAGCACUGAAUUGAAUGGGCGAUGUAAUUUAAAUAGUAAAGGUUUUGCUGCAGAAACUUCAACCUUGAAGUAGCCUUAUUUAUACACUUGUAAGCCAGGAUUUAUCUCCUUCGUACUGUUUCAGAAUUAGGAGGAUAAAACAUUUUCAAUUUGCUUUUUUUUUAUAGCAAUUGACUUGAGAAUUCGGUACUUCUGUAGCUUCUGCUUCAUAUUUUUUUAGUCCCUUGCUAUAUAGUUUCAUCCCUCCUCGUUGAUCUUUCCCAGCAGCAUUCAGUUCUGCACCAAAAAACAAACUUUAAUUAGUACCAUCAACCGGACAAAGAGUAAUUUCUUGUUCUUACAAAAACAUCUUAGAGAUUAUGUUGAGAUAUGCAACUUUUCCUACAUAUUUUGCUAGAUUAUGUUUGAUAUCAAAAUAAUUUGGUUAUUAGAAAAAUAAGGAUAUUUGUUAACAAAAGAUCAUGUUGGUUUGUUAACAGAUAUUUUAGAUAAGAUUUGCUAGUAGAAAGAGAUUAUAUUUUGUUGAGAUUUUUAGGAUAAUUGUUAGUGGGAUAGUUUGCUAGUUUGUUUCAUGUAAUCACUAUAAAUAGUGAAUUGAUGAAUGUAAAACAUAAGCUCAUUUUCCAUCUUCAAUACAAGUCUCUUAUAAGCUUUUUUUGCAACACUAAGGUGUUGUUUCUUAGUUCAUGCCCCAAAAAACCAACAAAGUGGUAUCAAGAGCCUAUAUCUUAAGGGUCUGAGUCUUUUUUUUAGAGUGAGUGCAUUAGUGAGGAUCCUUUAUAAGUUCAAAGCCAUGACAGGAAAGAACUUUUUGUCAAACAUUUCAACUUUUAGUGGUGAAACUUACCAAAUUUGGGCCAUAAAAUUUUGGACUUAUUUGGUAGUCAAUGAUCUACGAGAUAUGGUAGAGACGAAUUUUGUUUCAUCAGUAUUUGAAGAGCUGAUGGAUACACAAAUUAGAGACCACAGAGUUGCAGUUAGACAGAGAUCCAAGGCCAGCAUUCACAUAUCAAUUUUUGAUGCUGUUUUCACAAGGAUAAUGGCUGAUGAUUUGAUUGAGAAUAAAUUAUUCUCAAUUAAAAUAGAAAGGAGAAGUUUCACUAUGAAUUGGUCAAAUUUUGACAAUUCUAAAGUGGAACAUGAUGAUGAAAUCAAGAAUCCAGAUCCUGAAAAAAUUCAGGAGGAGAUCAUUGAUAAGUCAGGAGAUAUCAGAUUGAUUCCUGAUAUUUAUCAAGAUUAUAACAUUUCUGUUUUUGGGUCUACAGAUUUUGAUGGUGAUGGCAAAAUGAAGAAUCAUGCAAAAUUUCAUAUUUUCUAUAUAGGUUCAAACAUCGUCAAAAGAUGUUCCAUUUUAAACCUAUGAGAAAGUUAUUUGGAAACAUUAAAAAAAAUCAUCUUUUAUGUGGAGUUUGGCAUGAGAAGACAAAAGAAGAAGUUCAUUGCAAGGCUAAUCAUCAAUUGCAGAAUUUCUUACAAAAGUCUCGUCCAAAACAAGAUUCAAAGAUUUGAGAAGACAAUUCAAAAUCUGCAGCAAAAGUGGCAAGGAGGAGUGUUGAGAUAUGCAACUUUUCCUACAUAUUUUGCUAGAUUAUGUUUGAUAUCAAAAUAAUUUAGUUAUUAGAAAAAUAAGGAUAUUUGUUAACAAAAGAUCAUGUUGGUUUGUUAACAGAUAUUUUAGAUAAGAUUUGCUAGUAGAAAGAGAUUAUAUUUUGUUGAGAUUUUUAGGAUAAUUGUUAGUGGGAUAGUUUGCUAGUUUGUUUCAUGUAAUCACUAUAAAUAGUGAAUUGAUGAAUGUAAAACAUAAGCUCAUUUUCCAUCUUCAAUACAAGUCUCUUAUAAGCUUUUUUUGCAACACUAAGGUGUUGUUUCUUAGUUCAUGCCCCAAAAAACCAACAGAUUAGAAUACGACCCACUGAUCAAGUCUCCUUGUCUUAAAAUGACGGCCAAUUCUUAGUUGCCAUAUUUCCCUCUUGUAUUUUAGUAUUAGACAUGCAUUACAUGGGAUAUCAGUUCAUAUAAUAAGCUAGCACACAGUGGAAACACACACCUCUGCAGAAGUUUCUUUGUCACUCUCAUCGUCGCUGCUGCUUCCAUCACUGGACUUGCCUGCCUUGUGAUUCAUUUUGUUCUUCAUGUUCUUUAUGUGCUCGCCAAUAUUGGCAAUGAAAUGGCCUCCAUGGCCUUCCUUCUUUUUCUUGUCAUUUGCUGCAGCAUUAGCUGCAUACAUUUGUGAUCCUUGACAUGCCGAUUGCUGAACAUGGCUUGUAGCGUGGCUCUCAUGGUCAUGGUGGAGUGAAACGUGAUUCUUGGCCGCACCAUGCUGUGCAUGAUGUCUGUGACUGUGAUGCUCACCAUUUUGCCCAUUAUGCUCUUGGUGCUUGUGCUCAGUGAAUAUUUUGCGGGCCGAAUUAGCCAUCUCCUUCACCUUGUUGGUGACAGAGUGUUCAUUGUUAGCCUUUUGGGAAGUCUCAGUGGUUGUCUUCUGGCUGAUGACAGUAGACUCCACAUGAGUGUAAGUUUGCUCAACAGGCAUAUGGCAUUGCAUUGAAGCCAUUGAAGUUCAGUUUCUGGCCGGCCUCCGUUCCGAUUCUGAUUGCUAAUUUGCUAGUGCUUCUUGAGCUUUCGAGCUGUUGAUCAGAACUUACAUAUAGUUGUGGAGUGUUAGUGGGAUUGCUUUCAGUCCCCCCCCCGUCACGCUAUACUCCGAAUCUCCUUUUCCUGCGAAGCACGCGUUUGGGAGAAUUGAUUCCCUGAUGAUAACAUUCGCCUGACUCCUAUUCAUUUAUUCCAUGUUCCAUCACUUUGAGAUUCUCUGAAUGGCCACACUUUCAACAAUGCUCUUGAAGAAACGAGUAUGGGUAAAUGGUACUGAUCAAUUUUUUUUUUUUUUUUUUAAAUCUAGCUAGACUAUGAUCGCAAAAUCUUUUGACUCAACCAUCGGUAGAUUCUCUACAGAGGCAUCUUGCUUAGAGCUUUACAAGAGGUUUAAAAGUAAAUUCUUUUCUGAAAAUAGUAAAUGGGCACUUCCAACCAAAUUACAGAAACUCUAGAAAGCACAAAUUUCAGGAAAGCAAUAGGUUGUCAGCACAAAUGCAGCGUUCUAGGCACUGAAUGAUCUGUCAUCAUGUAAAGAGCUGAAUAACUCAAGUGAGAAAAAAAAAAAGCAAAAGAAACAAAACCAAAAUUGGAUCAAAUUUGGUGGCAUUGAAUUGGCAUAGAAAACAUGUCACGGAGGAUCCCAAGUUGCCUUAGAUAGGUACCAUUCAGAAGUUCACGCACAAAGUGUCCCUGGAUGAGAGUCAAAUGAUGAGAUUAUACUAGAGAACAGAUGUUACUUGUAUUUACCAGAAACACGAUAAAUUAGGAAAAUGAUAUAAAAUAAAAGAAAUAAACAUAUUAUGUGUAUCCAUAUAGACAAACAGUAACAAAUUUUGCACUUCAAAGUUUUCCGAGGAUCCAAGUAGUCAAUCCACAUCCUCCUGCGACGACCAAAUGAAAACUCACAAAAUCCUAAUAACUUGUUUUCUAGGAGCAUACAUGCAACAAAAGCUUUAGUGAAUAAUAGAGAGAGCAUCUCCUUGUAAUAACCAAGACAUAUGCACAAAAACAUUGAUAGCUCGGCAGAACAUGUCAACCAAAUAUGUUCGUGCCCAUCUGACAAACAAAAUACUCUUCCACCAAAAGGGUUAAGCUGCCACUUUGUCACCUUCCUUUUAAAAGAUUGGAAACAAAAGUAGCUAUAGCCUGGAUUGCACAGUCUUCAGCUUCAUCUUGAGAAGUUCCAGAUGAUUGUUGAUGCUUCUUAGCAAUCUUGAAAGAGUGAUCACCACCUUCAAUAACAUGCAAUUCACUGACUACAGUCAUCUUCUCCUUUACAGCGUCCAACUUCUCCAGUGGACAAAGCCCAUCUUUGCUACCCUUUAUGAUUGAAUGUUAUGUAACCCACAGCCAAGUAUGACACAGCAGAAAAUACAGUUAAAAUUUCAUGUUUGCAGGAAAAAUUAUGCUUAAACAUUGAGGAGCCUAUAAUGCAAUUAGCAGUGAUAACUUCAAUUGAACCAGCCAUGUAAAUAUUCAGUAUCAGAGUACAAGAAAGAUGGAAACCAAAGCAAAUAUCAGAAUAGAAGCCAGAUUCAUGCUUUUCAACCAGGGAAAAUUUCCACAUAAUGGGAAAGAAAGAAAGGGGAAAAAAAAAGCAGAAGAUAUCAUCUUGUCACCUGUACAAACAUGACAGGAACUUUGAGUUGCAACAGUGUUUCAUCUCGUACUGCACCAUUCAUCCCCUGAAAUUGAGAGGGAUUAAACUGAGUAGAAGAAUGUAAAUUUGUGCACCGAAGCAGACAUGCAUACAUACACACACAGAAACAGAGACUUCAACAGAUAAAGCUAUAGCAAUUUGUUUUUGUACUCCCCAGUUACUUUUGGCCACAUUAAAAUACUGCCCAGUGCUAAUAUAAAGGGUAAAGGGCUUUUGAACUUGUUUUCAUGGCUUAAAUGGAAAUUCACACUCCUUCGCCUUUGCCUAUGAAAUUUAGUCCUCCAGAAUGUUUAUACUUGCUCAAGUCUCAAAAAUCUGCUUGCCAAAAAAGGCAAGAAGUCUUAAUUGGAUAAGUUCUUUUCAUCUUUAAUACCCAAGUAAGAUGCACCAUGACGCAUCUGCCUAACUUACAUAAAUAAAGACUACUGAUCUCCAGCUCGUGCAGAGACAAUACAUGGAAUCGACCAUUGCUUAAUUGCAGAAUACAAAUUGAAAGAUCAGUUCGAAAACAUCUGAUAUGCAUAAAAAGGGACCAGAUCAUCACUAGUAAAACUACCAGAAAAAAUAAAAUCAGAUGUAAAUGAUGUCCAACCUUUAACGGGUAGCCCAAACAAACUACUGCCAAAGCAUCGACUUCUUUACCACUAGCAACCAUGCAGCUUACCCUAUACACCCAAAGCCAUGACAAAAAGAUCUGCAUCAUGUACCAUACAUACAGCCAGGAAUAGUCUCAAUAAAAAGUAGUCAAAACUAUAGAUAGCCGUUCUGCAAAAUAUUAUAAUUGUCUCACUCGGCUAGGAUGAUAGAGUGCAAAAAAUCUCAUUUGACAGACUCAUAAGUAUAUGAGGUUUCAUGCUGUACCCAGUCAUUUCCAAAAGUUGAUUGGUUCCUGCUUUUUUGGAGAUUUACUCAUCAGCAAACCAGUAAACUUUGUAAGGACCAUUGCCUUGGCCACAAUUGAAGAAAACUUACAAACAGAAAGACAAUGUAUAAGACUUCCACAACUUUGUCACAAACUGAAGAAGAAUAACGCAAGAACUAGUGUUACCUAGAACCCAUGGAUUUCCCAACCAUGAUCAACGGAUGCCCAGCGUACAUCUGCAUCGUCUUUCUAACAAUAUCUGCAUGGAAUUCAACCAGUUUUUCUGCCUUAGGAGGAGCCUUUCUUUUCCCUCCAGCAAUAUCUGCCAAAAAUCCAACCAACAGCCUUACCUUAAAAAUUCAAACUUUUUGAAACACCAUAAAAACAUCAUGCUAUUUUUUACUCACUAACUUCAAACUAUACCUCCUAAUCGAACACAAUAAUAUGCCCACUAUCAUUUCUCAUAUUAACAGGAACCAUGUGACCGAGAAAAACAAAGGAAGUACUACAACAGUUGGGAUUGGCAAGAAAAAGGAACAGCUUACAUGGGUAAUCGAAGGUUACAACUUCAACAGCAUUUAGUGCCUUGUGCAACAUCUUCUUCCAUCUGGUUUAGAAUACUAUUAAGUUGGGUUAUUUACAAAAUAAAGGAAUAUUGAUGUUUUUUUAUUAGGUUUCCAGAAAUAUACAAGUCGAUUUCACAAGCUAAGAAGAUUCAAUAUAGCCAAAGCGCGCUCACACAAAACCAGUAGAGGAAGGUGAAACGCGGGACCCACCUGACCAUCCAGUCAGAGGAAGAAGGAGCACCAGCGCCAUGAGCAAAGACAAUUACAGGUGAUGAAUUGUCUUUCUUACCCUUCACAGAUGCGCUGGUAUUGACUGUCAUCUCUUCCCGCCAUUCUUCUGCAUUUUGUUCCUUAGGAUCGUUUUCGAGGCUCUGGCUGCUCGUGCGCCGACGUUUUGAAGCCCGCAUAGCUGACACUAUUCUCAGAUAGAGAGAAGCGAAGAUGAGAAGAUUUAAGAAAUGGGUUUUCUGAAUUCAUCAAUUCAGCAGCUUCAUACUUCCUACUUUUCUCGAUUCUUGCUGUGAUUUUCGCGCCAUAAGAUUUGGGGGGGGGGGGAAUAUUGGGCAAGUUUGGGCAUCAGACUCACAGCCACAGGCCCAUAUUUUUAAAAGUUUUGGGCGCUAAGCCCAUUUAGUGGCCUUUCAGAUCUCAGCAAUAUAUAUAUACCUUGGGUCAAUUUCAUACCAACCCAUUUACACUAGAGGUCUCCAAUUUAUGUAUGCCUUGGUAUUCAAAUGGUAUUUAUGGUACGAAUUUUAUCUUAAAAUUUUAUUUUGAUUGAAUAUUUGCCAACCCCCCCCCCCAAAAGUAAAUUUUGAGAUGAUUAAAUAUUUGUUCCCCAAAUUUUGAGAAUACUAGUAAACAUUACUGUCAUACAUUCUAUCUUUGGCUCCGUUUGAUAACACUGAAUCUGAAUUUUGAAUACUGAAAUAAUUAAUUUGCUGAAUUUUAAACACUGAAAAGAGAUAUAUGAAUGUCUGAAUCUUAAUGUUGAAUCUAUUUAUACUGUUUGAUAAAUAUUCAUAACUUAAUGCUUAAUAAGCUAAAUUGUACAAUUUUGCCCUUAUAUCUUUUAAUCCAAAAAGGAAAUAGAACCUAUGAUUUAAUUAGCUUGAAAUUGUUAGGUAUAAAAAAGACAAUAUUUAUUUUUAAAUCAAAUUAAUAUAAAAGAAGAAAUAUAUUAUGCAAAACAUUAAAAGAAACAUUACAAUCCAAUAAUUCAUAUAACAUAUAAAUUCGACCUAAAAAAUUUAGAAAUGAUUGUUUGAAUAGAGAAUAUCAGAUUGUUUUGUUUAAUUAGAUAAGGAUUUUGAAUAGAGAAUAUUAGGUUGUUUAAUUAGAUAAGGAUUUUGAAUGUAAUUAACAAACAGGGAUAGAUUUGGUAGAUAAGAUAAAGUAGUUGAAGUAAAUCUCUUGAUUCUUAUCGAAUUAAGCAUUCAGUUAUGAUUCUUGUGCUGAAAAAACUACAUACAAAUUCAGCACCACUUAAUAAGUUCAGCAGGUGAAUUUUUAUUUAUCAAACACCCAAAACCUCUUAAUGUCUGAAUGGAUUCAGUUUCAGCACUUUUUUAUGUUAUCAAACAGGCACUUUGUCUCCACAAAUUUCAGAAAUCCUAAUUUUAGAUAUUUAAGCCUUUGUAACUCAAUAAACUAAUCUAAUAUUGUUCCCCUUGGAGAAGGGGCCAGUACAACCAAAAUUUUCGUACAAUUAUGUGGUUAUUGUUCAUUUUAUAUGUUUUUGCGUAUGUUUACAUUUCUGUGUUGUACACGUAAUUUUUGUUCUUAUACGCUAAAUCAAUAAUUUAAUACAACCACGAUUGUAAACGUAUAGCACAUUCUAAAAAAAGUGCAAUACCUGUAUCAAUUGUACAAAAUUUCAAUUUGCAAUAACUUUCCCCUAGUCCCACAUCGAUUCUAAGGGGUUCGGGGGUUGCGUAGUUAAGUCUCCAAGUUUGCCUCAAAUUUAGAUGUAAGGUUUGAACUCUUGACCUUCCGCCUCACAAGAUAUGCGAUAGCCAACUACUGCGGGGGUAGUUGGUUAAUUCGCUGAACAUAUUGGACAUGAAGAUUCCGACAAAUGUCAAAUAAUAUGUUUUAGCCAGCAAAAGCGAAUGUCAAUCAAAUACAGAGGAAUCGCAUCUGUGUUAUCUUUCAAGCCUUGCUGGAUAUGGUUUUGAGAUGCCUUAAGUUUGCCCUUUGUUUAUUAAUCUAAUAGUUGAUUGCCCAGUCGUGGUUCUUAGGGGCCAACUUCUGUUUAACCUUUAGCGCUGUUUCUGUGGUGGGUUUGGAAACUUUCAAUUUCUCAAGGUAGGUGUCUGAGUGAUCUCCGUACUCCAUUAUUUGCAAAAGUCAAAAUUCUCUUUGGUCUUUGUUUAAUGAAAAGCCUUUAAGCGCAUCUAUAUCUAUCCAUUGAAUUAUUUGAUUCUUUACUAUAGUAACGUAUUACUUUCAGUCACUAUAUUGCCAGUUCGCAUUAGAGUCAUAAUGCCUAAAGAGUUACAAAUUGAGAAUAUAAGUUGUAUUUGCUUCAUGAAUAAGUCGAACUCGGAUGUGUAUUAAUCUUAAUACCAUCUGUUUGUGACAGUCCCUCCAUCUUCUUUAGUGCAAAUAGAUGGCUGAAAAAUUAGUUUUCACGUGGAGAAUACCAUUUGAGCCAUAGUGGAUUUAAAGUUUAAAAGCCAGUUGAUCAUAGGCAAAUAAUUUAGCCUAUACCUUUAUCCUUUUUGCCAGCUCUUUUUGGAAGCAGUGGGAUUUGACGAUGCCGAUAAAGAUAACAAGGCAAGAUAUGGAGACCCUACCAUCAUACCCUGUCGAUCGGUUCACGUUUUCUCCAUUCUUGAACUCGCAGGUCAACUUUAGUAACGAAAAAGUCUGAGUUUCUCAGUCAUCGGAAAAAGACAGAAACCUCGGGGAGGUGAUCUCUCCAUUUCAGUGGGUGUCUGGGGGGUCUUUACUUCUUAGCAGCGGGCACCCCUGUGGGGUUUCUAUCCCACAUCGGUUCGGGGGGGUUUGGGGUUUGGAUUUAUUAAGGUCUGCGGGAGCCUUCAAAAGUUGCCGGCUUUUGAAGGUUUCUCGCAGGUCAACUUUAGUAACGAAAAAGUCUGAGUUUCUCAGUCAUCGGAAAAAGAAUUAGAGAUGUCCUCUUUACUAAGGUCUAUAUAAAGGGCUGCUUGUCGAAUCCUGGUCCAUGGAGCAAGGUGUAGAGUCUCAUAGACCAAAAAGGAUACACAAGAAUCUUCAUUCUUCAAGGCAUUGGUUGUUCACUCUCCCUCAAGGGCUUCCCCGACCUGGGCCACGCACGAAUGGCCCCAAUAAUUUAACAGGGGUUAACGUGCCUCAAGGCUAGAGAAGCUCUUGGGGGAGUAUUGAACAGGUCAUGUCUUGCGUGCUUGUGCCAAAAAAUGAUGAUCAUGCCGACAACCAUCGUUUCAGAAGUUUGAGAAUCGUUUCGCAUUACCAAUGGCUUUCAUUGCUCACUCUCCCUCAAGGGCUUCCGAUCGACUUGACUCUUCAAGAGCGCCCGAGCUGAGGCGCUUGGGGAGAGUGGAUAAUGCUAGCCAAUGUUACCGCAUAUAGUUUAGUUAUCAGUUAUCACUGCAGCUGGAAGCCUAGAAUCAAGUGGCUCCUGAGCAACUAUUCCUCCGACCCUGCCAAAAUUAAGUUCUCUGAUCAGGUUGGAAAUAUUUGUGCUAGUUUUUUCUUCCUGCUACCCAUUUGGAUACGAUAAAUACAUGGUAAGAAACAAUCUCCAAGGGUUAACACAUGCAUUACCUAUCCAUGAUUGAUGUUAAGUUGUUAGCCCUAAUUCAAUAAUUGGUAAGAUAUUCUUGGAGGGAGAGUCCGUAUUAAUUUGAAUGCUUGAGAAAUUUUAUUCUGGUCUGGAGCAGCUACAUUCCUUGGUAUCAUCUCAAAACAUUACGCAUACUCGCGUUAGAGAACAAGGAUUCGACAGGCUACCAUACCGAAGGCUCUCUAAUUGUGUAAAAGUGUGACAAUUAUCAAAUUACUCCAUCAACACAAAAAGUUGGACUUAAAAUUCCAACAUACUUGUAAUAGUAGUACUAGUAAAAUAGCGAGUGGAGAGGGUUGUGGAGGUGGUACCACAGAACUUUGACAAAACAGUGCCGUUGGGGAUGCAUGUGAUGAGUAAGUAGUGGCUUGACCCCCACCCACCACCAGGCACCAGGGCCAUCACCAUGCAUGUCAGCUUUUUUGGUUCUCUUUCAAACAUCUUUGUUGAAAAUGGAAACGCAUAAUAUAGCAAGAAGUAGAAACUCUGUCGUCCUCUUCUGCAACUCGUAGGAUCCGUAAGGACAAGAUAGUGAAAAAGUGGGGAUGGAAGGACGGGCCUAUGCAUGAAUGUAUCACAUCUAACUUAAUCAGAAGGAAUCUAUCUAUCUGCAUUUCUUCGUUUAUCGAACCUCAUUGUUUCUGUCCGCAUGUUUUGUGUGAAGAAGAAAGCGAGAAAUUGGCAGCUGGACUUGUGUAUCAGGAUUCUCAGGGGAACCCUGAUUGAACUUCAAAUCAUACUUCUCCCAGUACACUAGCUAGGAACUGUCAACCUCUUUGUAGCAUUUUUAAUUUUAAGCUGUCAGAAGACUCAAAACCACUCUGAUCUUGGUGCUGCUGCUUCACAUUUCACACAUAUACACCUACACUCGCUCUGUGUGAUCGUGUUCCAUUUCAUCAGUAUCCCUUCUUUAGGUUUGAUUUGCCUUGCUCGGUUUAAAAUAACAUUGAACACACACACGCACACGCACACAUUUAUUUAUUUAUACUGUUUCAAUUAGCAUAUUAACUAUGAAUAGGGAACGGUGUUGAAAGCAUAAUUAUGUUUCUCUAUGGAUAAUGAAUUUAAUCCAGCUGACGGAGUCAUUGACUUAUUCUUUCGAGUUAUUGCUUGAUUCGUGAUUGGCUGAUGAGAAAUAUUUAAAACAAACACACAUGCAUCCACACAAGACUUCGAAAGUGAAACUGGAAAUAUUAGGCAUUGGCUCAAUGCGAUGGAUCUUGGACUCUUGGUAUGUGUUACUAGUAACAUAAGAAUCAUAUUUCUGUAGACUGUUACCUAAGGGAGUAUAUCUGAUGAGCAAUGACUGCUAUUUUUUAACAUUUUUUGUGGGGUAGUAGAGAAUGAUGUUAUUGUCUAUUUUUGCCUUGUGAGUGUGGUAGAAAAUAGCAAAUCCUUUCCUUGUGUUUAGGCACAAUAAAGAUAACUUGAUCAAUCCUAAACCAAGUCACACACACUUUCUUUAAGUAAUUACUGCAUCAAAUGGUAACCAUUCAACUACUCGACUCAUUAACACAACAAUAUUCCUAACACAGGUUACUCUUGACUUUAUGACCAAUGCUAGUCGUAAUAAUAAAUAAAUAAAGUUGCAGUUUUAUUGAGUCUCUUUCUUAUUUUCAUUCUAAUUUCUGUGGAACAGAUCCGGCUUCAUAGAAAUAGGUGCUUCCCAAUGAAAGUGUAAGCUGACAAGAAAGCAAAAUGUAUGGUUCAUGUAAUUAGGACCUUAAAAAAUGCAGGAAUGUAUGUGCAAUCUUUUGGCUAGAAGAACUGUUAGAUAUGAGCUCCAGAUCCCAGAUUGUAGACGAUAACUAUCAUGUUAUGAUUUCUAAUAAUUACACCAAGAGCACCCAAAAAAAAAAAAAAAUUAAAGGAACAGACUUCACCGUAGGAGAAGGCCGAAGGACAGGCAGUAAAAUUAUCUCCAAAGAGAAAUAUCCUAGUCCUUAGUGCCUGCUCAUCACUUACAAUGCUCAACACUUCCACCCAAUCUUGCAUCAUAAAACCCUAGUAUCUUAUACUACGCCUUCUCGUACUUGUUUUCCCAUAACUUCUACCUGCAAUGAUGAGAGCACUAAAGUGUGCUACCUACGAAGAGCAGCAUGAAAUAGUAGUGUUUUCCACAUGUUUAGCAUCAAGCAAGCUCUUGAUUUUUCUCCACAAGCCUGACAUCUUUAGCAGAUCUAAGCACAUUUGCUUGAUCAUCAGUGAUUUCUACCGCGAACCCGUCAACGAUGACCAAUGACAGAGUCUUCUUGUAGCUGCCAGGUUCGAGGGUAUUCGCCAACAAAUCAUCGUGCUUCUUGCUUAAGUACAAAUGAAGUUCAUGCGCUCCCCUCUUCGUUCUACGGAAAAGAAUGUUGAUGCAUAUGAUCCACAUGUUUAGGAAAUCACAUAUUAAUGACGGGGCUGGGGGGGGCGGGGGGCGGGCAGAGGUGAGGGGCAAGGGCAGGGGGCGCGGCAGCUGGGGAAGGGCUGGCGGGGGGAGGGGGUAGCGUGCAGAGGGGAGGGGGAAGGGGCAGAGGGGCUGGCGGGGGAAGGAGGCGGGGGGGAAAUGCAGAGGAGAGGAGAAGGGGAAAGGGAGGUCAGAGGGGUGGCGGGAAGGGGAAGGAAGAAGAAGAAGAAAAAAGAGAGGAAAGAAAAGAAAAAUAAAGAGAAAGAAAAAAAAGAAAGAAAGAAAAAAAAGAAAAGGAAAAAAAAUUCACCUUACAAAAACUUUAACAAAAUUUUUUAUCUUAUAAAAACUUCUACAAAAAAUUUUUCACCUUAUAAAAACUUUUACAAAAUUUUUUCAAAAACUUCUACAGUGCACUACAGUAAAGUUUUAGACAAACUCUCAAAAAACCCAGGUUCCAAACAGGCCCAUACUUCUUGGCGACACCUGGGAAAGUUGGACCAGUGCAGCUUACGGCAGGCCUGCUUUUCGGUCGGCUCAGUCACUUUUCCAGCCCAACUUUCGUUUUGUUGCCCUUGGUUUUGCGCUUCUGCAUGCAACUACGGGGAAUCCUUUUGAUGUUUGGGCCGUUUUGGCUUUCUGUAUCCAAGUCUUCUACUGAAGCCCGUGAUCAAGGAACUGCAGCUAAAGUAGAUUAUAGGCCUUACCCCUUUCGGGGCAACGAUUACAAUUAUCCUCGUGUUGCUAGAAUCUUGAGCCACUAGUGUACGCAUGCCAUAGGAGAAGUUAAACUCUCGAUCCAAAAUUUUGCAAAUCCACGUUGAACCCAGGGUCAAUGGUUCAAAAAAGGGGCCAAAACAUAAACUAAACUAUUCGAUAUUCGAAUUGAACUCGAUUCAAUAAAAUAUCAUUCGAGUUUGGUUCAUCAGUUAGUUAAAUCAAACUUGAACAACAUUUUAUAGUCAAUAAACUUUUAAACUUAACUCGAGUUUAAUUCUAUUCCUAUAAAAUUGGAUUUGAUAUGUAAAAAAUUCAAACUACUUGAGCUCGACUUGAUGAAAGCUCAUUCGAAUUCGAUUCUGCAAAACAAAAAAAAAAUCAAACUUGAAUAAAAUUUCAAACUUAUUAAAAUAAUCAAACAAGCUUAAAUAUUAGAAUAUUCAACUUGAUUAGACUAGUUUAUAUCCCUAUCCACAAAACUAAACCUAGCUACAUGGAAAUUGAAUUGUUUUAAAAUUAGAUGGGUGGUAUUAUGUGCAAAGACCAUUGACAAAAAAUUUGCUAUUGUUUAGUCACUUAAGAAAUAAAAAGGAGCAUCUUUUUGUAUGUCUUUUGAUGUCCUUUCUCCUCCAAAAGAUGAUCUAUCCUUUCUCCUACAAAAGGAUAUUCUAUAUAUGCGCAACGGAUUAGUCAAGGCAAAACUCUGGAUAUCAUGACAGGCAACCAAAUAUAUAUAUGCGCAAAAUCACACGUGCCAAUAUAUGUACAUUCGGACGGUAUGCAGUCUAACCCACCACUUUUAAGAAGGAAAUGCAACCCCACCAGUUGAGUUUUGUCCAAUUCCGUGCACUUGUUAUCAUUCUUAAAAUAAUAUUUGAUAUAAAUUUACACAAUUUUAGUGUAAUUGUAAAGUUUACAUUAUUUAAUUAUACUAGUUUUUGGGCCCUGCGCCAGCCUGUGUUGGGGGUGAUGGAUUUUGUUGUGUGAUUGGGUGGAUUUUGUUGAUGGAAAGACCAAGACACCCCUCGAAAUCAGCAGAAUUACCAUCGAAACCCGCUCAUGGUGUUUGUGUGAUUGGGAGGAUUUUGUUGAUGGAAAAACCAAGACACCCCACGAAAUCAGCAGAACUACCAUCGAAACCGACCCAUGAUUGUACUGUAGCAAAUGGGCGUUCCCCCUUUUAUAUAUUUAAGAUAAGUAAACAAUUUUCAUGAAUACAUCAUAGUUGUACAAAUUUACACUAAAAUAUUAUAAGAAUUACAUCAAUCGAACUGAACAAGAGAGGCAUCGGAUUUGAGUAAGAAAUAAAAUAACGCGAUGAUUAGACUUUUUUUUUCCCCUUGUUUUCAAAUUUAAUAAUUACUUCCAAACAGAUUUUUAUUAUUAUUUUUUUUUUGGUGGUGGUGGCCGUCUGAACAAUUCUUGCAUAACAUUCUUGAGGAGGAAGAAAUUUAUAUGUCGGGUAAAACUUAAAACAGUGUGCGCGGGGGCCGCUGUCUGGACUCUGGUUCUCUUUCAAUUUCCCAGAGCCAGGAAAACGACCAAACAGCCCCUUCUCUAAAACCCUCCUGCUUUCUCUAGAACCCCCAAAAUCAGAAGAAACAGGGGAAGAUGGAUUCAGCUCGGAAAGGCCAAGCAAUAUGCGGGCAGGAGGCACUGAAUUUGCUCAACUGCGUCACCGAAACCCCUUACGAUCAAGAGAAGUGCCUCCGUCUCCUUCAGUCGUUGCGCCAAUGCGUCGUCGACAAGGUGCUCAUUAUCUGUUUGUCUGUUUAUGUUUUACUAUGAUGUAUGAUUUGAUACUCCUACUUGUUUUGCGGAGUACUGGAUUUGGUUGUACAUAUUGUGCUUGUUAAAUUGACAAAUUAAGUUGCUGAAGCGGAUUGGGAAAUCAACUGGUUUGCGUUAAUGAUUACGAUUAUGAUUAAUUAAAAUUGAAAUAGAUGAGGAAAGGUAAUGAUAAGGGUUGGAGAUUAAAGGCUUGAAAGUUGCUUGUGUUUGAUCAUUUUCCUUUUUACCAAUUAUUGCUGCAUCGAAAUAAUAAAUGAAGGACCUUUGACGGUAUCUUCAUGUUGAAGUACCUUAUCCGACCCAAUUGCGUGAGACUAUGGACGAUUUCAAUAUCCAUCAAAGUCCAUUUAUAGAAUCAUGCAACCAUGAUUCCCUUUGUUCAGGCAAUGUUGGUUCAGUCAUUGCGAUGCCAAGGGAAAUGUGUUCAUGAGCUGAUCAGAGCUGUAAAAAUCUAAAAAGAGUGUUGAUAACCCAAUUUGGAAUGGAAAUAGAGUAGAACAAUCAUUAGAACUUCUAGUGAGGAAUACAACGACUCGCUGACUUGUUGCCUCACUUUCUUUUCUUUCCUAAUUUACAGUGAAUGGUCCUUAUUUAGCAUUAUGCUGUAGGAGUACAUCGAUUGUUUUGCUAGUAGAGGAGGAAAUAUCUUGAUGACCAAUUGUAAGGUGAUGAGGAGAGACGCGUCUUGUUUGUUGUAGUGGAUAUAAUUGACUACAGUCAGUAAAACAGUCCUUUGUGAUUGUGUAAAAACUUCGAAGUUCUUGCAUCAAAUUGUCCUCAAGUUGUUGGUUAUGUGUUAAAGCUCGUUCCAACUAUUUCUUCUUCAUGUAAUAAUAGCUGACAGUUUUGCCUCCUUGCUUUGCAUGUAGCAUAACAGAUACUUGAUACUUGAAUUUGUAGCUUCUCCCAUGUUAAGUAAAGCGGUUUUGUAUUGAAUUCAACGAAUUUUAGCAUUAUCUUUCCUCCUGUCUUGCUUGCUUCUCUUAGUUAUUGGCAUGAUACCUCUGAAGUAAUCAAUAACUCAGUUGGAAUAGAGAAUGUUGAGGAGAUAGUAUCUUUUUGGUAUUUCUCUGAUUCAUUAUGUCUUGCUAGGUUAGUGUGGUUUUCCCAAAAUCUUUUCCGCUGUUGUAUCUGAAAAAAAAAAAAAAAAAAAAGGUUUCCACUGAUUUUGGGAUGCUAAUAAACACUACUGUUAUCUAAGACUGAGAGUUUGCUCUAUUUCAUACAUAAUGUGCAGUAUUGCUUGGAUUUGUUAUGGGCCAUACUCAUACCCUAUUUUUCUUGCCAGAGAGUGAAGAAAUUCUCAUUGGCCGAAGAAAACCAAGGAAGUGUUGAUGCGAGUAGCGAGAAGAAACAUUAAUCACUUGUGAUUGCUAGACUUGUAUUAAACUUGACCAGGUUGUUGCACCAUUUUUUCAGCUAACAGUGAUUGAGGCUAGACAAUGAAAGAUGAUUGCACAUUGCAUAAUCAAGAGGGCCAAGGUUUUCUGCUUAAUGAUGAUCUUAUCCUGUAUUUCAUACUGAAACAUCAGAAACUCUUCCUUUCAUGUCAUUUUCAAUUUAAAGAGCUCCUUUUGAAGGCCAGGUAGGACUUGUUCUUCUGCACCUUCGAUUUACAAGUUGAUGUUGUCUCUAUGAUCAUUCAAAGCAUUUGAUAAGAACCUUUGGAACGCUCCAGAAAGUUGAAAUUGCACAAUCACAAUUCUUCGUUUAAAAAUAAUUGUUAUCCUUGAACACAGUAGGAUACGUAGUAUAGUUGACAAUAGGGUUGGUGCUUCAAAUUUACUGGAAAUGAAGGUCUAUUCUAGCCAUCAAACUAAUGGUGGUGUACUUGCCAGAAAGUCAAGUUACCAAACUGGCGAUACCCAACAGAUUCUUUGAACACUUAGGCCUUGCUUGGAUUGAAGGUUUUCGUCGGAAAAUAUUAUCGUUUUCCGUGAUCACAUUUCCCUAUCACCUUUUUCCCUCACAUAUAUCAAAUCGCUACAGUAAUUUUUUCAUGAAAAAUGACGGAAAAUGCAAUCCAAACACAACCUUACUCUGCAACAAAUUUAUGAAUUCUGUGCAACGUUGCUCUGUUUGGAUUAUAAAUUAUUUGAGAUAUUUUUACUGCAGCACUUUUUGUGAUGUGAUGUAUGUUAGAUAAAAAGGUAAUUGGAAAGAUAAAAAGGUGUGUUGGAAAUUGUAAUAAUGAUGUAAGCAAAUAAAUUUUAACAAAUAAUUCCUCUAUCCAAACAAACUUGUGUAGCUGGUGUAAAGAGGAUCAGGUUACCUCAGAAUAUUGCUUAUGCAGCUUAGUUUUGUUUCAUCGGAAUUCUCCGAGGCUAGCCUCCGAAGUAAUGUCCCUGCCUCCUCUUUCAUGAUGGCAAGCAUAUAGCACAGAAUUGCUCAGAGCGCGGUAGAUCAGGUGACAAUGGGGGAGCAAAGCUGCGGCCCCUGUUUAAGCUCAUUGCAUAUGACACUAAUCUAAUCCAUUUUGAGCCUCCACUGAGCUCUUGCAAUCUCAGACUGCGAUGACAAAGGAUACACUACCCAUACUUGCAUAGGAUUGCAGCAGAAAGCCUCAGUAUACAACCUCUUCUCUUAGGUUGAUUAAAAGAUCUUGAUAAUUCACCUUUGACGAAGAAAUACAGAAAUAUAGUUUGGAGAUGAGCACAUAGAAUUGGAUCCAGUCAAAUAGGAAGCAAGUUGGGAAAGAUGAACCAAAACCUGUUCUAGUAAAUAGCAGUUUAAUGCAACAAUUACUCGAAAGAAUCCCAUAGUAAGAUGCUUAAUGUAUGUCCCAGGACGACAUUACAUAAGCAUUCGUGAAAGUCUUUCUAACAAUUUACUUGUGCAUUUCAAUUCACUCUUAGCCUAUAACUCUCUCCUGGGCAAUAGUCGGAUGGAUUUAUAAUCAAAUAACCUGGAAGUUGAGGGGAACUUCCAGGGUGUGGAUGAGAUAUGUAAGCACCAGAGCCAACAACAUCAAGACGUAAGCAAUCCCCUGGUCAAUAGUUGUCCCUGAAAUAUGAAUACAAAAUCAAAACUUUUAGGAAGCUUUCAGUGAUAUGCUUUACUAGCAGGCAAGCCUGAAAAAGUAACGAUUUAGGUAGGAAUAACUGUAUCAUGCUAGGAAUUGUGUCUUAAACCACGGAUUUACAUCUUCUACGUAGCAAAUAUCCAUGAAGUAAAUAGGAACCAGAAAAAAUAAAAAUGCGAAAAGAUCCUGUGUCGUCAUUGUCAUUAAAAGUCAGGGCAAGUAAAUUGUAUAGUUGAUUUUGUUUCAGAGGAUGACUUCUGCAAUGUAUCAUAUGCUCCUUUUUUUUUUUUUUUUUUUUUUUUUGGAAAUCAAUUAACUAAUUAUUGUCUUGAAACUCGGUCGGUGCAUAACUUGAUUACUCAAUAAUCAAGUAAACUGCCCGGCGAUUGCUUUUCAUUGUAUCACUUCAGUCAACCAAAACUCAUAGUGAUUUAAGUAUUUUACAGUAAAAAUUAGUCAAAAGGUCAGUUGAAAAUAUCAAUUACAGUUUGUCAAUCUCAAAACUCCAAAAGAUGACAUUAUUGUCAUGUUUAGCAAAUAGCUGCUGCAACAAAACUAUAGGCACUCUACGCACAAGAAGAAGAGAAGAUCUCCCAGAUCCCUCCUCCAAAGGAAACAAGGUAAUGCCAUUUUCACCAUAAACCCAUGGCCAUCAAAGAAUUUCCCGGCCAACCAUGAACAGCAAUCCCACAUUUUUCUAAGAUCCAGAACAAGAAAAAGAAAACAAAAUAAAAUCCGCACUAUUGAACAAGCCAAACAAAAUGGUACACAAAUGACAGUAAAAGAAAAUUUUACCGUCACUGGUGGGAGCAGGAGCCGGGGCUGGAGGGAAGCUAUGAUGAACAUGACCCUCAGCAGCAGCAGGCAUAAAGACGGUGAAAAUAACAGCAAUUAGGACGACAACGACGAGGCCAUUGCACAUUCUUUUAUUGAUCUCCAUCUCUCUCUCUCUCUCUCUCUCUGGUUGAUCUCUUACUCUUUGUACUAAUCAAUAAAUAAUUUUGCUCUCUGGCUCUCACUCUCUAUUUCUGCUACAGCGGUCCGAAAGGAAUGAAGCUGCUAUAGUCUUCAAUAAUAUGUUCCUACAAGGAAAUUUGUACUGGUACUAGACUACGAGUCUUCGAAUGGAAAUGGUGACCACUUUUGCAGCUUUAAUUCCCCUACUUGUACCCCCUUUUUUUUUGUGUCCCACUCUUCUUUUGGAACAGAUCUAACAAGAUUCUAAACAAGUACGUGAAAGGCUGCAAUGAUUUCUUUCUUCCUCAUGCCAACUUGCCCAUUUUUACUUUUGCCGUAAGACUAAUCUUUUCAAUUUUUUUAAAAAUUUUUUACUUAAGGUUGCUGGUACUACUUAAUUGAGGCUUAAGAGUUUUUCCUUAAUCAAAAUUAGAUCAGAAAAGUGACUAAACGUACGAAUAAACAAAAAAAAAAAAAAGUAUGUAAAGUUGUAUAUAUAAAAUAGUAAGUUGUGUAUAUUAGAUCAGAGGUUUCUCACAAUUGCAGAGAUCUCCCCUCAAGUUUAUUAAAUUAUAUCUACCUCCCUUACUUUUACUGUUAUAUAACAAUAUCCUAAACUACCCUUUUUGUACAAAAAUAAAACAAAAUUUAUUUUGCCAAUUGCUUUCUUCCAUAUUUUAACCAAACUCACUAUAUUAACAAACUAACCUAAUAAAUAGUCUAAUUUGAAAUUCUAAACCCAAGCAACCAAAGCAUGCAUUCAAUCUUGAAGAUUCGUUCCGAAGCAUGCAUUCAAUCUAUUAUCAUAGCAUGCAUUCGUUCUAUUAUCAUAGUCAUAAAAUUGUUUCUCCCAAAGCAUGCAUUCAAUCUUGAAGAUUCGUUCCAUUCUUCAAAAAUAUUCUCACUAUAUGGUUCCAUGGAAUAGUCAAAUUCACAAUCAACUGUCCUUAUGGUUGCAUAAUCUCCAACACAGAACGCCAUGAUUUGAUUCCAUAUAAGUGGUUUAACUCCUAUUAAAUGAGCCACAUUAUGGCCUUGAAGAAAAUCCUCAGGCGAGAUUUAGGCAUGGAUGAGAUUAAUCAAAUUUAAGAGAAGGAAAGACAUCAUCAUUAUGACUAUAGAGAUCUUCAAGAAAUUCAUUUUGCCAAAAAUCAAAAUUCUAUUUACAACUAAUCACACCCCAAACUUCAAACCCAAUGCCUACACCUUUUCAAAACAAAAUAAUCUAACCUACCAUUAAAUCUCCAAAUAUGUUAUCAUGUUAAAUAUAGAGAAGCAACUCUAUCUCCAUAGCAAAACCAUAACCAACAAUUGUCAAGCAUAAAAAGAAAUAUAAAUGUACUUAUUAACAUCUUAAAAAAUUUUUUGGAUAAAUGAUAAACAAAUUAUCAAAUUUACUAAUUUUAGCCCCUCUUCGUCUUUUGGCCAAUGAUUGCAUUAUUUGUUCCAUUAUUAUUGUGUGACUCUUCAUUUCCUUUUUAGAUUGACUAUGUAAUUAAAUUUUACUUCAACCAUCAAAUCUAAUCGCUCAACUAAACUUAUGAUUUGACAAUUCCAAAGAGAAAAAAGGAGAAAUAGGAAUAUAUAGUAGAGUUUAACGGAUCACUUGUGGUGUGAUUGACUGCAAUUAUAAGCAAUAGUUAGUGAUAAUUUGAGAGUGAAUUGUAGGAGAAAGGGGUUGAUGGAUGAGAACGAAGUGACGGUAAGUGAGAGCAAAUGGACGUUGGUCGCAAUUUGUAAACAAGAUAAACGAAAAAGUUAGGUUUCUUUUCUUUUUUUAAUCUCAUUUCAUUGUACUGUGAAUUAUUUAUUAAUUGAAUGUCAUUAUAGUCAUUUUAUUGUGACAAGGGAGGUCAGUGUAAUUUAUAAAACCUGAGGGGAGCCGAGUGAAAUUGUCAAAAACCUCAAGGAAGGUUUGUGAAAUUAUUCCUAUUAAGUAUCAGCAGGUACUCUAGAUUCUCUGUUAAAAAAAUCCAUACUUAAUAAGUCACCAAUACCCUCGAUUAUCCAUUACAUGAAUUUGUAUAUAUAAAAUAGUAAGUAGAAUCAUGAAACCCGAUCUAGAUUGUAAGAUGUUUUACUUAAAAUCGAAAGGUCAAAGUUUGAAUCAUCAAGGGAAAAAGUGAGGAACAUAUUGAUCAUUUUAAAAAAUUAAAAUAUAAAAUAUUGCCCGUUAAAAAAAAAUCCAUACUUUAUUAGUAGGUUUAUAUAAGUAUUACAUAUCUUUUUGCAAAAAUCUACUCCUGUAGUUGAGUUGUGCUACACAAAUGGCCUUCAUGUUGUCCUAUUGCACAUGAUUGUAGAUUAAUUUUCAAAUAUUUCAUUUUCUAAACCGCAUAAAAUAAUGUUAUUUGUCAUCCAAGAAGAUAAUGUGAGGUUAUAACGAAAAUAAGAGAAAGGAAAAAAAUUGGAUGCUCCUUGAUUUACUUUUUGUCAAAAAUGGUUGAUGUCGUCAAAGUUAUAAGUACUAAGUUUAUCUUAGCACGUGGUAAUAAAAAGAUAGGUGUGAAGUAAAAGAAUGCCUAAGAAUCUCUAAUAUCGCCUGCCAAAUCAACAAAAUUACUUGCUAUUUUGGAUUUCUUGUAGAGAAAGAAGUGGCUAGUAUGGUCCUCCGGUUCAAGUCAUGUUGUUAGACCCGGACCGAAUCUACCAGUUCGAGCAGUUUAACCGUGAACUAGCCUUCAUCUCGAGCUGAUUUGUAACACAAAAUCAUUUUGAUAAAAAAUCAGUCAGAACCAUUCAAAAUUGGCUAAACCAGUGACCCGAUUUCGACUGAUUGACCCGAUUCUCAAACUUUUCUUUCUUCUUUUCCCCAAACAUAAUUUGAGUUACCUAAAAUGUAACACAUUCAUAUAUUAAUAGGAAUAAGAAAACACCACCAACUUAGUGUAAAUACGUACCAAAAUCAGUCACUUUUCUGAAUGAUCUCUAAAUCAAGAUGUUUUCAUCCUUAUGACCUUAUCAAUUUAGUAUCAGUGAUUUCAACUUGUAUUAAUUUAUUUUAAUUUAGUUUUUCAAGUAGUAGUCAUAAAUUUACAUUUUUAUAUAUAAUUAUUAGGUGUAUAUAUGAUUGCAAGUCUAAUAUUUUUGGAACAUUUUCUAUGAUUAGCAGAAUAUAACCAAAAACUUAAUUUCAAUAUUUCUGAAACUUAUAAAAAUAUAAAGUAAUUAUGAUAUCAUAUUGAUGUCAGUGAAUUUUUAAGAAUGAUCCGACCAAUCUGUCAAAUUAACCUUUGAUCCAAUAGGUUAGCCGAGUCGUUAUCCGGUCCGAAUUUAAUAACAUUGGUUCAAGUCCCUCAGUUUUCGUAAUAAAACAAAUUUUAAUUUUAUUGGGUAAAUGAAGUACUAUUUAAUUUUCGGUCGUGCAAUGCAACCACUCCAUUAACAGUAUGUCCAAAAUUUAGAUACCUAUUAGUAUUUGGUUUCUCGAGAAAUAAUCCCCGUUAUGAUUUAAGAAAUAAAUGCAUAAUAGUCGUAUCGGAUUCGGAUCUAAUGACAUGAAUAUAUGCUUAGGCAUUGUUUGUUGUAACGUGAAUAUGACCAGAACUCAAAAUUCUCUGGCGUAAAAAGAUACCAGACGAGACACCAUAUCCAUAUGUAGUAGUCAUGGCGAAGAAGAACAGAUGAAUUGCUGGAUAAACUCACCAUGUGUAUGGAAGGUCAGCUGCUGAACCUGGAACUAUAUAGGAGCUACAUAUAUAGGAUCGAGUUAACUAAACCUAGAUGCAAUCGACCUUAAUCUAUCUUUGUCAUUGCAUAUCCUAAAUUUCUCGCAUAAAUGACAAAGCCCUUCUCUUUAGAUCUUUUAAACCUUAUUUUCUCCUCCUCCUCUUUAGAACUCCUUCAGUCAAAAGCUCCUCUCUUCUAACUCUCUCUCUCUCUCUCUCUCAUGGGAGAGAGACUAGACAAAUAUGAUUUUUACUUAUAGGAGUAAAUUCUUUCAUAGGAUUUUCUAAUGAGAGACUCUUCCUUUCUAGAAUCUCCCUAUGAGAGUUUCUUCUCUCUCUAGAGUGUUCUAGUGAGAGUUCUGAGCGUUUUUCUUCAUGAAAGUUUUGUUUAGUUUUUAUAUCUUUGUAUGAAAUUUGAAAUUUUAUACAUCUAGUUUUUCAAAUCUACAAUUUCUCUGUUCAUUAGUAUUAGAUCUAAAUUUCUCUUUUGGCUUGGCCCUGCUUUUAAUUAUGUCUGAUUGUUGGAAGACAUGCACAGGUCUAUGGAAUUGCAAUGAUUCAUUUGAUUGAAAAAUGUGUUAAGAGUUUAGCUUUAUUUUUGUCUUGUAUUCAGUAUUGAUUUCAGGUCUGUAUAUAUCUGUAUCGCGUUUGAUUUGAUAUAUUUUUACCAUUAGUGCAAAUUUAUUGAAUAAAAUGGUCUUUUAUCAAAAAAAAAAAAAGUUCUAAACCAUUAUCAUUAUCUCAAAAGAACUGUAGCAAAAAUGUCAAAGCAUUAGCUCAAGCCAUUAUCACACACUAAAAUGUUUAAUGACUUCAUCUUGCUAUGAUAAGUCCCUUUUACGUCACAAAUCGGGUGUACGUGCGUGGAUCAAUAUAACAUACGAGACCGGGCACUUUUGUUCUAGUGAUACAAGUAGUAUUUUGAUUCGAGCAACUUGAUUACAAUCUAACCGUGACGUCGCGUCAUACGUGGGGAGAAUGCAAUAAAACCGAGGCGUUUUCCCACUUGUACAGUUCGUUUCAGAAGCAGGUUUUGAGUAGUCUCGAUCCUGAUUUUGAUCAAUGCAAGCGUGCUAUUUUAAUUAUUGCUUCUCAGCAAGAUUACCUGGAUAAGAGGGCAGGCAGAUGCAUUUGUUGCAAUAAAUGAGAGAGCUACUAGACUGAGAGUUUUUUGAACACGAAACUACAUGCAACAAUAAUUGCCGGAACUCAUUAGCCUUUCCAAUUGAGCAGAGAAAAGAAAAUUCAUUGGACCAGUGAUGGUAUAUAUGGCUACAUGCCUGCUACCUUACUGUUUUCUUUUAAGAAAAUUUAUGUACUAGUUGCGUUCCAGGUUGAUGCAAUCACUGAAUCUCUUUCCACGUGGAAGCAAUCAAACCCAAGUGAAAUCCUAACAAUAAGAGUUGCAAAAUUCUCAAACCCCUUGUGCUUUUCAGUUUCAUAUGUAUUCACCUGGUUUUAUUGUCUAUCGAGCCUUGGGGUGUGUGACUUUAUAUAUGGAUGACAAGAGCAAAUGAGUCGGUGAUCGACGCACAUAGAACAUGCACCCAGAACUAACCACAAAUUUAGAUGAGCUUAAUCUGCAUGCCCUGUACUUAGAUGUGGGCAUAUAACUCAGACGUUAAUUUCUCUUUAUCAGUAGGUAGAUUACAGUAGUAUUAUUCUGGCAAUUGGCGAGGCGAGAUUCAGGGUUUGGAGUAGGUAUGGCUGUACUUCUAUACAAUAUCAUGCAGUUUUUUGACUUAUGAUAUAUUUCGAUGUACAAAUAUUGUGUAUGUAAACAAAAAAUUUCUUACAUCUGGUACAAAAAUACAACAUGAUUUUACAUCAAAAAAUUUGUAACAAAUACAACACCUGGACUGAACAGAUCGCGUUCCAUCACAAGCGCAAGGAUUCGAGCUAAUUAGGAAGCAACAACGUUGUGAACAAAUUUGUUUUGGUUGUAGUGGAUCAAAGCAGAUGCAAUCACGCAACUUUAACUUGGCAUUAGCAUUAAUCCGGAAUUUCUUGUUCUAUCAGGACAUGGUAAAUAAUUAAGUUAGUAUCAAGAAUCUGGAAAGCUGCUUAAUUUCAAAGCUACGCACCGUCAGACUACACAUAUUCGAUUAACUUCCGAAAUUCCAAACUUAUUGCAUUGAACAAGAGCUUAUAGUUUAAUUACAGAGGGGGACUCAUGCAUGGGAAGCUGAUCAUCAAACUCGUUUUAACAAGUACCAUGAUUAACACUGCUACAUACCCCAAUCUAUUAGUAGUAUAUAUUACCUAGUAUAGGAACAAGUACUGCAAGAAACGUAGCAGACACAUCGAACGUGCAUGACGCAGAGGGAUUGGAAUUGUAUAUUAGCAGUGCGUCGUAUUUAAUUAAUACUGAUCAGGCCAGAGGAAAGCUCCCAUAGCAAACUUCCUCUUCUGAUUGAGGUCACCAGCGGCGGGAAGUCCGUAGGCUUUGAGCAGACAAUCGAGUUGGGGUUCGGGCAUCUUCUCGUAGUCAGUCUUCUUGAACCUGGGGUAGUGCAAAGGCAUCUGAAAUGCGCAACAGGAGUUGCUGCUGCUGCUUCUGGUCCCUAAAGAUUGGUUUUUCUGGUGGUAGCCGUUUGGCAUAUUUAGACCAGAAUUGUAAUUGUUGCGUGUAGCAGAGGUAGGAAGGGAAGCUGCUCCAUUCAUGAUUGCUGCUGCAACUAUUUUUGGUUUUUGGUUUUUCGUCUCGGGAAACUAUCCUUUGGUGAAUGAAACGAGAGUUGGCCCAUGCGUACACCUUUAUAUAGGAGUUUGGACGUGGGAUAAUGAACAUUCGAUAACUUUCCACUUUUUUUUUUUUUAUUUAUUUGGAAUGCACUCUUUUUUUCCCCUUCUACCCUUCUCCCCAAUGAUUAGAUCAGGAAUACACUUAUUAAUUCACUUCAUCUUUUAGCUAACAAUUAGGACGUCCGAUUUGCUGGUGCACUCUUUCGUUUUUCUUUUCUUUUAUAUUCUAUAGCUAGUUUUUCCCCCACUUUUUCCGCUCUCCAAUUUCUAUAUUACAAGUAGUAGGAACCUCAAACAAAAUCCCAAACAUAAGUAAACCAAAAAGCACACUGAACCAAUUAUAAGUAAAAUUUUGCUUUAAUAAGUAGCAUGAAACUUGAACAAAGGGAGCCUAGGGCUCCAUUUGGAUUCCUCAAUCUUGAAAAACUAACAAGUUUUUCAUAUAUAAUGUUACAGUAAUAUGCACACAAAAAAAAAACGCGAAAACAGCACAUCUAUACAAUAUAUCAAAAUCAAUUCCAAAUACACAAAAAAAAUAUAUACCACCACCACCACUAACCACAAAAAAUACACCACUACCCCCUGCCCCUUCUUUCUUCUCCUCCCUCUUUCCCUCCCCUUUAGCUAGGAGAGGGAAGAUAAUAUGAUUUCAUCAUUGCCCCUCUUUUAUUAAAUUAUUUAAUUAAUCUAAUAUCAACCUAAAUAUUAAAGAAAACAUUAGAAUUUAUUGUUUAUCAUGAGGGAUUAAAUCACAUAUGGCAUCAAAAAUAGUAUACCAUUCUACAUAUUUUACUUAAUGUAAGAUCCAAAUUAUUUUUUAAUUACAAACUCAUUAUCAAACAUUAUCAAUAAUAAAUAAUAAAAAUAAUCUAUAAACAAAAUAUUACAAAGAACAAACUUUAAUGCCAUAAAAAUCUCGGCAACUAACCUUAAUAUAUUGACAAGAAUAUUUGUAAUGUUAAAUUUUGUUUUGUGUAAUAUUUUGGCUGCAAAUUUUUUUAAUUAUUUGUUGUUAAUCAAGUUUGACAAUGGGUUCAUAAUUGAAAAGAGUAACUUUGAUCUUGUAUUAACGCAAAAUAUAAACUAGUAUACUAUUUUUUGAUGUUAUAUGUGAUUUGAUUCCUAAUGAUAAACAGCAAAUUUUAGUAUUUUUCUUUAAUGCGUGGGUUGGUAUUAAAUCAAUUAAAUAAUGUAGUAUAUGAAGGGCAAUGAUAGAAUCAUAUUAUUUUCUCUCUCCUGAUAUCACUUUUUAAUUAUUGAUUGGGCCUAAAUGCUCCGAGAUAAUUAACCUCAAGAGAGGUUAGUAUAAUUUUCGAAACUUGGAGGAAGGCAAGUGAAAUAAUGAGAAACCUUAGGGGAAGUUUCAUAAAUUAUCCCACUAAAACAAGUCGUAUUCGCGAAGUUACAAAGCGUAUUAAUUUCUCCACUAAGAAAAAUACACUCCCCUGAACACGACAAAACCUGCAAACUAAUGCUAAUGUCGGGCUCACACAUCAAAACUCAAAACUACCCGUUUAUUACAGCAGCCUGUGAAUUAUAUACUCUGAGAAAAUGGUGGCCGUGCAGAUGCAACCCAAGGGGUCGGGCAUGCAUUAACGUUCAAGAAAGGGAAGGUUGUGGAAGGCAGCGACUUCCUCAUCCACUAAGAUUCAUGGAAGCCAUAGCCGCACAUUCCAUUCCAUGAAUCUUACGACUUGAGACAACCAUACUUUAAUUCCCAAUAUUAAAUGCACCUGUAUUCAUUAGACUACUUGAUAUGAUAGCCCAAAUGCUGUUGAAUUUACGUAGCCUAUUGCAGUUUCUUUUAGGUUGCUAUUUACAUGGUAUUGCAGCGUUCUGUAAUAGCGUGACACAUAGGUUGCUCGGUCAGUUUGACAUGCAUUGUUAAUUUGGGGUUAUUAGAUUCCACUUCCAAUUAUUUUUCUGAAUUACUAUUCAUCCUAGCCCCGAUUCAUUUACGUGUCUUGUCAUUUUGUCCUUGGAUUUUUUUGUCUCAAAAGAGAAAUUCUAACAAGGAAAGAGCGAGGAGGGAUGGGAUUUAAGAAGUGGAGAGGGAGAUUGAAUAUUUGAAUUCAGAAACUAUAAUUUCUUCUGGUGUUUCGACUUUAAUCAUUAGAUCGAUACUUAUUCGGUUUAUUAUUGAAAUUUGUUAUAACAUUGACAUAUACAUUUGUACUUAUUAUUGAUUUUUUUUCUAUUGUGUUUUUAGGUAUUUUUUUAUUUAAUUGAGAGAGAAUGAAGCUUGUAAUGUCUGAGUUAAAAAAGAAAAAAGAAAAGACUUCUCUCUUUUAUGUUUGCACAAUGCCGGUCAACCGUGGUUAAUCAGUAGAAAACGGUUAUCAAGUUGUGGGGCCCCCACAACUUGGUCCAAUACUUUUAAAUUUGGAAGAGUUAUGUUAUUAUUUGCAAAAAAUUUAAAAAAAAUUGCAUCAUUUUAUAAGCACCUUUUUAUUUAUCUAUCAAACUACCUUUUUAUCCCAUAUAAAAAUGCUACAAUAUUAUUUUAAAAAGUUCUUCCAAAUUUUUUAUUCAAAUAUGCUCAUUGGGAGAUUAUUUCGACAACUAAUCCGAAAUAAUACUGAUCACCUAAUUUAUAUAACAUAAAAAAAAAGAUAGUUAUAAAUAUAAAAAAGUGAUUAAAUUAUUGAAAGAUAUAUUUACGAGACGAGUAAAAUGAUAUUUCCUUUUAAGAGUGGAAAUGGAGGAGGAGUGGAAUAAAACUUUUCCCUGGAAAUAUUAAAAUCUAAAGCUAAAGUGGCGCGAAAUUCACGGAAUUGGUCUUGAGCGGGAGUCCACAAGAAACGGAAAUUUCAACGGCCAUGGUGGAGCAGUCAUGUUGCACUGGUCAAUCAACGGAAAAAUGAACGAAAAAGAUAAGCCAAAAAAAAAAAAAAAGUAAGAAAUUUGUCAAAGCUGAGAAAUUCUCUGGUACUCUGUUUGGACCAACGAAAAGCAGUUACGUGAUGAAUUGAUGAUGACAUAAACCUUUUGAUACUUCGGUUUCCAUUGUCAUCAGCUUUAUUUUGGAUGUUUUGGUAUUGCACGCACCCACCUCAGUUUUUCUAUUUUCUCGUUUAUCGUUUGAUUCUGUAGGUUUUUGCAGCAUAAGCUGUCAAUUUUGACCGACUCAAAAAGAGGAAAAAAAAUUGCUAAAUGGGUUAGCUAAUUUCCAAUAACUUUCAUAGCUUUGUUCUCUUACAAAAUGGCGGGUUCCUUGUAGGAGACCCGCCUGUGAUGAGUGACCAGUACCUGUAGGGAUUGACGAUUUCUUCUGUCAGGUAACUAUUUUCUUAUGUUGCAUGUUCUACCCUUUCUUUAUCUCAUGAAUUUUGCUUGACAUUGACGUGGAUGAUAUGAUGAAUACGUUCAAAAAACUUUGAAAUGAAUGCGUCAAGGGAAUAAGUUUUGGCUUAAUCACUUGCUAUUGAAAUGGAAUCACUCCAUGACUCGAAAAUUUUUCUUGAUAACUCACUCAGGGAUGCUUCUUGUGUUUGAUGCAUGAUGAGAUCAGGAAUUGCUAAACCAUGCACCUGUCUAUUGUUGAUUUUCUCCUUGGCAUGAUUGCGUAAUAUUGUGGUCUAAACUAGGAUGCCUAUCUUCCAUUUUCUUUUUCUUUUUUUUUUGGGUGCUAGGCCUUGAAGCAUUCUGUUCUUCUUGAACAUUGGUUGCAUCUUCAAGGCUUGACUGCAUAUUUUGGUGUUUCCUGGGGCUCUAUAAGUUGUGCGCCACGGCUUAAAUGGAACAGUUCCGCCAGAUUGGGGAGGUUGUGGGAGGUUUGAAAGCUCUAAUGGUUUUGAAACAUGAUAUUCCAAUCAACCAGAGACAAUGCUGUUUGCUUUUCGAUAUGUUUGUGUUGGCUUUUGAAACUAUUUCGGAUGAAAUCAGGCAAAACUUAAGGCUAGAUGAGAGGAAUGUCAAGUGGAAAGCUCUCGAGUUUCCUCUGAAAGAGCUUCAUAGGGUAUUCAAGGAAGGUGAACAGUACAUAAGAUUGUGCCUGGAUGUCAGGGAUUGGUGGGGGAAGGCAAUCAGUCUCCAUCUCAACAGGGACUGUGUUGAGUUUCACAUUCACAACUUGCUUAGCUGCUUUCCCGUUGUCGUUGAGGCUGUUGAAGCUGUUGCAGAAUUCUCGGGUGCAGACCUGGAAGAUAUGCAAAAAAGGAGAGUUGCACUAAUGAGAAAAUAUGAAGCAGAUUGCAGUGAUCCAAAAUUCUUCCAGUGGAUGCAUGGUAAGCAGUAUUUGGUGCCUCGAGAGAUAUGCAGCCGCCUACAAUCUGCUGGGAAAGAAGAUAGAUGGUUUCUCCUCGAAGCAAUAAGAGAAAAGAAAAGUGCAGUUCCAUCUACGUUGGCAAAGCAUGAGCACAGGCUUGGAGACCUGUUGCUGAAAAAAUUAAGUGGAUCGGAGCCACCAAAACUGAAGCUCCUGCCAACUUCAGUUCUAGUGGGAGCACAUGACUUCUACGUGAAGCGGAGGUUAGGAUUAGGUGAGGGACACAUGAAAGAAAUCCAGUGGCUGGGGGAAAGUUUUGCUUUGAGGACCUUCUUUGGAGAGAUAGAACCAUUACACGAAGAGAUUUCUCUAGUUCUUUCACUCUCCCAUCCCAACAUUUUGCAGCACCUCUGCGCUUUCUAUGACGAGGAGAGGAAAGAGGGCUUUUUAGUGAUGGAGCUUAUGCACAAGAAUCUUAAAAAUUACAUAAAAGAGAAUUGUGGGCAAAGAAAGCGAAUUCCUUUCUCUGUUCCAGUUGCGGUUGAUAUCAUGCUUCAGAUUGCUAGAGGACUGGAGUAUUUGCACUCAAGAAAGAUUUAUCAUGGGGAACUGAACCCAUCUAACAUCCUUCUAAGAGCUAGACAUUCAUCCACUGAGAGUUACUUUCAAGCAAAACUCACUGGAUUUGGAUUGGCCUCUAUCAAGAGUUUUGCUCGAUCUCAACAUUCGAGUGUUGACCCUGUUAUAUGGUAUGCCCCAGAAGUUCUCGCUGAACAAGAGCAGCCAGGAAAAAAGGGCAACGCCAAGUAUUCUGAAAAAGCUGAUGUCUACAGUUUUGGGAUGCUCUUUUUUGAACUUUUGACAGGGAAAGUUCCAUUUGAAGACAGCCACCUCCAAGGGGACAAGAUGGUUCGAAAUAUUAGAGCAGGAGAGAGGCCACUUUUCCCAUAUCCAGCGCCCAAAUACCUGGCAAACUUAACCAGAAAAUGUUGGCAUCCAAAUCCAUUUAUCCGUCCGAGCUUUUCUUCCAUAUGUAGGAUUCUACGCUACAUUAAAAAGGACCUCAUAAUUAAUCCUGAACAUGGUCAACCUGAAUCACCACCUCCACUUGUGGACUACUGCGACAUAGAAGCAGCGUACUCAAAGAAAUUCCCGGGGGAGGAGAGCCCUGAUUUGAGCCCGGUAACCGAUAUUCCCUUCCAGUUGAAUGCUUAUAGACUUGUUCAGAAAGAAAAGAGUUGCGGAAGCUCUAAAGACAAGAACUGCGAUUUGGGAAGCGAAGAACUACCUCAAAGGCCAGCAUCAAUAUAUGGUGAUGAGCAUGUGGCCGCAAUAGAUGAUCUAUUUUUGGUACCAAGUGAUCGAAGGUCAGUUUGUUCAGAAAUAAUUGAAAGCAAGAACAUUCGGGCGGCAUAUGAUGAAAGGUCGGUUAUCUCUGAGAUUCCACACAAACUAUUCUUCUCUGAUCAGAGAUCAAUUGGUUCUGAGAGUCCGGGGAGGAAAUCUCUAUUAGCAGCUCCAACUGAGCAAAGGCCAAAUGUUGCUGAUACUCCACAAAGGAAAGUCUCAGUGGCAGUAGCAGUCGAUCAAAUCUCCUCUCUUUCUCGAACUCCAGAAAGAAAAGUUCCUCCAACAGCAACAAUCAAUCACAAGACAAAGCAUUCUGAGAACCUGGGGAAGGAUAUGGGGUCAAUAGCAGAUCAGACGACCGCUGAUUCUAAGUCUCAAGAUGGAAAUUCCAAGUCAAAAACUGCAGCUAAGCUGCAUGAACAAAGUAAUGGACGUUCCAAUGUACCAGAAAAAGAAAUCAAAUCGAAAACAGCUGCUGACCCUGUUCCAGUUACUUUUGGAGCUUUAUCAAGGAAAGUUUCGUCAAGGAAAAUAGCUCAUCAAAGAAAACUUUCUGAGAUUCCAGAAAAGUCUGUCUCAGCUUCCUUAUUAAAUCCGAAGUCAAAUUCUUCCAGUAAGAAAAGUGAACCAACCAGACCUGCCGCCAAGCCCUCUCCUCCCAAGAAAUCGGACAAGAAGCAUUCCAUGAACAAGAAAAUGAAAGAUGUAAACUCGGAAAAAAAUCCAGGUAAAUUUUUAUUCUUCCAGAAUAGGUAACUGUAAACCUGUUAUUGAGUUUCGCCGUCAAAUGUCCACGUACAUUAACAUAACAACUGCAGACACGAAAAACCUUUCACCCAUUCUGUUAUGAUGUUAUGUAGGAAAUUCAAAAGAUAACUUACCAAGGUCUUCGUCUGCAAGAAUAUCACAAACGAUUGCAUCAUCAUCAGCAGCAGCAGCAGCAUCACCAACAAGAGGAACAAGGUUUUCAUCAACAUUUGCGUUGAAAGGGUAUAUGUCACCACAAGCAUCACCACUGCAUCCAUGUGCUCGUUGCUGCCGGACAAGCAGAGAGGCCAUCUUGUCUUCACCAGCAAUGAGCCCAUGCAGAGCUAGACUAACGCAUGUAUCGGAGACGGAGAUUGCAUAAUCAUCAGUUAAACUUUGCUUGAACAGCUCAUUUUCAACUGGAGAUUUUUAUGCAAAAAGCCAGCUCGAAUAGUAGUACAUGCUUAAAACAAGCAAUUUUGCAUUCUCAAAAGCCUCCUCAAUGUCUUUAGUUUUUUCUUUUCAUUUUUUGACACAAAACCAAGAAACCUAUUUCCAAUGGAGAUCAACUGGCAUAGAGUUUAGACUAUAGCCGACUAAUUAGCGGAACUUUAAGGGCCCCUGCUUUCAGGGUUUAUGUUACCACUGAGUUGAGACCUCAUUGACAAUGUAUUAGCUAUUCCAUUGGUUUUACUGUAAUUCAAUUUCGAAAUUCUGAGGCAUCAAAUGCUGAGUCUACUAUAACCAUCCAGCUUACCUCCCGUGGGUAGGUUCUACAAGUCCCUGUUAUCGCCAACGCCACAGAUAAUUUUAUUCAGCCAGAUAAAGUUCUGGGAUAACGCAGUUUUCCUGCCAAAAGUUUGGCUUCUGUGUCCCUAAUGUUUUGAUCAACUCUUAAAAUUUUUAAUUUUAUGCAAUUCAAGACAGCUAACGAGACAUUGUAGGCAUAACUAACAAUUAAAAUCAAAUGACCUCAGUCGAAAUCUUUUGCUUUGCAUUUUUUUUUCCUUGAGAUUCGGAGUUUCAACCAAUAGAAUCCCUUAAAUGUCAAAUAAUCAUACUUAUGGUUUCAAAAAAGAAAUACAAUCUGAGUUUAAUUAAAUAUAUAACCUUUGUGUUCUUAAAUCCCUAUAGAAAUUUUUUAAAAGCACUUCAUAUGGUAUGAUACUGUCCUUUAGUAGUCUAAAGAGCAAAUCUUUGUUAAAUUAGUGACAACUGAAUAAAUAUACACAGAUAAUUUAUAAAUAAUAAUUAGCUGAAAAGGGGGAGAAUACUAAUCUUAGUACAUUGCUCUGUUGUAACUACUAGUACACAAAUUUUUGCAAUACUUGUGUGUGUAGGUUUCAAAUGAUUAUAGCUAGAAAUUGAGAUUAAAAUAACUAGUGAAGGUAACUAUCAAUACGAAAUGCUUUAGCUUUUUUUUUUUAAAAAAAAAAAUUUCCUUUUGUUUCUCUCAGUCUUUCCUUCAUAUUCAAACCUAAUAGUCCAAUAAUGAUGUAUUUAAGUAUGUAUCUUAAUGUCUGAAAAAUUGAUAAUUUUAUUGAAUAAUUUAAAUAAUUCUGCAAAAUACCUAUUUCAUUUGAAACUUAAUAAUUGAUAAUUCAUUGAAGGGCAAAAAGAAAAAAGAAAGAACAAACUAUUAGAUUAUUAACUUAACUCACAUAUAUUACUCAUGUUUUUAUAAAGAUAUUGAGUUUAGUAAUAAAUAUGAGUGAGAUAGCACUUGUGAUCAAUUGAUUUUCCAUAAUGCUAGGUAAGAAAUGCAUUUAUUAUACCAAAUCCAAAACCAGCAAUAUAUGCAAAAGAGAAAAAAGAUAUGAGAAACUAAUGGCAUAUUACUGAAAUAAAGAAAAAAAAAAAAGGAAGGAAUAAAAAGAUGUUUAAUUAGAAUUCUUAAUAAACUUCCAAAACAAUUUAGGUGUAAUUAGUAAUAUAUUUUGACCCAAAAUCAUUAUUUGAAUUUUUGGCGACCAUAAUUGUUCAAAUUCCAAAACUGUGGGACAAAAAAUAUAAAAUCAAAGCUAUUGACUUAUGGCAAAUUGCUUUUGACGGUUAGGAUUAUCAAAUUUCUAGCAAUUGUCCAAAAUUUGGUUCAAAUAAAAAACUAUGGGGACUAAAUUUGUUUUGAUGGCAUUAAGGACCAGUUUGGCGCAAGGUCUAAACUUUGGGAACCAUAACUUCAUUUCUCAACCACCCUGCGUAAAAAGCUCCAAACAGUACCAGUUCCAACUAACGAUCACCCAAGUGCACUAAUCAGCCAGUGUAUCCAAUAGACCCAUUCAUCUAAUAUGAAACAGGUUUCUGUAUGUACAUGAAAAAAUUAAUUUGAUAUACACAGUGCCAACACUCGAGUAUCAGCAGUGCUAAAAGGAAAAGCUUUUAGAGAGAAUAUAUUUCUUCAAACCUAGAAGAUCAAUGGAAACUAACAUAUUGCCUUGCUAACGUAAACAUCUUGGCAAUUAUUCUAUAGUAUCACAGAUAAGUCUGUUGAGCAAUCUCUGGAGGACUGCAAUAACCGUCAUCUUCUAGCUGUGGCAAAAAUUGAUUCAUUCCCUUGGUUGGCACUUUCACACUUUCAGGCAAACACAUUUGUCACAGCUGCAGUUGUUACUUUUUCCUGACAUUCCCCAGUAAAAAGCCAUCUUGCUUCUUGUCAUGCGGCUGAAAUGCAAACCAAAAUUCUUGGUUUCCUCUGGCAUGGAGAUGAUCUUCAAUCGAGUAGCCUCUAGUUGCCUAGUCAAACUUCCAUCCUUGGCUGUUCUAUGCACUGGUUUAGAUUAAGACCGGAUUUUCAAGGCCAAAAGUUUGAACCAGAGACCACAGUGAAAUAAAACUCCCCCCUCCAAGACCAAAACCCCGAAAUGUGUUCUUUGACUGCCUUCAUGAUGCAGACCUCCAGCAUUAAAAGAAAGGAAAGCACCAAUAAAGGAUUGUCAAGAAAGAGAAUAAAGCUGGGACACCUUAACAACUGCAAUAUUCACCUUUUUUAUAUGCAUGACCUUUCUUCUAUACCAAUUCUAACAACUUUAUACAGCCGCUGGAGUUUGCUGCAAUGACCAUGUUUGAUUUUCGUCUCCAACAGACACUUGAAACGAACUGUUCAUUAUCAUCAUCUGUCUCUUUGCCAGAAAUGGGAUCAAUGGAGCCAAAUUUGAGGGAAGUGAUUGGCAUAGGCAGAGAUCGGUAAUAAGCAAAGACCUGUCAACAAAGAAGAUAAGCACCAUAAAGCACAUGAUAUUUAAGGCAUUUAGAUUAGACUUCCAAUGCAAACAUCAGACAUCUUACCAACUACAAAUAGGAGGAAAAGGAUCAAAUGGAAAAAAAAAAAAAAACUCAACAAUUCACUCAGUCUUUGUUCAGUUCUCAGUCAUGACCAUGUCCAGGGCAAAAUAAUUGAGUAAAUUAUUUUAAUGAGAAGGCACGUCCAAUUAGAAUUAUGAACUCUUAUGCGCAGAAAGUAACCGUUCAACUUACAUGCACGGGAAAAUUGGAUUACAUGUCAUGCAAUUAAUACGUACACAAGGUCCAGAAAAAAAAAAUCAUAUAAGGCAAACCAAGGAACCAACAGUUCAGAAGGCUCUUUAGCUUUCCACACCUCUUUAAUUUCUCUUCCUUUCCUGAAUUUAAUAGGUAAAGAUGUCGAGAAAUUUAAAUUCUCGCUAUUAUCAGAUCUACUGUAAUCACCAUCCUGUGUGUGCACUUCGACAUCAGUGCCUCACCAAUAUCCAGCACCACACAAUCUGCUGGAAAAGUAAUAAGAGUACUUUCGUUCAUUUAAAGAACUUCAACACUUUAGAAACACAUUGAGAACAUCUUCUUCACAGAUACAGAAAACAGGUAGAAGCAAAAUCUGAAAACCUAGAAUACGUUUCUAAAACAAAACUUUGUUAAUAUACAAACAAGAUAGAUAUUGGCCUUAAUGUUCUGUAUGGCAUACAGGAAACUCAAAAAGAGUGCAAUGCAUGAUGCAUUGGUUCACAUUUUUCUCAAACAAAUUCCAAUUUGAUUCACGCUCUCAAUGUGAAUCUAAAACUACUACUAAUUUAUAGAUAGGGUUCAGGUAUUACAAGUCUUAAAUAAAUACAUGCUAAAGAUAAUUUUAACACAAAGCCUAAACUCAAAGCACACUAGCACAUAAUCCUUUAUUAGAAUUUGCACAUUUAGUUUACGUAUCUUCAAAAUCAUAGUCUUCUAGAGUGAAUCUGAUCUAAGGACUUUUGCUCCAGGGUAUCUAUCAAAGCACACUGUUUCUAAUAAUCCUGAACUUGCCCUCAAAGUAUCAUGUCCAACUUGAUUGCAAAAUUCCAAAAGUCUAUGAUAUUCUUUCUUGUUCUCAAUAGGCUUUAGCGAAGCACUUGUCAACGUUCAUCCUCAAAAUUAAGUAUGAUCAAUUAGACAAACUAGAAAGGGUCAUAAGUUCUUUGUAAUUCAGUCUACAUUACAUCAAUACCUAAGUUGGUGCAAAUCGCAGCUUGUUCUCACCUCAUUUGUCUCGGAACCACAUGUGAUGUAUCCAUCAGCAACAGAUAAACCCACAAAGUUCUGAAGGAGCAAGAGAAGAAAAUUAUAGUAGGUAAGGACAAUAAUCAUUGUAAUUAUGUCUGACCAAGUAAAGAAAAUCACUAUCAGAGUUAAAAGAAUUAAGGUUGUGAAGUGGAGUAGCAACCUUCUCAUUAGUAUGUCCUCGUAGGGUUAAUACACAAGCAUCCCUUGACAAACCGUUAGAAUUGGUUUUAUUCAAAUCCCAAAUCUUCAAUGUAUUGUCCGUGGAUGCAGAAACUAGUGUUUCAUUGUCCAGAAAUUUGGCAUAGCUAACAGCUUUCUCAUGACCAGCCAAUAUACACCAAGGUGUCGAAAUAUUUCGAAGAUCAUAACAAUAUGUCUUGUAAUCAGCAGUGCUAAAAGCCAGUAAGUUUGUUGACUGAGCUGAAAACUGAACAGAGCAGACAUUGGCAUUAUUCCUGAUUGUGCACAAACUGUUUCUCUGCAUCAAAAGGAAGAAAAACAAAGUCAAUACAUCCAACUGAAACACAGCUGGAACCAAAUGUGAAAUUGGACUAUUGUUGGUAGUUACAAAAGGCAUAAGACUACCUUUUCAUAGAAACACCUCUGAGCAUAUUCAUGGUAAAAGGAAAAACUUGAUAUAGCCAUGCUUCUCUAUAUCUUCCACUUAACAACAAGGACAGCUAAGCAUAUCUUUUCAUUCUUAUGUUUCAUUAUUUAACAGUCACAAGCUGUUUAGUCUUCCAACAUCCACACUAAUGUCACCACACGAGGUUGCAGUUCAUGGUUAAAGUAUGCAUUUUCUCGUAUCUGAUGCAGCUUUUAUUGAGCUACUUAAAUAAACAAAUUACUCUCCUAAGAUGGCAAUUCAAAAUUGAGAUUGUAAACUCAAUUAUAUGAUAUUAUUUUUUGAAGCACGUUUCUUAUAUUCAUCAGGCAAUGAAUGUCUAGUUUCUAUGUUUAAUUAACUUACAUCAUCUGUAAAUUGGAGCUCUCUCUCCCCUGCCCCCCUCUUUCUUUUUUUCAUUUUUUACUUGGCAGGAAGAACUUGAGUACCCCCCCCCCCCCCCCCAAAAAAAAAAAAAAAAGAAAGAAGAUAGUUGUAUAAUGUUACUCAAGGUAUUAGAAAACAUCUAGUACAAGAUUUGGAAGAAAGCAUGCCUCAUUAAUGCUCCAAAGUUUCACCAAAUGAUCAUCACUUCCGCUGGCAAAUUUUGUCGGAUCCAGCCAAGAAAAGUCAACAGACCAAGCCCUCUUGUCAUGCUCAACAAAUUCAGAAAAUCCCUGACCAGUUGCUGCAUCCCAUAACUGGAACCAUCCAGGUAUAUCAUGUCAUUAGCAGUUUGCUGAAAAUCAGUAAAUAUCAACAGCAACAAUUACAGGUCACUAUAGCAGGAGAUAAAGACUUUAAGAAAGGAAAAUGAGCAUCAAAAUUUUAAAAUUUAUCAAUUAUCAAAAACAAUCCAAGCCAAAGUUUUCAUGACAAAGCCAAACAGUCAAACCUAGAGAAAGACCUGUAAAUGCUCACAUAAAACAAAAAGUGAAAAACAAUAGCCUAGGCUGAAAGCAUACUAGUUGUAGAAUUUUGCCGGAUCCAUGACUCUAUUAGCCCUCUAAGUAAACAAUCAGAAAACAUGAGAUAUGCAGGAACAUCAAGGGAAAAAAAAACCGUUAAAACAAUGAGUACACAGAAGACCCCAAUUCCUUAUUUCAAGACAUAUAUAAUAUCUUGAAAAUCCCUUCAAAGAGCAAAGCAAGAGAGACACAUGGAGAGGGGAAAAAGACCCACAUGGCUGAUGUGUGCUUCACCAAUGAAUAUGUCUAUCCAGCAUAUUUGCCAAAAUAAGCUCUCCACCCUCGGUCAAGGAAGCUAAAUUUGCAUUAUAUUAAUUUGGCUAGAUUUGAGGCAGUGGUAAGCUUGGUUUUAAGGGUGGGGAAAAAAAGCCCUGCAUAUAAAUGUACCGUGAAGAAGCUCAUGUAAUGUUAAUAAGAAAAUCAAGUUGCCUGUCCGGUUCUCAUGAUGAUGAUGGAGAAUUGAAAUAGCGAUUUUGAAAACUACAGCCUAACAUUACUUGGUACACACCAAUUGUAGAAAGGGAAAAAAAGCGUGACCAAAUAGCCUACACUAAACGAAGAAAAAGCAUCAUGUUGUUAAUUGGAAAGACAGCUUUCCAGUUUGGUUGCUUGAAUGUGCUCAAGCAGACGUUGAGGAGCAGUUGCUUCAGAAUGUGUAACUUGUUAAUUGAUGAAUGAAUUGAUGCCGUUUUAGACAAAAAAAAAAAAAGAAAAAGAAAAAGCAUCAUGAUUUCAUUAUGAGCUUCAGAAUGAAAUGUAGAGUUCUCUCUCAAAGGGGAAAGAUCAGAUGACAGAGAUUUGAAAUUUAACGAUUCUAAAGAAAAAACGUCAUCCAUAUAUCUAUAUUUUUUAAGAACUAAAACUAGAGGUUAUGUCAUGGCAGUUAAAAUUUUAAUUCUGCACGAAGUUCUAUAUCCGAAAAAUUAGCCAAAAUAAAAACUUCAAACCCCUGCAGAAUCAAUGGCAAUUUUGUGCAGUUACCGAGUGGAAUGACUUUGAUGUAUUGUUUUGUUACCAUUCCACCACCCCAAAAAAAAAGGGUUACUGUUAUCUAGCAGAAAUAUAUGACAGAAAUAAAUUUACUCUGUACCACUUGAAGAACAAACCGUGUAAUACACACCUUGACUGCCCCAUCAUAGUCAGUAGAGGCAAGAUAGUUCUUUAUAUAGCUAUUCCAGCAAAUGCAGCUGAGCUUCGAUUUGUUUGACAUCUCAACUACUGGAUAAUGAAUGUCAACGGAAUCGUCAAAAAGUGCAUGGAAAUCAAAUAUCUUAAUUUUCUUUGAGACUCCACCAGCAGCCAGAUAGUCCUCAUCCCGGUCAAAACUCAAGGAGCAUAUUACAUUUGCUGAAUCAGCCAUAUCUCCAUUCCUUAAAACCCCUCGCACUUUAAAAUUACUAUAGCGAGCAUACUUGCACAAAUCGGUAAAGAAUCCCCCAAGGCAAUCAGUGGUUUUACAUAUCCCUCUGUCCUUCCCUAACGACCAGUUCUCUCGAAUUCUUAACAAUCCUUUGUCACCACGUGUAGUCAUAUCCUUUCGAGGAAGUUGAAUAUUAGAUCUCAUUGAAAAAUAAGCACUUUCAAGCUGCCUGAUAUUCUUUGUCAUCUUCUCAUCACAUAAAAGAGGCAACCUAGGACGAAAAUCUGAACUUACAUGCCCCCUCCUGAGCAAUCUGUUUCUCUUUGCAGCAAGGGACUCCUCAGCUAAGGAGGUACAAGCUGGUAAUUCUCUAGUUUGCCUUUUCUCAACCUCUUGAACAUCUGCUUCUAUGAACCUAAUUUCCUCUACUAAGUUUGAAGCAUCUCUUUGUUUUUUCUCUUUCAGUGACAAGAGAAAAUGCAACAGCAAUUCAGAUUCAGCAUCCUCUUCCUCAAUAGAUGAUACCAAUUCAUCUCCAGCUAAUUCCUGAAUGCUGCAUAUAACUUCAAAUUGCAGAAUUUCCCUGCCAACCGAAGCAGCAAAUGAGUGUAGUGUAAUGCUUUUAGCUUCACUGACUCGUACUACUGGAUGCAUAUGAUGCAAGCAGAUUUGCUUGUAAGGAAAAUUUACCAGGUAAUGAUACAAAUUGAUGACCCACAGACAUGAACAAAUAAGUUAAGCCAAGCAGGAAGGGCUUGACUUGAUUACAGUAAUCUGAAAGUCUGUCCAGUAACCACCAGUUAGGUUGUUAGUAUUUAUAUAUAGAAGAGGCCCUAGACGGAAUGAAAAAGAACAUAUGCUGAAAAGUAGAGAGGCUUAGGAUCGAUGCAUGUUUGAUAAGCUGGACGCCUUUAGGCUUCAAUAAGGAAACUUGCUUGAGUACCAUAUUUCAGUUUUCCAUGUACAAGAUAAGGAAAAGGAAAAACCAGGGAAUACAGGUGCACUGAAAACACUGAAUAUACCUGGCAGUUGGACGUGAUGAUGAUUCAGGAUGAAGCAGCCAAAGGCAAAAUCCAGCUUCCUUGGGAUUCUCUGACAGGAACUCUGGAGGAAGAAUCCUGUGACGUAGAUCCAGCAUUGCUGCUUCAUGAGAUCUUCUAGAGUCAAAAGAACUGAGUAGCUGCAAAUCAUCCAUUUUAGUUUUACAACUCUACCCUUAAUGAAGAAGAGCUACAAGUAAAAAGAAGACAACUAUUUUUCUGGCCAAGUUGCAAAAUGAAGUGGAGCAAUACAACUGGCCCUGGGCCUUCACAGAAAAGUAACUAUAGUUCCUCCACUCUCAUUAGAUUCAUAAGCUUCAUAAGCUGAGAAAAAGGCUUCCUGUAAAUGUCCAAUUCAGUACUAUUAGUCAAGCUAACAACCAACUUUUGUUUCUCACGCUAUCAUGGUUCAAAUUUUCACACAACUAUAAACCACGAAGAAGACCUGGGAAGUUCAUCUCCAUUAACACCUACUUUCAAAAGUUUGUGAGUAACUGCCUAAAACCAAUAAGCACACGGGGAAGACCAAAUUAUAAAACCUCUAUCUAGAAAUAAUUGAGAUCGGCAGAACUGCAAGUUUAAACUGGGCAAUUUGCAAUUUCAAGUUAAAUAUAAGGAAGCCAAAGCAAUUGAAACACAAGGAUGGUGAUCUUAUGGAUUAUAGCGUAAAUGAGGUCAAAUUUUAAAUUGAUCCCACGGACAACAAAAACAAUGUGAUAGACAUCCUGUUUGGACAAGUAUAACAUCUAAACCACAGGCGGUAGGGAUUGUUCUCUCACCUCAAAUAGAAGAACUCCCAAAGAGUAAAUGUUCGAUGAAAAUGCCAAGCGCCUCUCAUUGUGCUGCUCAGGACUGGAAUACCAUUUCUCUUCCGACAUAAAAUUUACUGAAGUUAAGAUUGGUGGUGACAUAUCAGGUGCUUGUGGAACACUGGAUCUGCUCUGAGACUUAAAGUCCACCUUGAUAUUUUGAUUUUCACUAGACUGACUCCCAGAAUUAGGCCCCAGGAAACUAUCCACUCUGCUAAUAUCAACAGAUGCAGUUUUGAAGUCAAAACUGGAUGAAGAGUGAGGCAACCUUCCAGAAUGUAGCAUGUUAUCACCAAACUUAUGCUUCUUUGCAAAAUGAUGGUCAAAGGGUAGCAAGUUCUUUUCGAGUGGCCUCUUGCCAAUUUGAUCAUGCUCAGACCGGGGAACAUCAUGAUCCAAGACAUUGUCUGAAAGAUGAACAGAUGAUCCCAGAUAAAUAACUCUGUUUGAUGGCAACAACUUGAAGUAAGAUGGGCGCAACUCUUUCAAAGCAAUUCCUUGAGAGUGCGAAAAAUCCACCAGUUUGACAAUUUGUCUAAAUAUGCGCAAGUUCUCCAUUUUAUUUGCCUUAUUCUGACCAGCUCUAAGCCACUCUCUCAAAAGGACUCCAUCAGGGUUAGGAAAGGUAGAAAUACCAGACCAAACUUCAGGAAAGACAUUGCUGAUAGGCAUAACAACAUCUCGAGUCGAACUCAAUGGGGUAUUUGAACUCAGAAUCCCAGUACUGGUAGACCUUGAAUAACUCUGGUUCCCUGACUCAUCACCAAAUCCUCUGUCUAAAGGACCUUUGUAUAUUAUUCCCUUGCCCUUCAAUGUAUUCUUUAUAAAAUAUUCAGAAUACCCAGACUUGGAUACAAUUUUUGUUCGGGUAACUCCUGAGGAGAAUGCAUUACUUAACAUACUUUUAUUGUCAUUACCUGGAAAAUUAUCCAAGAGUUCUUGAUAAUUUUCACCAGAAGGCUUCUGAUUUUGAUCCAAAAACCCUGAAAAGAAUAAAUGCCCAGUAUCCUCCCAGACACUUUCUGCUUCCCAAUUCCUGUCUCUAUUUGCAGCAUCUCCAUUUGAGCCUGCACUUCCUGAUCCAGUCGCCUUCUGAUGCAAAUGCUUCUUCCAGCUCUGCACUCGAUCUCUAUUGUCUGAGGUACCCACUAUAGCAAGAUUUUCACCACUAUAAUUUGUGAACGUCAAUUCUUCAACCAUAAUUCCAGAAUUAUUCAUACAGUGAGGACUCACACUUGCUUGUUCUGAAGAACCCAUUCUAUCCAAAUUUUUCCCAUCCAAAAUAUCUGUAAACAAAUGAGACGAGCCCUCAUUCUGAUCACUCUCAUGUGAUUCUAAAAGACUGGAGUUACUGGGCUUUAGGGAGUAUUCACGUUGUUUAUGUAUAACGUGCAUACCAUCAGCAGCAGCAACUCCUGUUGCAUCAUCAUCAACCGCCUCAUCCAUCCCGUUCAAAGUGUAUAUUCACUUAUGCAUCCAAUCUGCAUGUAACAUGCUCAUUUGGUCAAGACAACUAUUAAAAUCGCAAAAAACUUUCUUCACUUUGACCAGACUAUGUCAGACAACUUAGAGCAUAUUUGAGCAACUUUCAGUCUAGCCAAUAAUGUCCGAGAACUUGGACAGUGAUUUAAGUCCACAGAUAAAUAAUCCACCCAAAUCCAUGAGGUCACAUCCAAUAUGCUCAAUUGUACUAAAUGAAAGAGGUGGAUACAAUAUGCUCAAUUUGUAUAAGGAAAGAGAAAUGGAGCUAAGUUGAGUGAAGUUCGUGCUCCUUCAAUCAUAGAACGAAUGUCUUUUUUUAUGCUUUUUGGAUCAAAGCAUUGGUCUUCCAUAUCAAUGUCUUAUCUAAUCUUUUUGAAAAUUUUUUAAAAGGUUACAAACUUUCACAUGAGUGCAAUUCUUACAACUUUGAAAAGAUGAUGAAAUUCAUCAAUAAUCUAAUGACCUAUUUCAAUUUGCAAUGAAGAACAUACUCCAUAUUAUUGGAUUGAACUGCAAAUGACAUUUAGCAUUAUCAUAAUUCCGGUGAGCCUAUUAGGGUUAUAUUCCUACAGAUGGGGCCAUGUAUAUCACUAUUUAAAAAAAGAUAAUAGGUAAACAUACAAAAAGAAAACUACCAUCAUAGAUCAUUCACCACUUGCACUUUUCUAGUUCAUAAUACAAUUGUUACUUGGUCAUUUUCAUAUCUGCAUAUUGUCAACCAAACACAGGAAUAUUGACUCUGAUAAACUAUAUUCUAUGACAACAUUUUACAUCAAACCAAAGUGGCCUGACAGGUCAAUAAAAUCACAAAGAUAACCAAUCAAAUCAAAAUGUCAACCAUUUAAGAUGCUUCAAGAAAAAGAUUCCUCCAACACCUAGACUUUUCCCGUUCACUCCCACUUCUUUUUCUUUUAAUCUGUGCCUCUACUCCAAUUAAUUGACAAAUAUACAAACAACACAAUAACACAUUGCCAAAGUCAUAAUCUGCUCCUUGCACCGAGCAAUUCCUUAACUGGCAUAUGUAUAAAAAAACAACAAAAAUAGUUUCCUUAAACUGCCAAUCAAUAAUUUGAUUCCCCUUACAUAAAAUUAAACUUGCCAAAAAAACAAUAAAGCACAGCCAAACAACAUCAUCUCAGCAUCAAAAGAAAAUAUUACAUUGAUAAAAGGAAAACCAUACAGCCAAAACCUUUACCAGCUUACUCAGUCUAUAAUGAUUAGCUGAAAACAGAUAGUAUCAUACUUCAGAAUUAGGUAUAACUCAAAAAAUAAAAAAUAAAAAACCAUCCCUUAGAGCCAAAAGAGGAGCUGUCCCAGUAUUUGGACCUGUGAAUAAAUACUAAAAUACUGCAAAAUAUUCAACACAUCCAGCAGAAAUACAAAAACUAUCUAAAGCUCAGAACUUUUACUUUCCUAUAAACAACGAUUCAGUAAAUUGAAGAACAUAAACAACAUUUCUUCCUAUCCUUUUUUCAGAAAGCAAAAACCACAAAAGAUAAUAAGGUUCAAGUAAAAAGCUGCAAUUUUUAAAUUUAUUAGCAUUCAGAUGAAGAAUUAGUUGGGGUCUGGGCUGAACCAUAUUUCCAAAUUCAAACCUUCACUCUUCAUUCUUCUACAUAUUCCCCAAAAAACCCAGAAAAACCCAAAACUCGGUAACAGUUAUAUUGAAGAAAAAAAACGUUACAGCAAAUAUUGCAUUUUUAACUCAAGAUUUUCCAAGACAAGAAGGGAUUAAAGUUGAAGGGCAGUUAAAGGAUUACCUAAAUUGGGUUUUAAAGGACGGCAUGAAGCAGUAAAAUCCUCAGGGUACCGGCCAAAGUUGAAGAACGGAGAGGAUUAUUGUGAGCCAUGGAAAAGAAAAUAAAUAAUAAGAGCCCUAAAGUUUUGAGGGAGUUUAGCUUAAAAAUGGUGUGGAGAGGGAUAAAUUAUCAUGGGACUUACCUGAAAUGGCAACAAAUAUCUUGGGUACGCUAUUGGCCAUAGGGGAAUAAUUUAUAUCCGCGGUCAUUAGAAGUUUAGAACCACUUGUUAAAUAUUUAAAAAUCAUGGGAUCUCCAAUUUCCGAUUAUUGUAUUACUGGUAAUACCUUUGGAAAAUAGGCAUAGUUGCCUAGUUUGCUCAUUCUACACGAGAGUAAAAUACUUUUUUAUCAAAAAAGAAAAUUACUUUUUUCUUCUAUUCUUCGCCACAAUAAUUAGUUCUUUUUUGUCUUUUUCUUUCUAAAACCCUAUACGUUACAGGUUGCUUUUUAGAUAGUUUUUAAGACAUAGGAUAAAACAUCAUGAUUAAAAAAAAAAAAAGGGAGAAAUCUCAUUACGAAAGAACUGAAAUUAUCACAGUACUAAUUUUUUAUCUUGUGUUUUAACUUUUAAGAGCACAUAAUAUAAGAAUUAUUAUUAAAAAAAUAGAUUUCAUUGUUGAGAGAGUUAACUCAAGUUUGACUCAUAAUGUUGCGAAAUCGUAAAUCUAAUCUCUUGGAAAAAUUAUAGAAGAAAUAUGUGAAGAAAAUUUUAAAAAAAAAAAGUUUCUUGGAUCUUAUAAAUAUGCGAUUUGUUAAAUUAACUUUUCUGAUUAUGAUCGUCUUAUUAUGCUUUUUUUUUUUUUUUGUUUUUUUGAUAAUGUCCGUCUUAACUUUUUAGAUUAUAUGAACGAGUCGAAUUGAAUUCUUGUAAGUAUACCAAUGUAUACAAUAUAAUACACGGCUAUUGAUCAUGAAAAAGGUUAGAAUACGAAUUUUUUAAGCCAAGUGAAAUUUAAGCAUAAUAUCGAGUCAAUCCGACUCGAUCCAACUACACCUGUAGAUAAAGGAUGAGAGGUGCGUGGGAUAUAUAUGAAGUGGCAAACAGUCCUCCACGUCUGUCAAACAGGUGAUGUCCUGCGAAGAAUAAUUUGAAAUGUCAGCAGUCAGAUUCAGACGAAUGAGGUCCUCGACUCGCGUGGACAAACAUGGGACUACAAACUCUUAUUUCGAUCACCUAUUGGUUUAUUUCCAUGACACGUCAUUCCAGCUCAAGUAUUCUGCUGACACGUCCUCCAUCAACUGGCUUGCCCAUCUAAAAUUCCAGGCCAAUGCUCCCUUAGAUAAUGAUGACAACGACUUGGACCUCAUAUACUCACCCACAUUCCAAGGGGUACCACUAAGCUACUCUCCUUCUUUUGGUCGAUACAAGAAUUCCUAUUCUACCCCUAUUUCUACGCCAUCAUCAAAUCAGACAAGUGGCUAAUGCAUCUUCUAGUGAAAUAUUAAUGGGUUUGUUUGGAUAGUGUAUUAUUUGAAAUAUUAUUUGGAAUAAUUACUGUAAUACUUUUUGUGAUGUGAUGUAUGUGAGAUAAAAAGGUGAUUGGAAAUAUAAAAAGGUAGGUUGGAAAAUGUGUUUAUGAUGCAAGCGAAAUAUUAUUUGGGAUAAUUGGGGUAUCCAAACACUCUCAAUAUAUAAUUAAAAAUUUGAUCUCUCGACCUACAUUUAAUGGAAAAUGUAGUGGCCAUCUCGACUAGCAUGAGUUAGUUUAUUGUUAGUCUACUCAUAACAUAGCAAUAUUUAAGGCCCAACAAAACAUAUUAUGGAGUUCCUAUUAGUAUCGUCGCCUCUCAAACAGUUAUUGGAAGUAGAUGAAAACCUUGAAAACAGUUAUUCAAACGUACAAGAAACAUAGGAUGGAACAACAACUUCAGUGACAGUUAUUGCUGCUCAAUGCGGCAGAUGAUUCAAUGUGCUUUGGGAAUAUAAAAUUGAUAAAUUAACGCUAAAUUUAGCAUCCAUUUGUCUGUAUCUAUUCUUCUUUGGAAUAAAAAGGCAAUCUUGGAAGUAGAUGAAACCAGCCUUUGGAUCGGUUCCUUUUGAGAAAAUAAAUUACUUAAAUGCGAAAUUUGGUGUCUAUUGUUCUGUCGGUCCAAGAUGUUGUUUGUUAUUGGAGGGACUGGAUGCUUCUGAGUCCAAAAACCUCAGAACUCAGGAAGGCCCAUUGGAGCCCAUAUUAAUCUUGUCCUACCACGCGACAAUGAAAUAGAUGCUUCUUCACAUGAAGGAACUAGAAUGUGGUUGGUUUCAGAUUUCCUCAGGCCCUAAGCUUACAAGACAGCAUUUGAAGCCAUGACGCAGAGCAGAUAUUACUGUGAAUUUUGCUGACAAAAAAGAAGAGAGAGAGUUUCCAGACAAUCUGUGUAAAUUUUGAUGCUGCAUUGCAUGGCCUAUAUAACUCAACAAUUUCUAGCUGCAGUUUGAUCGUGUGCAACUAUAAAUACCACUUGACUAAAUGUUGUAUUCCAGAGAAUACACAUACUGUAUUUUAAGGGAAAUAUUCUAAAAACUAUUACCUAUUAUAGGCUAUUUCUAUGACCAAACCAAGCAAAACUAUUCAGAAGGCUGUUUGCAUUCAGGGAGUUGCACUAUACAAAUUGAAGAAUGCAAAGCCUCCAAUCCAUGCAAGUUUGUAUGACAAAGAACUUCACCAGGUCCAUCAUAUUAGGCUGUAAGAAAAAAAAGACUAUCAAUGCUGAGGCACCCCAGCCUGUCAUGUGUAUAAGUUAGCCUGUAUGCAUCAUCUAUCUCAGUAACUUCUUAAAAAUGAGCUUAGAACUUCGGAUGGAAGAAAGGAUCCUGCCCAUUUUGAUAUAACUCAAACAGCUUCUCAUAGUACUGAAUCGCAAGAUCUUUACACUUUGAAAGCACUUUUGGAUCUUUUUGUUGAGCGUCUGAGACAGUUCUCUUUAACUUGAACUCUGGAUCCCCAUCAAUUAAAAACUCAGCUAAUUGAGUUACACUGAAAAAAAAAAAAAUCACGAGCACAUCCUUCAGUCAAGGCAAUCAAAGAACUUGAAAAACCAAGGUCUAUUAAAUGAACGAGUGUUUAAGCCCUCAAAUAGGAGAGUGCAUAGAAUUUUCAAUGCCUUUCACCAUGACAAUACUUAAAAGGACAUCCGAAAUGGAACAAAUGUAGAUAGUUCUCAGCAAGUAGCUGCAUACCCUAACACUUUUCUGCUACAGUGUAUCAUCUGAUAUUAAAAGAAACUUGAUCCUAUUUACAUACAAAAUGAAGCACGCAGUCCAAAACAGGCUGAGCAAAAUACCACGCUGGUUCAAGAUUAAAUCCAGUUGAAAUUAAAAGGUGGGCUUGGUCUUAUUUUCUUCAAUUUUCGUAAAGCUGCCGAAAAAAGAGAUUCAUGACAAAUGCCAAAAUUAGUAUUAAAGGCUAUAAUUUGUUCCAAACAUUUCAAAAGCAACAGCUUUCUUGAUAAUAAUUUCUUUAGAGUCUCCUCCCCAAAUAACCUUUCCCAGUAUCUAAAUAAGCAAAAAGCACAGCAACAGCACACAAGAAAACCUUGAAUAACUGUUUGUUUCACAGUCAUGACUAGUUUUAAACAUCAUUGCAUUUCAUUGUCAGAGAUUCAAAUGAACCAUAUUGGAAAGUAUGGAUUGUCUGCAUUCACAUUCGUCAUACCUCAUUGCAUCACAAUAGGAAAAACCUGGAUCUGCAAGAACUGAUGAUUUCAUGGGGGAUUUCUCUGCAGAAUUUUUCUUCCGAUAGAGAGCACAAACUGCAUUCAUGCAGAGUUCAUCAUCCUUCUCAAGAUCUGAAAGCAUGUCUGCUGCAAAAUUCCAUGUCUUCAGCCUGUAUCCUUUAGCAAUUGCAACCAUUUUAUCCACAUAAGCUUCCAGACAAGAUUCGCUCUCUGAAUCACUAGAAGUACAAUCACUCGAGUAAUCAUUAUCAUCAAAGAGUGAUUUUUUCAGACCAAUUUGGACACUGCCACCUUUCCUUACUUCUCCUAAGCGAUUUUGAACAGAAAGCAAAAGAGGUUCAAGACCAGCGGAUUUGUCAAGCUUCACUGAGCUGUCACUACCAAGGGAACCAUUUUCAUCACGAAGCAACUGCCCAUUUUCUUCUUUCUUCCUCUUAGCCACCAUAAAGUUAGUGUCACUAGUCUCAAUCAUGCUUCUUUUUCUUUUUGGCAUCUGAUAAAUAUCACAAUCUUCCAUGGAACCAGUUCCAUCCUCUUCCUCUGUUUUCAUAAAGCAUGCACCUUUCCCAAUAUUAAUGAAAGGCACCUUCUUUCCAGUUGAGUUGAAGUCUGAAGCACAAGUAGUAAAGAAAUGUGUAGACCCAGCAGGAAGAUUUUCUUCAUCACUAUCACUAAUUUCAAUAACAAUGGGAGAUCCAGGCGCCUCACUAACUGGAAUGCAUGAAGCAGCUGCCUGAUUGGAGCUAUCAGUUUCAAUCACCAAUUGUUUUGGACCACCCAUUUGAUUAUCACAACCAUUAUCUGUAUUGGUUAAAGCUGCAACAGAAAACAUACAGAGUUUAACAGGAUACAAAAGUUUCAACGAGAAACAUUACAUGUAAGAAUGCAAACUCAAAUAUGGCCAAAGGUUUUGAAAAGGCCAGAGUGUCACUUUUCUGCAGGCAUCUGUUCAUAGUCCUUAGAUAUUGCUGAAGAAAGCAGAGUUUUAUGUUUCACUGGCCACAUUUCAAAUGCUUGGUGCUUUUGCUAGCAUUCCUUGACAUGAGAUAGCUUAGAUUUUUUUUUCCCUCAGUAUAUUUGGAUUGUUGGAACUAUAACUUCAUGUGGCAUGUCAUGUAAACUGAUCCCGGGAAGUAAGUGUAACAUGAAUGCAGCUAAUAAGUAAACAACACAAUGACAUGAAUAUAAAGAGGUUAAAAAUGUAGCAAAUUAACAUCUUUCCAAAUAGAUCAACAGAAUAAACAUCUUCACAAGAUAAAAAAGGGAAGAAGGAUAUGCAAUAUUAUGUUUGUUUGUGUAUAAUUAAAAGUAUGGAGGUUGCUAACAACAAACACUGUUAUAAAUUUCAAAAUAAUUAAAAAUAUGGUGGUUGCUUCGAUUUAGCAAGUAUUCUAAAGUUCAAAAUAACAAAGGACUUACAACACACAAAAACUGUUAUGAUGUUCUCCAUAAUUAAAAAUAUGGAGGUGGCUUCCAUUUAGCCAGUAUAAUAACGUAUGACUGACCCAAAAAGUUACAAAUAUCAUGAACAAUGCAGCAACAAGCUGCUACUGCUUGGUAAAAUUCAUAUGUUAUGUCUGAAAGUAGUUCAAAAAGACCCUUACACCAAGUGAUUCGACAUGCCGCCCUUUUUUUGUUUUUAACUUAGUAUUCAACUUGAAGUCCUUGGGAAACAAGGCACCAAUUCUACCAUGAUUAAGUCAAUAUCAGUUACAAAGCUAGAAGUGGCACACCAUCCAAAACCCUCAAAGGGUACCAUUUACCACUGUUAAAGCUUGUUUCAGAAGGUGCUAGUUUUCAGAUCAUAUCUUCUUCAGUGCUUAUUGACCUAUCUUCUGUGACACCAAUAUAAUGAAAUUAUUCAACUGACCUGGUUAGAUGCACGUAAAACUUCAGUGCAGCCCGAACAUUAGAAAUCUACUUGAAUCAAGGGAGAUUAUAAGUUUCAAUAUGGUAUUGAAUUAUGUGCAAGAUUCUGAAGAAGGGGUUACUUCACAUAGCAUCAAGUGGUUUUACAUGCAUUUGAGUGAUAUGCCUUACAUGCACUCCUAUCAUAACAAAGAAAAUCAACACUGGUGCUUAGAUACUGUGAAUACAAGCUCUUAAGCUCACAAAAAUCAAUCUUAAGAUCCAGGUUUGUAACUAAAUUCCGUAAGAGAAAUACUUCAAGCAAGUUGCUAGACCGUGACUACAAAUAUAGCUAAAAGAACCAAAUAAAUUAGAAUACCUGCUGCCAACAAAGUUUUAUUUUCUUUUUCUGGGUGAAUACUAUCUGUUCCAACUUCAGGAGCAUCACAAGCAGCUUGUACAUCAGUAGAACACAGAACCACAUCAUGUCCAUUCAUUGUCCUCGCAUUACUUUCCAACAACUCCUUGCCAUUGAGAUCUGUAUCCAAAUAUGAGGUUAUACCAGACUCAAACAGGUAAAGAAAAAUAAGUGACACUCCUACAGUUUUACUAGUAAAGUAAUUUUCAUUCUUGGAACAUUUAAUUGUUAAUUAACCUUAUGAAAUGCAAACAUAUAAGGGGGACCAAUGAUCUCAAAGAGUUCUUGAAACGUGUCAUACAUAUCCAUGAAUAAAAUUUCUUUUGAAGGUCUCACUUCACAAGCAUUAGUGCACAUGAGGAGGAGCAGUAGUUUAUUAACAGCAUGCUACAGGAUCCCAGAGGAAUCCGUCACCUUUUUGACAGACACUGGUAAAGGACCACUCAACUUAAAAAAUAUGACGUAAGAAUGAGAAUGGAUGAUAUGCUGAAUGCAGAAGAUGGUAAAAGAAAAUAAAAGUGAAUUGAAGAAGAACUUCCGUUAUCUCUUUUUAGAUCUUGCGGUAUAAAGAUCAAGAUUCUUUCGCCUUUAGAACUUUCACUAAGAAACUAUUAAGUGCUUCUAGAAUUUGACUUACAAAAUUAAAAUGGUCAAAGAUGUUAACAAUUGUAGCAGGAUGGAGGAAAAGUAAUAGGUUUCAAAUUGUAGAAAUAGUAACAAAACUUAAUACCACAAAAAUGAGAAAAGGUAUCUAGUUAUCUGGUUGCAUAUGAGAGAAGAUGACAUUAGCUCUGCUAAGCAUACAAUCUGUACAAACAAGUCCUUUGAAACAAAACCUUUGUAUUUUCUGAAAUUUCUAAGAGUGCCAAAGAUGUUGCUAGGUUUACAUUUUAUCAGUUACAUCUUACGCUAUGGUUGAUCCUGAGCUUAAGCUACCAAUGAAAGAGCAAUUACAAAGUAAUAAGACAAAAACCAGCACCAACAGCAGAGAGUUUAAUACAGAGACACAUACGCUCAGAGGAGAUUUGAGUAUGCAGGAUAAAAAGUGAAACUCAUUUAGCAUGUGAUGCAUCAUGUAUGUAGCAAAAUAUGAAAGCCACAUGUUUGACCUUGAUGGACAAUGCACAAGUAUGAGCACAACAUUAAAUCGUCACUAUCAUACUUAGAAGAUACACAAAAUUUGGACGUGGGAACAGUUGAAAUUUGAUCUUUUGUUUGUUCCUAGCAACAGAAAAUGUUUGACAACAGUAAAAUAUCAUAAUUGUCAAUCAUUAUUUGAAUUAGCUAACCAUAAACACCUCCACUAUUCAUCAACUGUGAAUCCAGGGUAACCUAAAACCACAUCAUGUUCUUUGAAAAGAAUUGCAUGGUUUACUUUUUCAUGGGGAAUUGCAAACAUGUAAAUACUAGCAUCCACUUAAGACACACUAAAGACUCAAUAUUGUCACCAAAACAAUAGACACUAGUCUCCAUGGAUGUAUGUGAGAUUUCAGCAUUAUACAACUCUGUUAUGAAACAUUUUCCAAAAUUAACGAAAUUUUGACCAACAUACUGCACCACAAUGAUGUACAUGGCAAUAUAUACAAACCACAGACACAUAAGGCAUAGACAACAUUUUCACAUCAAUUUAUGUCAUCAAUGAUGACAUCUAAAAGGAAAAAGAAAUGUAAACUAGGUCAAAGGAUAAAUAACUUAGAAGUUACUGGAUAGUUGCUUCUUUUAGAUGAAAUAGAAAACCAACAUUCAUCAAAGAGGAAACAUAUCACGGUGACGUCCUCAAGGACACCAAAGUAACUAACUAUAUUUGCACUUCCAUCAUUUGCAUAUCAGUCAACAAUAUCGGUAAAACACCACCCUCAAAGCCGUGAAAAGAGUGAGAGAAACGCAUUCAAGACUUCCACAUUUGCAACCAACUAAAAACCAGCUUGGAUACACUAAAUAGUAAUCCCUUGUAAACAAAACCAUGAUAAAGAAUUGGAGUCUUUCUUUUUCUUUUUUUUCCCUCCUGUCAACAAUGUGGUUUGAAAAGAGCUUCAAUGACAAAUUCAACUUCACAAAAGAAUAAUAAAAACAAAAAUUAAUAGCCCAGACUACUCCAGAGUAUACAAAAAGACCAUAAAGUGACAGGAUCAUGUGACAUUUUAUCCAAAGUGUAAAGGCUACUAGAUGAGGUUUAGAUUCUGAUCUGAUUAAGAAGUUAACAAAUAUAAAAAAAUAAUUUUCCUGAAUUAAAUCUGAAAAGUCACUAAAAGGAUUUAGAUUAUUCUAGAUGAUCAAUAAGUUCCAUAACCAGCCAGCUUGCUCGAUUUUUCUUGUAAUGCUAAAAUCUUAAAGUCAGAUCCUCAAUCAUAGCAUCAAAGCUUUAGGUUCUGAAUGAAAUGAUAUAACAUUUGCAACUUUGACUGCUACAAAUUUGUAUCCUUGUGAAUGUACAAAGAUUAAAAAACAUUUCUUUUUGAUCUUUAUAAAUCAAAAACCUAAUAGGGUCCUUAGAUCACUUGGUAUGUUACUAUAAAAUUUGGGAUAGCAUUUUAUCACAAUUACUGUCUCAAACAGAUCACGAUCUAACGGUGCUAAAGGUGGAAAAAAAAUUACAUGUCCUACAUUAGUUCCAUUUAGCAUAUACUUCCCAAACUGUGAUUUACAAAUAGGGACAUUUUACUUCUAGAGCAUCAGUGCAGAACACCAGAAGCUCCAUGGUGUUUGGAAUGCACUACACUGAUUUCACAAACCACAUUUCUAAAUUUCUUUCCUGGCCUCUGUACCAGAUGGACUAAAUCAACUUCCCAAAUUGGCAAAGGUGGUUUUGACUAAUUUAGAAGUUUAUUUUCUCAAGUCACAUGCUAUAUUUUUUUCACCUCCAUUUGAGGAAGGCAUUCUACAUUAAUAUAUAUAGUGAUAUUCUCGAUAAAUCCCAUGCCACAGCAUGAAUAGGCAAACUAGGGAUAUUUCCUGUAAAGCAACUGCUAAUGAAGCAAUAUUUGUAGAUCUGAUAUUCUGAUACCUACUGAUUUCACACCUUCAAACGUCUCAAGCUGAGAAAUCUCUCCAAGCUUCUAACACCAUGAUUUACAUUAUACUGUACCAAUUAUAUCCUCAUUCGUACUAUGUUGUACAUUGGACACCAAUGUAAUCUUCAAUGAACAAAUUGCUGCAAUUGCACCAGACCUACCAACUUCUUGAGGAGAUCCUCUGGUUGUUAAUUAUGUUGUCAUAACGUGAUAUACAUAUAAAAAUAGUACCACAAUCUUCAAUUGGAGGAAUCUGCUCUUUGGUUAGCUCAAUGGAAGUCCUAGUUCCCUCUGUUGCUUGCAAUAGAAGGUGAAAAUGGCUAAGAAAUUGUCCUAAAGGUGGCAAUUGGAUAAUGUUUGAUUUUUCAUAGAUGAGCAUGCUCUUAGCGUUGAUUGGUGCAAUACACAAAUGAAGACCCUCACAUAGAUCAGGCAUAGUCAGUGUCAUUAACGAUUAAGCAAUAAAAAGCACUUUCAGAGUUGUUCUCUUAGCAAAUAUCCGGUUAGUCUUUGGUGUCAGCUAUAGUCCAAGAAAUAGUAUUUCCCUAUUUCUAGCAAGAAGAAGCAGGGAUUAAGGAAGAGAACAGACUACUAGACAUUCCUAUAAACAGCUCAAAGGAAAAAGGAACAAGAUGAAACGAGUACAAGAAGCAAUCAAGGAAAAGAUAUUGGUAAUCUUAAUGGCGCUAAACAAGAAGCUGUGAGUUCUCCAUGUUCAUCUCUUAAUUUGACUGCAAAAAAUGCUUUUAGAGGUCUUUGGCUCUUUGCUCUUUAUCUUCCUAAGCUAAGUUAUAUGGGCGUCAAACAAAUCAAUCCAAGCCUAAGAUUUCAAAAAAUAUUCUUUAGACUAAUGGCCAAUCCUGUCUAGGAAAGUUAAGAAGACCUUCUUGUUUACCCCAAGGAUGGAAGGGAGCAUAUAACCAAAAUAGUUCCUUGGGUACAAUUGAAAAGAAAAAAGAGCAUUAAAAAUUCUUGAUAAACUCAAGUCCUACCAAAACCAGGGUGUUCUAAUGCCAUCCUUAAGAUAUCAUCUACUCAACCUAUAAUACCAGAGGGGUCCAUAAAUUUUGGAGGCCCAAGGUACUAUAGCUACCUCAUUUACAGCAGUUAUCAAAUAGAAAGUUGAUGCCAUUAAAGUGAAGCUUGUGAUUAUAGUGAAGCUUGUGAUUAUACUAAAACAAAGGCAUUAACCAAAAUCUGCCUUCUAUUACAGAAAAGAAGAGUAAGUUAAGAGGAGGAUCAACCAAGAAUUUGCAUCACGCAUGAGUCUUGAUAUUGAUUUUACGUAAUCAAUGGAGAAAGGGAUGUCUAAGGUGAUCAAAUAGAGUUUAAAAGAAAGCAAAGGCAGAGAGGGUAAGAAAAUAAAUGAUCUAUCACACAAAAGAAUAUCAAAGAAGUGUGAAAAGAUGCUAGGAAGAAGAAAGGAAACUUGGUAAAGAGAAAAAGAAGAAGAAGAAGCAUUUCGGAGAGAGCAGAGGUUUUAGUAGUUUGCUGAGCAUGAGAGACCUUCUCAUGCCACUAUUAACACGUUAGACACUCACAGGAACCCCUCUAACGAGUAUUGACAACCUGGAGGUGGACCAAGGAGCUAAUCCAUUCAGAACUCAAUUGAUCUGAUUCCCAGACAUAUUGCACC